rnacentral:lncRNA from 1 species
AGGCCGGAGGUUACUGGGGAUCUAGUGGACAGGGGUCUGGUAGUGGCACUGGAUCUGGCUCUAGCUAUUCUAACAGGUAUUGGUACGGGCCCAGCUAUGCAGGUGCAAAUGCAAAUGGCAACGGUGGUGGCAACGGGAAUAGUCAGAACGGUGGAAGUGGUGGCGGUGCAGGUGGUGGGUCGGGGUACGGCAACGCCAAUCCUUGAUUUCCAUACCAAGUCAAUCUAAAGUUGGAGGCCAUUGUACUUUGUUGUUUCAUGUCGUGGGAUUAUUUUAAUUUCUUUGUAAUUGUGUUAUGUUUUUGCAAAUUAAUAAAGGCCCCAACUGUGCUAGUAAAUGUUGCAGCCUAUGGGAAGAUGUUCAUGCCAUGUCAGUUCAUGGAUAAAAUAAUAUUGCUGUUAUUUUGUCACUGUAUCUGGAGAAAUUUCAUGAGGAACUGCUUUGUCUUGGAAGUUAUUAAAGUUCACAUGCCUACACAUCAUGCUUAUUGUUCCAUCCGUUUUUUAAAUAUAUGGUUUUUAGGAUAAACUAAUUAGUGUAAAAUGAGCUAAUUAGCUUAACAUAUAUGUUAAAAACAGAGGGAUCGGAGUACAUAUAUUACCAAUUAAUUAAAGAUAUUAAAGACUCUAAGCGACUCGGUUAUUGUAAUCUGGUAUCAAGUACUAGAGUAGUUCAUGUCAUGUUUAUCGAUCCAGCCUAGUUAUAUAGUUGGCUAGAAGUGCUGUUACGUACAAGCCCAAUGAAGUUAGUGAUGACGUCAAAAAAGUGAUCCUGUGCAUAGGCCUUCACAAUUCCAUUGCUGAAUGAUUGGCAAUAUACGACCAUAUUGAGAAGCUUCACCAACGUCACUGAGAGCAUAAUAUCUACCACUCACUUUUCCUGCUCUGUUUUUGUCAAGCGGAAUUCAUCUCCAUGGAGCAAAAAUAAUCAAUAUUGGUGGUACUAGGAACCAAAACCACUUCAGAACAAACAGUUGCAUUUCAAUGUUAAUCUUUUGGUGUGACUCCCGGUGAUGAAAAUUUUUGGCAUUUCACAAUCUAGAAAAUGGAAAAAUGAGAAACAAAAAUCAUUAAAGAGGUAAAAUGUCAAGUAAAUCAAUGUGUCAACUAUGUAAGUGUCAAAUUUGCGAAGUCCGUCUUUGUAACUGUAGCAAACAUGGCUCAUUAGGUCAUAGUUUGUGAUUUUGGUAAUUGAGUGACAAUAUAGUCAUUGGGACUAAUGAUUUGUCUAGCAUGUAUCUUGUAGGUUUUCUAAGUCCCAAGAAUGUAAACAAAAUCAUGGCAAGGUCCAAAUCAUGGUAUUCUUGAUAUCCAAAUCACGGUAUUCAAGUAUCCAAGCUAUGAUAUUCAAGUGACCAAGCCAUGGUAUCUAGGAUUAUUCUAUGUUAUUGAAGCAUCCAAAUGAUAGAGAAAAUCUAGAGAAAUGGCACCAUCAGAUGUUCCGAUGCCCUAUCUGAGAAGUGUUGGAGCAACCAUCGGAUCAAUUGAUACAAUGGAAAAAUAGAAAAAAGAGUCAAGACCAUCGGAGUUCCGAUGGUAGGUUUUCUAGUAGCGUCGGAUGAAUUUUGGGGUGAAGAAAACAAAGACAAAGAAAACCCUAUAGCACCGGAUGAUCCGAUAGUGGGCCAAGGGGAGCGUCGGACGAACCAUAUUUACUUUGCGAAGUUCUAGAGUUUUUGUCAGAAACUCUUCAUCACCGAACAUCGGAUGAAGCAUCGGAUGAAUUUUUUGUGUGUCAGUAAAGAACUUGGGCGCAGGGAGGCCAACGGCUAUUUGCACCGGAUGUUCCGAUGCUACCAAAAUGAAACCAUCGCAGGGAGGCCAACAGCUAUUUGAACUUGGGCGCAGGAAGUGCUUGGAGAUCAAGACCCAUCAAGAACACAUCCAAGCCACCAAAAGUGCUUAAAUGAUUUGUCAAAGGCUUAGCACAAGUUUAGAAUAGUGAUUAGUGCUAGGAUAGACCUAGAGAAGAGUGAGUGUAAGGUGUGCCUACCUUGUGAUCGGUUCAAGGAGUGAACCACAGUUGUACAAGGUGUGCCGGCGCCUUGGAGCCUUGGUGGCUUGCCGGCAAGUCUUCGACCCUCCGGCUUGGUGUGGAGCGGCGUCGACGACUGUGUGCGGGGAUGUGGAGACACCCUUCCUUCAUGAAGAAGCUCCCUAGUAGAGAUGGUAUCAAGGUGACCGGGGAACUUGGUGUGAGCCUUAGCGGCCAAGCCUUUGUGGUAGGUUAAGAGGUAUCCCGAAAAAGACUUGGUGAUCAGGAAGCAAUACUCUUGUGUGAGUGUUUCAACGACGUGGACUAGUGGUGGCUUAGUGCCUACUGAUACCAUGGUAUAAAUCAUCGUGUCAAGACUUUGCUUCCCCUCAUCCCCUUCUCUUACGUUUCCACGUUACAUUCUUACAACUUGUGUGCCUUUACAUUCUUACCGUAGUAUCUUGCUAGGAUUGGCUCUAGGUCGCAAAACUUGUUUUGGGAUGAGAGUUUCACACUAGAUCAACUGUUGCACAUCUUGAUAGCAUGAUCUAGUUUAUGUUUUAUGCAAAAGUAGUGGAAGCCAUAGGUUAAGGUUUUUAGUUUGCCUAAUUCACCCCUCCCCUCUUAGGCUAUGAGCACCGAUUUCUUAUAGUAAUGUCAAAUUUGCGAAGCAUGUUUGGGGUGUUAAAAAUCUAAAUUUUUCCGGUUUAUCAUCUGGCUUCUAUAUAAAGCGCUAUAGGAAAAUCAACAGUCAAGUCUAAUGCACGGUACGAGCAGAAGUACGUCAAACAGGCAGGGGAAGAGGCUAGUACACAAAUUUGCAUACAGGCAGACGCAUCUAUUACGGUACUCUUCCCCAUUGAAGAACAUGGAAUUUUUCACCCUUUCAGAAGCACUCAGAAGUAUGAGAUCCAUCACAAAUAAUGAAGCUUUUUGUUACUUGCUCCUGGUGCUAAUCUCCCAGCGUGGCUGACUUGCUUUGAGUUGCUCUAGUCGUAACUUGUGACAGUCGAUGUCCCAGUGGAAUUAGGACCAGAUGUCGCAUUUCAAUGGAAAUAAGAGUAGGCAAUGCAAGUAUCAAGAAGACAUCUCAUGGGGGCAGGGAAGGACGAUUUCCACCUCCACGAAGUAGUGAGAACCGAACGCACCGUGUCGAUGUGCCUCGCGGCCUAAGCGGUGGUUCCGGCAGAGCUAGAGGUAGGUGAGCUUGUGGAGAAAUUCCGGUGCUGCCGACUGGGCUAGCAGGGAGUAGACGUGUUCCAGCACCGUCGUCGAUCACGUCCUGAACUCCUGAUCGUACAUGUAGACCGCGAGCUGAAAUAAAGCAAAUGAAAUAAAUUUAAGUUUUGAUCCACUAGCUAAUUUUAGCUGUUAUGAAUCCAAACAGAUCCCAACCAAAUUUUAGCUGGUUCAACCCAGUUAAACUUAGCUAAACUGAUAAAAGAUCGAAUUGCCUCUCCACCUUUCCUGGAAAAAUCAAGAAGAUUGAUAAGAGGUGUGGGAAUCUUUUCAACAAUCAUUUAGCUAAAAUUUAGCUAUCUGACCUUUAGCUAAAAGGAGAUACUAUCUCCAUCCUAGAAUAUAUCUAUUUCUAACAUUCAAAUUUUGUCUCAUAAUAUAGCUAUUUUUGAGUUUCCAAGUGGAUUAUUUGGCAUAAGAGUUCUAAAAUACCCUCCAUGCAUGCAAAUCAAUUAUGGCAUGCAGAUCUAUAUGCAAGCCUGCUACCAAUUAAAUAUGAUAGGUAUAAUUAUUCUAAUGAGGUGUAAUAUAGAUUUUUGAUCUACAUCCUUAAUCUGUCUGAAAAAUUCUAGAAGUAGCUAUAUUUUGGGACGGAGGAAGUACUAAAGUUUAAGUUUAACUAGCUGACAUUUAGCUAAAAAGAGAAAAUCAAGGAGGAGGUCCGCGCUUGGUGCGUAGCAGGUGCUAGAUGUUUCAGAAUUUUUUUGGGCUGGUGACUAGUUUUAUAUUCUCUUGGGCUUGUUGCCGAGCUUAGGUUCUCCUUUAUUUUGUUUGGACAUUGCUAUUCUCCUUUAUUAAUAUAUGAAUGGCAGAAUUCCUGCCAGUUCUUUUUCAAAAAAAAAGCUUUUAGCUAAAAAGAGGUACUAAACUGGUAGCUAAAUUUUAGAUGGGUGUAUCUAAACAAGGUCUCAGGCAUGUUGUAUUUUUCUCUUUCUUUUCUGGAGCACAAGAAAAACAGUAGGGAAACCCUGCUGUCCAGAAGUAUAAUGUAGGAAAGAAAAAGCAAAUUGUACAGGGGCUCAAAGCCACCUAAAAAAGAAGCUGUACGAAAAGGAGAGGAAAAUUAGCCAAGCGGAUUGAGCCAUUGCUAGGAACAAAAGAAUUGCGAGCCUGAAGUACAAUGACAUCAAUAAAUCCUUUCUUCCAAGGAGAGCAUCUGGGUCAAGUAUUUUCGUUCCUUCCGAACGACAUGUCAUCUUUUAAUUUGUUAUCAUACUCCCUCCAUUUCAAAUUGUACGUCGUUUUGGCUUUUCCAUCUAGACAUACACUAUAUAUAAGUGCAUAGUAAAAAUUAUACACCUAGAAAAGUCAAAACGAUCUACAAUUUUGAAUGGAGGAGCAGUUAUUAUUCUCAAUCCAGGUCCUGGUUUGUAACAUCUACCUUCAUUUACCAAUUCUAAAACCUACGAUUAAAUUGAUUCUGAAAUCAAUCUAUGGCGUGCGUUAUGCCAUUUGCAUCAAAGCAGGGCAACUAUGGGUCAUUGGGCAUUGGCCCAUGGACCUCACAUUGAUCAGCCCAAUGUGUUUAUGUUAAGUAGUUAUAUAACAUUGUUGUUGCAAUUGAUUUAGACUAAUGGAAUCAACUCGCCCAGCGUCAUUUCAUAGUUAUUAAGUAUUAAGCAGCCAACAAUACAUGCAUGAAAAUAGUGAAGUUUUGUUACACAAUAAUGGUGGUAUAAGCAUUUUCUUUCACAAUAAUAUCUGACGGCUAAGAGGGGACUGCAACACAUAACCCUCCGUUAAUGUUGUUGCUAUGGUAACCAGACGAUCUGCCUGCAUGCUUUCUGUCCACUUUGAUCCAACUACUGCAAGUGGAUACUUAGGGUUCAAAAUUUCGUUUGCUACUAAUAAUACAGCUUGCACUGUGCUAACUAACUAACCUUAUUAGCUUGUAAGCUGCCUACCUUAUCAUGAUUACCACAUGCAUUUAUUUCUUAAGUCCACAUCUGACUUUGUCAAAGUCGUUAUGAAAACCUCGAGGUCGCCUCUGCAAUGUCAACAACUGCAAGAGGAAUUAAUAGUAUUAUUUGGGUGAUCAGCGGAUGCCUGUGUCUGUGUGUAUCUUCAAACAUGCAGAGUUAAUAUACAUAGGUCGUCGUUUACUAGCUUUGCUGUUAGUAUAAUAGUAAUGCCUGGCCUGAUCACAAAAAAUAAGCCCUGGGUUUAAAUGCUGCGGGCGAUCUCAUUGCCUUUUGACUGUCGUGUCACCAGUUCACGUUUCACAGUGCUAGCUGGAGAGUAUGGUCAAAUGUAGAUCUUUAAGCAAUGCAAAGUCAUGACCAUUCAUAUAUGAAUCUAUUGUAGUAAACAUGAAUUUUGCAGGUAUUGCACCCAAAACAAUUUUUCUCAUGUAGAAGUCAAGAAAAAAUUCCAUGCUCCAAAGAGGGGCAUAUAAUCCUACAAAGUAAUAAGCCAUUUUGUUCUCAGGUCGGUUGAAAUUGAAGUAUUCGUUACAGAUUGGAAGUUACUAGUGCUACCUUUAUUUGUCAGUUCAGUAUAGUACUUGUCCAAGAACCCUAUAUACGCACACAUCAAGGAGACGACAUUUUUAGUAAAUUCCAAGCAAUUUAUGGACCUACAGCACCCAGCUUUCAACUAUAGACAAAGCAGUUCGGUCACUGAAACCUUUUACGUAUCCAGUAGCAGUGAAAAUUAUAUGGAUAACUUCGCCAUUGAGACGAAGAAUACAAGUAAACUGCCUACUUAGAACGGAGCAAACAGUUAGAUUUAGUUUCAAUGGGCCUUUUGGACACCGGUGAUCAUAUCAAAAACUAAAAUUUUGUGCCAAUGAUAAUCUAUAUGGAGAUGACUUUUAAGAAGCUAGGUAGACAGGAGAGCAUAAUUAACAAACUACUGGCGUGAAGACACAAGUUGUAAAUUACAACCACUUCGCUACUUGCAUUUGGCUAAGGUCAAGUCAAGAAGCUCCAUUGAUUCCAGUGGCUUUUAAAGACUCCACUUGGUCUCCAAUGGGAACACCAUUACCGUUAACGUGCAUGCUAUUAAGAUAAAGAACCACUACACGAUCUCAAGCACUAUAAAUACCCAUGCAGCCUUCACUUGGAACUCAUCGCAAACCAUACUCACUAGUAGUAUCUCACAAUGGCAGGCACCAAGCUAGUAGCACUUGGUUUCAUUGUCCUCAUGAGCAUGGGGUUAGCCAAUGCUGUGAGGGUGGCUAGAUACUCUAGUGCUGAUGGGACGGGCACUGGAGGGGGAGGGGGUGGCGGAUACGUGAAUGGUGCAGGAUCAGGAUCAGGGUCUGGCACUGGCGCAGGUGAGAGCGGUUCAAACGGUGUCCAUGCAGCUGCUGGAGGGGGUGGCGGAGGUGGUGGGACUAGCCAAUACGGUGGGUCUGGUUACGGUGGAGGGUCUGGGUCAGGUUCAGGGUCUGGUACAUACAGUCAAGGACCGUAUUCAGGCUAUGGAGAAUCUUCCAAUGCUGGUGGUUCCGGUGGCGGUGGUGGUGGUGGACAAGCUGGAGGCCAUUGGGGAUCUAGUGCACAAGGAUCUGGUAGCGGCACUGGAUCUGGCUCUAGCUAUUCUAAUAGGUAUUGGUACGGACCUAGUUAUGCAGGUGCAAAUGCUAAUGGCAAUGGUGGUGGCAGCGGGAGCAGUCAAAACGGUGGGGGUGGCGGUGGUCAAGGUGCUGGAUCUGGGUACGGCAAUGCCAAUCCCUGAUUUCUGUAUCGACUCAAUCUAAAGUUGGAGCCCAUCCUCCUUUCUUGUUUCAAGUCUGUACUUGUGUUAUGCUUUUGUUAGAAUCAAAUUAAUAAAGGGUGUCCAACUGGAGCAGUAUAAUCUAAGUUGUAACCAUGCAAGUUUAUCAAUAAAAUAAUUACUCCUUUUUUUUCAUUUGGUCACUGUAUCUUGAGAAAUUUCAUGAGGAACUGUUUUGUACUGGGAGUUGUUAGAUUUGGAUGCCUACACCCAGAACAGCAGAAGGUUGUGUUCUACUCCAUCAGUUGUUUUUUUUAAAAAAAUGAUGUUUAGGACAUGGCAAAUUGGUAAAAAAAAAUUACUAGUUAGCUUAUCCUAAACAUCAUAUUUUUAAAAACAGAGGGAUGCCUCUAAUACUAAUUGAAGACAUUAAAGGCUCCAAGUGACUCGAUUAUCAAUGGAGAGUAGUCCAUGUUAUAUUUCAAUGGUACCACCAACUAAUUGGAUUCAUCCAGCCUUGGACAUAGUUGGCAACAAGUGCUGCCACAAGCCCCAAAACGUUAGUGAUGACAUCAAAAAAGUGAUCCGGUGCGUAGGCCUUCACAAUUUCAUUGUUGAAUAAACGGCAAUAUAUGACCAGAAGCUUCACCAAUGUCACUGACAGCAUAAUAUCCAUAGCCCACAUUUCCUGCUUUUUUUUGUCACGCGGAAUUCAUAACCCUGGAGUGUAUUAGGAACCAAAAACAUUUCACAAUGAACAGUUGCAAUUCCAAUGUCAACUUUUCAUGUUUAUAUGAUAUGUUAGUUCUUUUGGUGUGACACACAGUUCAUCUGGCUUCUAUAAAGCGCUAUAGAAAAAUCAAUAGUCAAGUCUGAUGCAGGUAUGAACAAGUACACCAAACAGGUAGGGGAAGGUUUAGUACAAUUUUGCAUACAGACGACUCGUCCGUUACGGUAAUCUUGCCCAACGAAGAGCAUCAGAAUUUUCACCCAUGCAGAAGUGAGACAGGAUGUCCGGAUAAUGUCUAUCACAAAUUACUGAAGCUUUGUUACUUGCUCCCGGUGCGGCUGAUUUGCUUUGACCUGCUCUAGUUGUAAUUGUAACUUGUGUCAGUCAAUCUCCUAGUGGAGUUACUACCAGAUCUCACAUUUCAAAGGGGAAUACGAGUGACAAGUGUCAAUCUGAAUGGCCUGGUUGAGUGUAGGCUUCACUGGAAUGAUGACAGAAGCAGCGGCGUACACACUAACACGAAUCUAAAAUUGCAAGCACAUAAGAGGCAGUAAUGAUAACUUAAGGCACAAGAUUCAUAUACGUAGACAAAGCCUAUCGACUCUCUGUAGUAGACUUAUACCCACCAUUAGUAACUUCCUGCUAAAGCUCAGCAGGCAAUCAUGCACAACAUAAUUCCAGCCUGCUGUCAGGUACUCACGCUUCGAUCUGCCUCGGCACCCAAAACACGUUACUCCCAGGAUUCUCAUGCUGUGCUGAUCCCGCUAGUCUCAGAUCGCUCUGAAGUUCUGCAAACCGCAUGGAGGUGUGCUCAGGCUGGUGUACAGGGGCUUAAAGCCACCUAAAAGGGAAGCUGCACAAGGAAAGGAAAAUUAACCAAGCAGAUUGAGCCAUUGCUAAGAAAAACUCCUAGCUGGUGCCUUUACUCUAUGACACUGAAGUAGAAUGACAUCGAUCAGUAAAUCCUUUUCCUCCAAUGAGAGCAGCUGGGUCAACUAUUUUCGUUACUUCCAAAUGAAACAUCUCGUCUUUUAUUUGUUACAGUUGUUCCCAAUGUAGGUAGCCCCUGUUUCUACUAUCUACCUUCAUUUACCAAUCCUAGAUUCUAAAUCCAGAAAAGAGAACCUACGGUUAAAUUGAUCCUGAAAUCAAUCUAUGGUGUGUGCUAUGCCAUUUGCAUCAAAGCAGGCAAACUAUGGGUAAUGGGCCCAUGGCCUCACAUUGAUCAGCCCAAUGUUUUAUGUUAAGUUAUCAAUGCUGUGUGUUGCAAUUGAUUUAGACCAAUGAAAUCAACUCACCCAGUGUCAUUUCAUAGUAAUUAAGCAACCAGCAAUGCAUGUACGCAAAAAAAAAAAACUAUAAGCAGGAUCCCAGCAUUCCAAGAUUAUAUCAAUUUCGGAAGGGAGGUGGUAGUAAAGUUUCGUUACAUUAGCAAGGACGUGGUAUAAGCAUUUUCUUUUACAAUACUAUCUGACAGCUACGAAGUGACUGCAAGACAUAACACUCUGUUAAAUGUUGUUGCUAUGGUAAACCAGACGAUCUGCCUGCCUUGGGUCGACUUUGAUCCAACUACUGCAAGUGGAUACUUAGGUUCAAAAUCUAUUUUGCUACUAAUACAGCUUGCACUGUAUUAAUUAACCUUGUAAGGUGCCUACCUUAUCAUGAUCACCACAUGCAUAUAGUUCUUAAGGCCACAUCUGAUUUUGUCAAAGUCGUUAUGAAAACCUUGAGGUCGCCUCUGCAAUGUCAACCACUGCAAGAGGAAUAGAAUUGUUCGAGUGAUCAGUGGAUGCCUGAGCUGCGUUGAUCUUCAAACAUGCAGUUAAGAAUUAAUACAGGUCAUCGUUUACUAGCUUUGCUGUUAUUAUAAUACUAAAGCCUGAUCAAUAAUAAAAUAGACCCUAAGUUUAAUUACAGCGGGUGAUCUCAUUAUCUUUGGAUUGUUGUGUCACCAGUUGUUCACGUUUUACAGCUUUGGAGUCUGGUCAAAUGUACAUGUAAGCCAUGCAGAGUCAUAUGCAUUCAUAUAUGGAAUCUAUCUAUUGUAGAACACAUGAAUUUGCAGGUAUUUCACCCAAAACAAUUUAUCUCAUGCAGAAGUCAAUAAAAUUGUUCAUGUUCCAAAGAGGGCAUAUAAUCCUUAAAAGUAAGACACUUUGUUCUCAGGCCGGAUGAAAUUGGAGUAUUUGUCACAGAUUGGAAGUUACUAGUACUAUCCUUGUCAGUUCAGUCAUACUUGUACAAGAACCCUAUAGAUUUAUGCACACAUCAAGGAGAGAGAGCAUUUAAAGCGACAGGUUAUGGACCCGAAACCGCUCUCAACAAUUAGACAAAGCAGUUCAGUCACCAAAGCCUUUCACAUAUUUAGUAGCAGCGGCAAGUACAAAAAACAGUAGUAUGCAUAACUUCACCUUUGAGACGAAGAAUACAAAUUAACUGCCUACUUAGAACAGAGCAAACAGUUAGGUUUGGUUUCAAUGGGCCUUCUAGACACAAAUGAUCAUAUCAAAUGCUAAACUCUUGCCGCAGUGAUAAUCUAUGGAGUCAUGGAGAUGACUUUUCAGAAGCUAGGAGCCUAGGACUUAGCAGACCAUCCAGACAGGAGAGCAUACCAAGCACUAGCGUGAAGACAAGUUGUAAAUUGCAACCACUUCGCUACUUGCAUGUGGCUAAUGGUCAAGUCAAGAAGCUCCAUUAAUUCCAUUCGCUUUAAAAGCCUCCACUUGGUCUCCUAUGGGAACACACUGCCGUUAACUUGCAUGAUAUUAAGAUAAAGAACCACUACGUGGCCUCCAGCACUAUAAGUACCCAUGCAGCCUUCACUUGGAACUCAUCACAACCCAUACUCACCAGUAGUAACUCGCAAUGGCAGGCACAAAGCUAAUAUCACUGGGGUUCAUUGUCCUCAUGAGCAUGGGAUUAGCCAAUGCUGUGAGGGUAGCUAGAUACUCUAGUGCUGAUGGGACGGGCACUGGAGGGGGAGGGGGUGGUGGAUAUGUGAAUGGUGCAGGAUCAGGGUCAGGGUCCGGCACUGGCGCAGGUGAGAGCGGUUCAAACGGUGUCCAUGCAACUGCUGGAGGGGGUGGUGGAGGUGGUGGGACUAGCCAAUACGGUGGGUCUGGUUACGGUGGAGGGUCUGGGUCAGGUUCAGGAUCUGGUACAUACAGUCAAGGACCGUAUUCAGGCUAUGGAGAAUCUUCCAAUGCUGGUGGUUCCGGUGGCGGUGGUGGUGGUGGACAAGCUGGAGGUCAUUGGGGAUCUAGUGCACAGGGGUCUGGCAGUGGCACUGGAUCUGGCUCUAGCUAUUCUAACAGGUAUUGGUACGGACCUAGUUAUGCAGGUGCAAAUGCUAAUGGCAAUGGUGGUGGCACCGGGAGCAGUCAAAAUGGUGGGGGUGGCGGCGGUUCAGGUGCUGGAUCCGGAUACGGCAAUGCCAACCCCUAAUUUCUGCAUCAACUCAAUCUAAGUUGGUGCCCAUCAUCCUUUGUUGUUAGAAGUCUUCGGAUUAUUUUGGUUUCUUUGUACUUGUGUUAUGCUUUUGUUAGAAUCAAAUUAAUAAAGGGCCCAACUAUUCUAGUAAAUGCAGCAGCCUGAUUUAAGGUGCAGCUUAUGAGAAAUAUACUGACCAUGUCAGUUUAUCGAUAAAAUAAUACUCCUGUCAUUUUGUCACUAUAUCUGGAGAAAUUUCAUUAGAAACUGUUUUGUCUUGGGAGUUAUUAAGUUCAGAUGCCUACACGGUGCUUAUCACAUGGUUGUGUUCUACCAACAGUACUAAUUAAAGACAUUAAUUAAAGGUUCUAAGCAACUCGGUUAUUGUAAUCUAACAUCAAUGGAAGUACUAGAGUGGUUCAUGGGCUCAUGGCAUAUUACAGAAGUAAACAGAGAUCGGAUUAUUUUUACUUACAAUGAUAGCACCAACUGGAUCGAUCAAGCCUUGGACUUGGACCUAGUUGGCAAAAAGUGCUGCCACAAGCCCAAUAACAUUAGUGAUGGUGUCAAAACAGUUCCUGUGCAUAGGCCUUCACAAUUUCAUUGGUGAAUGAGCGGCAAUAUAUGACCAGGAGAAGCUUCACCAUGUCACAGAGCAUAAUGUCCACAACCCACAUUUCCUGCUCUUUUUGUCAAGCAGAAUUCAUCUCCCUGGAGCAAAAAUUAUCCAUAAUGGUGGUGUACUAUGAACCAAAAAUAAAUAAUCAAUAUCGGUAGUGUACUAGGAACCAAAAAUAUUUCAAAAGAAACAGUUCCAAUUCCAAUGUCAACAUUUCAUAAAUAUAUGCCAUGUUAGCUUUUUUGGUGUGACCCACAGUUCAUCUGGCUUCUAUAAAGCACUAUAGAAAAAUCAAGUCAAGUUUAAUGCAGGUACGAACAGAAGUACGUCCAAGAGUGACAAAUAUCAAGCAGAAUGGCCAUUGUUGAUCGCUGUGGCCUGUAGGCUUCUGUGGAAUGACGAUAGAGCAAGGCUCAGAGGAUCUGGCAGCAUACAUGAAUCUAAAAUUGUAAGCACUGAAGAUGCAGAAUAAUAACUUAAGGCACAAGAUUCAUAUACGUAUACAACAGCUAUCUAUUCUUUAGAAGAUUACCCACCAGUAGUAACUGCCUGCUACAGUUCAGCAGGCAAUCAAAUAAAAUAUGCACAACAUAAUCACAGCCUGCUGUCACGUACUCACAUGCAAUCUGCUUUGGCACCCAAAACAGGAUUCUCUGAUCCCAUUAGUUUCAGAUCAUUCUGAACCGUGUUGGAUUUCAGUCAGCUAUGUGUCAUGCGACCGAGCAUGCUCGGGCUGGUGGGUGAACUCAUAGUCGAGGUGGACGAAGGCCCGCUCAAUCUCAGGCAGGCGCUCCAGCUUCUCCUGCAGGGCCUCGCCGAUGUCAUGGGCCUCUCGCAGGGGCAUGGCGCAGGGAAGGACGAUAUCCACCUCCACGAAGUAGUGGGAACCAAAUGUGUACGCCCGCACCGUGUCAAUGUGCCUCACGGCCUUGUGGUGGUUCCAGCAUAGGUAGGUGAGCUUCUGGAGAAAUGCUGGUGGUGCCGACUGGCCGACCAGAGAGUGGACAUUGUCCAGCACCGUGAUCGACCACAUCCUGAUUGUGUAGAUCGCGAGCUGCAAAGGAACAAGGGAGAUAACUUCAAACAUGUCAUCUUUUCCUUCUUUUUUUAGCAAGAACAGUAGGGGAAACCCUACUGCGGUAAAGAAAGUUGUCCAAAAGGGAGAGGAAAAAAUUAACGAAGGGCAUGAAGGCAUGCUAAGGAAAAAUAAAUUUCUAGUAGAUAGUUCCUUUACUGAGCCUGAAGUAAAAUGUCAUUGGUAAAUCCUUUCUGCCAAGAAGAGAAGCUCGGUCUAUUGCUUUUGCUACUAAUACAGCUUGCAUUGUACUAAUUAAUUAACCUUGUGAUCUGUCUCCCUUAUCAUGAUCACCACGUGCACAUAGUGAUUAGUCCAUGCCCGAAUUUGUCAAAGUCUUUACGAAAAUCUCGAGGUCGCCUCUGCAAUGUCAACCACUGCAAGAGGAAUAAGAAUUGUUUGGGUGCUCAGCGUAUGCCUGUGCUGAUCUUCAAACAAGCAGUUCAGACUUAAUGCAGGUUGUCAUUUACUAGCUUCACUGUUAGUAUAAUGCUAGUAUCUGACAACAAAAGAUAAACCCUGGGUUUAAUUACUAUGGGCGAUCUCAUUAUCUUUUGAUUGUUGUCUCACCAGCUGUACAUGUUUCACAGUGCUGGAGAGAAUGGUCAAAUGCAUACAGUGUAAGGAAUGAAAUGGCAUGAGCAUGCAUAUUUAAGCGUAUUGUCAUAUGCAUAAAUUUUGCAGGUUUUUCAACCAAACAAUUUAUUCCAAGAGAAAGCCAAGACAAAAUCUCAUGUUCCAAAGGGAGCACAAAAUCCUUGCGAAAGUAAGACACUUGCUUUUGUUCUCAGGUCGGGUAAAAUAGAGUAUGUGUUAAGAGUUUGGAAGUUUCUAGUAUAUACUUUACAGAUCUGUAUGGUUUAUCUUUGGAGCUCUGCUGGCGCCAAGCACUUGUGUCUGCUUGGAUGGCCAAUGGCAGGAAGCCUGCUACACGUUUAGUCUCUCUGGUCUCUCCUCCUUCCUAUCUGGUUGUUGUUGUUUCUUACUAGGAACAGUCUUGUGAGCCUUUGAUCCGUAUACGUGCGCCCGGUUGGCCCGCGUUGUAACUAAACGUUCUUCGUUAUAUCUUCUUAAUACAAAGAUACGCAGCUCUCCUGCGUAUUCUCGAAAAAAAAAUAAAGAUCUGUAUGGUCCUUAUCCAAGAACCCUAUAAAUGCACAGAUCAAGGAGAGACACAACAUGUAAGUAAAUUUCAAGCGAUAGUUUAUGGAACGGGACCUAGCUUCACCUAUUAGACAAAUCAGUCUGGUGCCAAAAUCUUUUGCUGAUUUAGUAGCAGUGACAAGUACAAAAAACUGAAAAAACUUGAUAAAUAACUUCACUAUUAACACUUAGAAUGGAGCAAGCAGCUAGGUUUAGUUUGAAUGGGUCUUCCAAACACCAAUGACCAUGUCAAAUGCUAAAACUUUGUGCCAUCAAUAAUAUAUGGAGAUGACUUUAAGAAGCUAGCACUUAGGAGAUCAUCUAGAGAGGAGAGCAUAGCGAGUACUAGUGAGAAGAAAAUUCGUAAAUUGUGGCCACUUCUCUUCUUGCAUGUACUCAAUGGUCAAGUCAAGAAGCUCCAUUAACUCCAAUGGCUUUUAAAAGCCUCCACUUGGUCUCAUAUCGAAACACCACUACCGUUAACAUGCAUGCUAUUAAGAUAAAGAACCACUGCAUGGCCUCAAGCACUAUAAGUCUAUAAAUACCCAUGCAGCAUUCACUGAGAACUCAUCUCAACUAAAAUACUCCCUAGUAGUAGCUCACAAUGGCAGGCACAAAGCUAAUAUCACUGGGGUUCAUUGUCCUCAUGAGCAUGGGAUUAGCCAAUGCUGUGAGGGUAGCUAGAUACUCUAGUGCUGAUGGGACGGGCACUGGAGGGGGAGGGGGUGUGGAUAUGUGAAUGGUGCAGGAUCAGGGUCAGGGUCCGGCACUGGCGCAGGUGAGAGCGGUUCAAACGGUGUCCAUGCAACUGCUGGAGGGGGUGGUGGAGGUGGUGGGACUAGCCAAUACGGUGGGUCUGGUUACGGUGGAGGGUCUGGGUCAGGUUCAGGGUCUGGUACAUACAGUCAAGGACCGUAUUCAGGCUAUGGAGAAUCUUCCAAUGCUGGUGGUUCCGGUGGCGGUGGUGGUGGUGGACAAGCUGGAGGCCAUUGGGGAUCUAGUGCACAGGGAUCUGGUAGCGGCACUGGAUCUGGCUCUAGCUAUUCUAAUAGGUAUUGGUACGGACCUAGUUAUGCAGGUGCAAAUGCUAAUGGCAAUGGUGGUGGCAGCGGGAGCAGUCAAAACGGUGGGGGUGGCGGCGGUCAAGGUGCUGGAUCUGGGUACGGCAAUGCCAACCCCUGAUUUCUGUAUCAACUCAAUCCAAAGUUGGAGCCCACCUUCCUUUCUUGUUUGAUGUCAGUAGGAUUAUUUUGGUUUCUCUGUACUUGUGUUAUGCUUUUGUUAGAAUCAAAUUAAUAAAGGGUCCACCUGUUCUGGUAACAGUAGCAGUCUAGUGUAAGGUGCAGCUAAUGAAAAGAUGUUGUAACCAUGUCAGUUUACAAAAUAAAUACUCCUUUGUCAUUUGGUCACUGUCUGAAGAAAUUUCAUAAGGAACUGUUUUGUCUUUGGAAUUAUUUAGUUUAGAUACCUACACCAUGUACAUUCACAUAUCUAAGUUACUAACUAAAACAUAUUAAAGUCUCUAAGCAACUUGGUUAUUAUGAUAUAUAUAUCAAUGAAAUUACAAGAGUAGUUUACGUCAUAUUAUACAGAAGUAAAUAGAGAUUGGAUUAGUGUUACUUACAAUGAUAGCUCCAACUGGGUCAAUCCAGCCUUGAACAUAAUUAGCAAGAAGUGCAGCCACAAGCCCAAUAACAUUGGUGAUGACAUCAAAAAAGUGAUCCUGUGCACAGGCCUUCACUAUUUCAUUGGUGAAUGUUCGGCAAUAUAUAACCAGGAGAAGCUUCACCAGUGUCACUGAGAGCAUAAUAUCGACAACCCACUUUUCCUGCUCUUUUGUCAAGCGGAAUUCAUCGCCCUGAUAAAGCAAAAGUAUUCAAUAUCGGCAGUACAAGUUACAGAAAAUAUUCAGAAGUAGAAGUUGCUUUUACAAAAUCACUUUUCAUGAAACUGAUUGCUUGAUCCAUUCGCUAUGUCAACUGUGCCAGAUAGGCAGGGAGGAUAAGUUUGCGUCAAGCAGAAGUGCACCAAUAGGAUAAACAUGAGAAGUGAACUUACAUCGGAUACCAGUGAGUGUGUAGAUUCUAUGAUAAUUUGAAGACCAAGCGUAGCCAUGACAGAAGCGAAAACUAGUAUUCCCUGCAUCACAGAUUGUGGUAAACUAGUCAAAAAGAUAAAUUGGAAACUAAGGACAAUUAAAAAAUCAUUUGUACACUUAAUCUGAAAAAAAAGCGAAAAGGUAAAAAAAAAUUCAUGAAACAGAGUUAAACUGUGAUUUUGGUUACAAGGCUCAAGGCCUCAAACUGUCAGAUGAGCUUUCAUGCUGAAAUUCUGGUAUUGUCCGCGAUCGUUCAAUGUGUAGUUUUGCAAAAUUUUGCUAGAGGUGUCAAUUUCGGUUUUAAAACUUGCAGCUUUGCAAGUAAUAGGACCUAUUGUAAUUCUAGUUUGCAUAAAUAACAUCACAUGUGAGCAUAAUUGUGCCCUAACAUCCAGUCUCUCAAGAACAGUUAAAGACCAGAAAGAGGAACAGAAGGCCAUUUCUUCUAUCCUUUUUUUCCUUUUACGUUUUGUGCUAAUUUGCUUUGCUGAAUUAAUAUCUAGGAGGCAACACAUCAUUUCUAGUAACAAUACACAAGGACUAUUGAAGAAAGAAAUGUAAAAUGAAAAUGCUUCGAUCAUUCUAUUCAAACUGAAUCGAAUGCAAGAAAUAAAAGUAAAUAACAAGCAUAUUCUAAUUGAUGUGGAACUCACCAGAGGUUGCAUGCGCCUUUUACCAAUUGGGUAUCUGUAUGGGUUUGGUGUUUGCAUAGAAAAGGCAGUAAACCACAAUAUAAAACCAGAUAACAAGUCGAGUAGAGAAUCCAAGGUGGAAGCAACAAUAGCUAGGGAGUCACUCCUUACUGAGGCAUAAACUUUUGCCGCAAAAAGAACCAUGUUUGCAAUGUUAGAUAAUCGGAUGGCCCAUGUCUCUUUUUGGGCAACCAUCUCUCGCUCUUCCUGCAAGUAUAAAGUAGGAUAAUCUACAGGUAAAAAAGAAUUGCUUCAUAUUGGAAAGAAAAAAAUGCUGGACAUUUUAUCUGCAAGGAAGUGUUUUCUCUUUCCCUUUUUUCAUGACUCAGAGGAAGAGUACACAACAAACCUUAGACAUUCCAGGAAGGAAACCACGAUCUGCCAGUGUAUCCAUUUCAUUAAAACCUUCCAGCAUUUCCAACUGUUGUUGGUAGUAUUCUGCAACAUCAUCAGCAGAGCCUUGAGCUGCAGAUAUAGUUAAAAAUGGUGCAUUAGGAGACUGAACUAUAUCAACAGGAUCCAAACAAUUGUAUGCAUUACUCUCAGAGGAACUCAAUCCACAAGAAUAAUAUUUGUGGAGCAGAUAGAAAUAUAUGCAACUAUAUCAAAGGAUCCAAUUUGUUGGAUUUCGUUUCAUCGUUUGUGUGUCAGACAUCUUGCAUGCACAAAAUGUGAACUUCCACCAUCCAUACAGAAUCUUUAUCCUUAUGUAAACAAUGAGAACUUUGAAGUUCUGAUUAAUGGUUUCCAGAUUUCAUCUCUGCAUGGAAUGUAUAGUUUUUUAGAAAAUACAAGUUCCCAAACCUUCUACAUCAGGAAAUCCUCAAAGAGACAAACAAUAGACAGGUGAAAAGAAAACAUAUAAUCAAAUGGAACAAAGAUAAAUCUAGUGGACAGAUUCAAAUGCAAAAUGGAAAAAGUGGCAGUAGGAUCUUCAGUUCAAUAGUUCAUAAUAAAACCUUUGACUUAUUGAACCAAUUACAAAAAGGUAAAGCAAUUUCAACAGAAAAUAGAACCAUGAUGUUUUUCAACUAGAAGUCAAUGCGCAAAAGAAUACGAUUAAAGAAAAAUCAGCAUGCAGUGGUUCCGAGAUUUGAUGGAUCUCUCUUACUGAUUUCCAAAUAAAAAUGAAACUCAAUUUUGAAUCUGGAACACAACCACGGACUAAUAAAAUUCACCAACAUUUUCAAACAGGUUCAUGGCAUCUGAACAUGAGAAAAAAACACACACUAAGAUACCAAGUUACCAACUCCAACGAGCAUACAUCAUCCCAUAAUUACUCUCCUGACCAAAUCUAAUGGCUCUUAUCAGUGAACUACUCGAUGAAAAUUCUACCAUUUCAACGGAAAAACACGUGGAGUGCGCUGCUGCACGGACAAAGUAAAAAACACCGCUGCAAACCAUCUAUUCGUACACUAUCUCCUCGAUUACUUUAAUAAAUCGCCGUGCCAAAUAUGACAAAUUGACAGUGACUAGUGAGCUGUUAGUCAAACACAACUCCAGAUCAACAAACAAACAAAAGUCCUACUCCAAACACACGUGCAUACAAAACCGUGACAGAACUAGUAGCCAUCGCUAGCGAGAGCGUUCAUCGGAGAGGCAAGACAGACCUAGCACGCCGAGGCAGUCGUGGAGCCCGCGCGCCGGCUUCUCCUGCUCCGCCUCCGGGCGGCGGAACCGGUCGAAGUUGAGCCGCCAGGGCCUCUCCCCCAAGCACAAGCCGCCGCUCACGUCGUCCCCGGCAUCCACGGCACGGAGGAGCAGCUCCUCGCCCUCUUCGCCACCCCUCGCUCCAGCCGCCGCCAUUCCCUCCGCGCCUGCCCCUCUCUCCCGAACCCUCGUGGUCGACGACACGGGCCUCCCGCAAGCCGCGACAAGGAAGAGCGAUGAGGAGUAGAGCUAGAGGAGCAGCCGCGAUGAUGGAAAUGGGCGCUGGGCGGCGGGCCUUUGCAUCUUCGCCUCGUCUUCCUCCGCCGCCGCCGCCGUAAGAAUAGAGGAAGGAGGGGUGCGAACAUUCGCGGUGAGCCGGGGGCGGCUGCGGCGUCGGGAUCGCGGUGGACGCGCGGGAUGGCGCGGGCGUCGCUGGACUCGGUGCAGCGAGCGGUGCGGGGAGCCGGUGCACCGUGCACCGGUUCCCUAGACGGUGCAGCGAGCGGCGCGGGGAGCCGGGGGGCCUGGGAAUCGAGACGGAUUUGAUCCUGCGCAGGAGGGCGCGCAGCCAAGGCGAGGCGCCGAGCGUGGCGUGGGCAUUGUUGACUAGCUGAAGAAUGGUGUGCUCUGCAUCUAAUCCCAGGUGUGUGAAGUCGACGUGCGUGCCCAUCCGAAUCUGGUGCUCGCCUGCUUUUCGGCAACACUACCAAAAAGAUGAACCGAGCAUACUGUGGUAAAGUUCUAAAAGGAAGAGUACUGGUGCGUCACGUGGGUGACAGUUCAGGUGACAAAAUUAAGGUCCUGUUUGGCACGACUCCACUCUUAAACUCCAGCAACUCCAUCAAAAAAUUUAGCCAAACACCCUAACUCCAAAACUCUAUGGAGUUGCCAACUUCAUGGAGCUGUAGUGCAAAUGGAGGUGGAGUUUUGGAGCACCUCUUUUGCUGCUCCAGAAACAUCUCUUUUGAACCUCCUCGUGGAGUUGGUGGGUAAUUACCCACCAAUGCUACUGGUUAUAAAAAAAACGUUUCAUUCUAUUCUCCCUUCUAUUAUCUCGAGCCCCACUCGCCGCCCGUCGCCGCCCCCGUGGCCGGCCGGCCUCGCCGCUCGCCGCCGCCCGUCGCCACGCCCGUCGCCGCUCGCCGCGGCCCGUAGCCGCCCCCGUCGCCCGUCACCGCCCGCCACCCGCCGCCCGUCGCCGCCUGUCGUCGCACAUCGUCGCCCGUCACCGCUCGUCGCCCGUCGCCGCCCGCCGCCUGUCCUCGCACGUUGUCGCCCGUCGCCGCCCGUCGUCGCCCGUCGCCGCCCGCCGCCCUGCACCGCCCCCGUCGCCGCCCACCCCGCUGCCCAGCCCGCCGCCCGUCGCCGCCUCCCGUCGCCGCACCCGUCACCCGUCGCCGCCCGUUGCCGCACCCGUCUCCCGUCGCCGCACCCGUCGCCCGUCGCCGCCCGCCGCCCGUCAUUGCCCGUCGCCGCCCACCCCGCCGCCCGUCGCCGCCUAGCCCGCCACCCACCCCGCCGCCCGUGGAGGGUCUCCCGUGUGCAGCACAUUGCAGUGGAAAAAGGGGAAGAAGAAGAUGGGAUAGAGAGGAUGACAAGUGGGGCCUUAAUUAGGGGGCAACAAUGGUAAUCCACACUGAAAUCGAUCUUUUUUGGAGCUGAGAGCACCCAUCUAGCCAAACACCUCAUUUUUGUUCUGGAGUUUUGGAGCGGAGCUGGCUCCAUGUGGAGUUCAGGAGUGGAGCAGCUCCACCCGGAGUUGGAGCCAUGCCAAACAGGGCCUAAAUAUUGUUCGUAGUAAACAAAUAGAAACGGUUGUAAUCCUAGGGAAUCUUCUUCCUGGAUUCAUUAGAAGAAUGUAGACCUUUAUACAGUAUAGAAUGGAAUUUCAGGAUGGUUAUAAAAAUAAAUUAAUUGAAUUGCUGAAAUAUAAGAAUCACUGCUGGAGGAAAAGGCUUACUGCAAAUAGGAUCAAGCUAGGAGAUGAAUGUACAAAAAAUUUUCAUGCUAUGGCCACUGUUUCCUAUAGAAAGAACAUUCACCAAUGCCACAAAUCUAAGAGAGAAAUCAUCAUACUCAAAUUAGACUUUACUAAGGCCUUUGAUACAGUAGAGCAUUCUUUGAUAAUUGAUGUCAUGAUUCAAAUGUGUUUUUCCGAAAAAUAGAUUACCUAGAUAAAGUUAUUGUUUAACUCCGUUUUUUCCUCGGUUCUCCUAAGUGGAGUUCCUGGGAAACAGCAGUUCAAGUGCAAGCGUGGAGUACAACAAAGGGAUCCUUUAUCACCACUUUAUUUGUCUUGGCUGCUGAACUCCUACAAGUGGUAGUAAACAAGGCAUUCCAUGAUAACCAUCUUGAAGCACCCCUCCCUUAGGAUAGCACUGAUUUUCCUAUAGUACAAUAUGUUGAUGACACGAUUCUGAUUAUGCAAGCAGACAGUACUCAACUGCUCUUCCUCAAAGAAUUACUCCAAGUUUUCUCUCAGUCAACUGGCCUAAAGGUUAAUUACAACAAAUCGUCAAUGAUUCCCAAUCAAUGUCUCUCAAGUGACAAAAUGGAAGCACUGGCUGCAGAUUUCGGAUGCCAAAUUGGAUCCAUGCCCUUUACCUAUCUUGGUCUGCCUAUGGGUACAAUAAAGCCAAAGAUUGAGGACUUCUCUCCUAUUAUGGACAGAGUAGAAAGUCGACUCACAGCAUGCUCAUCACUUUUAUCCUUCUCGAAUCGACUUGAAAUGGUAAACUCAGUUAUCACACCCUCAGCCUUUUAUGCCAUGUGCACUUUUAAACUUCAUAAGGGAGUGAUUGAAAAUAUAGAUAGAGCAAGAAAGCAGUGUCUUUGGAGAGGAAAUGAUCUAACUAAGAAAGGUGGAAACAUUGCUGCUUGGACAAUGGUCUCCCUCCCCAAAAGAAAAGGUGGCUUGGGAGUCUUAAAUUUAAGAUUGCAAAAUGAUGCCCUACUCCUGAAACAUUUGCAUAAGUUCUACAAUAAGCAAGAUAUUCCCUGGGUAAACUUGAUUUGGUCAACAUACUACAGGGAUAAGGUCCCCCAUGCCUAUAGGGAAAUUGGCUUAAUAAUAGAAAUCUAUGAACGAGUUAGCCUUAAUUUUCCACAAGCAUUAGAAAAAAACAAGAUAAGGAAAAAAAAAGGCGCAAAAACAUAGUUCAUCAUGAAUUACAACCAAGUUCUAAUGCCAAACAAGUUAAACCAACCAAAGUUCAUGCAAGUCUCAAAUGAAAAGCCAAAGUUCAUGCACUCACUCACAAAUGCAAACCAACAUACAAAGUUCUAAGAUGCAAUCCAUCAUGAUCUGCUCCUGCAAUCCUGCAAGUGUGCAUCUUAACAAUCACUCCUCCAAACUUCUACAAUUCUUCUCCCCCUUUGGCAUCAAGUACCAAAAGAGGCUAAUCAUCCUGAAGCGCCAGUGGAGGAGGAUAAAAUGGCUGAUGAGGAUAGAACUGAGGAGGAGGUGCCGGAGCUGGAAAGAUGAUGUAGAAGUAAUCACUGAAACCCGAGAAGCUGGAUGACGAAACACUGACAUCAUUCUCAAGUUUCUGUUGUUGCUCCACAACCCGCUGAUGCUGCUCAGUCAUGCUCAAGUUAUUGAAUCUAGCAUCCAAAGCCUCAAUGUCAGUAUGAAGGCCCUCCUGAACGUGUUGCAGCCUAGCCAUGAUGGGCUCAUACAUGGUGGAGUGGAUGUGCUGCCCAAAAGCCUGAAAGCGGUUAUCUAUCUGCUGUUGAACACCCUGCUGCAUAUUCUAAAAAUUAGUAAUCAUCUGCUGCCCAAAUGCCUCAAGGUGUAACCUAAACCCCUGCUGCAUAUUUUGGAAGUUUUCAUUCAUAUUCUGCUGCAUAGUGGCAAAGUAGGGAUCAAAGUAUCCUGCAGGAGGUGCCCACUAUGACUGCAUAGGUGGUGGAGGAGGAGGCAUAGCAUGUGCAUCAUCAUCUUGGGCUUGAGCCCCUCCCACAUCUCCCUCAUCUUGAACUCCUCCAUCAUCGGGAAAUGGAGUCAAUGCCCUUUCAAGAAAUGCUUUAUCAUUUUUAUAUGGCUUAAAGAAAGUGUGAACCACCUCACAAGGACCUCUGAACCUUGUCUUUGCCUUAAUAAGAGACAUAAUGUAGGGAGCAAAGUAGAUAUUGAUCUCAAGAUUCACCUUUUUAGCAACAAUCUGAUCCAUGAUCAAUCGAACCACAUCAUAUUUUUGUCCAAACAUAACAUGAUGAACAAAAUUUCUAUGAUAGCACAAAAAAGCAUCCUUAUAUCCACUCUUGGAAAGCAUAGUGACUCGAGAAACCUUAUUGAUGACAGCCGGAUAAUGCAUAAGACCAUUGAUCUUGCCAUAGAUUCUAAAGAUACCCAUCCUAUCCAGCUCAUAAAACUGAGUAAUUUCAUCAAGCUCUAGUGGAUUCUCAUCAACCAUAUUAUAGCUUUGAUCAUCAGUGAGAAAAUCAUAAUUCAAUUUAUUGACGUCAGCAAAUUUAGCAAAAGUAGCCUUAUACUUUCUCUUGCCCGUUAUCCACUCUAUUUUCUCUUUCUCAAAAUCAAUUUCUACGGUAGCAUAGAACUGAUGAAUAAUUGUUUCAUUCCAAUCACACCUAUGCUCAAGAAAUGCUUUCAAACCUAUGACUUCAAAUUUCUGAACUAGAUCACACAUCACAGACUGCUGAAUAAUAUAGAGGAAGUCUAUAGUUUAAUGCUUGUAUACGGUUUUAUUCACUAGAUGACCAAAGAAAGCAUCCUCUUGUACCUGAGUAUGGAAGAAUAGGUUUGAAGUGCUGCGAGGAAGACCAUAUUGGUAAGGAGUUAUUUCCUUUGAAUAUGUAUUCAUAGUCCACUUCUUUCUUGGAGCAGUGUGAGAUAGCACGUCAAUGAUCUCAUCCACAUUAUCCCCUUGGUUCAACUCAUCACUCUCAUCAUUAUUUGAAAGAGCCACUGAAGAUUCAAUCUCACUAGGCUCAUAAUCAUCAUCUCCUGAGUCAUCCUCAUCAUCAACCCUCAGCCUUUUAGAUAAAUUUCCCUUUUUUCAUCUUGCUAGCCAAGGCCUUAGUAAUGCGGCGAACUCAAUCACUAUCAAGAACAUGCAUUACAAGCAUAAGUUUGAUUGAUAUGAAUAAAAGAAUAAACAAUAAUCCUUUUAGAUGCCAUAGUCCCUGGUGCAGUCACUGAUGACCUACGAACGGUCCGCCUGGGAGGGGCGGACGAUCCACAGUUCAUCGUGGCUACGACCGGGAACCGUGGGUUCCAAGAUUCCAAUCCAUGGAUAUUCAAUUUUAGACCAAAUCGAUCAACCAAACUUUGAACAUAUCUUCUCCUUGUCAUUAGAAAUCAAUCCCCCAAACCAAAAGCACGAAUCCAUGCACCAAUUUCAGAUCAUCCAUCAAAACCCUAACCAUCUUCAUCCUUGAAAUCCAAAGAAACCAAAAGGGGAUUUGAAAUAAUACCGUCUGGUUAUGCUGGAGGAUCACGCGGAGAGUCCGGAGAUGUGAGCAGAUGGUCCGGGGAACCCUCCAAAUUCUUUCCCUAGGUGAGAGUCCCUUUCUUGACAAAGGAGAUGAAAAAGAGAGAGGAGGGCUGAUAUGGUUAGGUGAAGAAGAAAGGGGGUCACCUCCUUUAGAUAAAGACCCGUUGGACUGGGUCCACCUCCUGCCCGACAGGCGCGGGCGGUCCGCCAGGGGGGCGGACGGUCCGCCAUAUAAAACUGCCCACUUUCGAAAUCCCGAAAAAUUUCUGCAUAAAACUGACCCAAACGCGAACGGUCCGCCUCUCACCCGCGGACGGUCCGUCGGUGCCGAACUGUCCGCCUAUGAGGGCACGGACGGUCCGCAUUAUACUGUCCAAAAACCCUUUGAAUGCCACUUUGAGAUGAUUUUUUAGACUUAACUUGGGAUCAUUGCUCAUGAACAUUCUCUUCUCAUCCACUAGCAUCAAUGAAUCAUCCAAAAAUAUGAUGGGAGCGAUUUGAACCAAAAUUUCUUUAAAAGAUGCAUGACCAAGGAUACAAAAAUAAAUAGUAUAAAAAGCACCUAAAAAUCUAGUUAAAUAUGCAAGAAACAAUAAGAUGCAAAGGCAAACAUAUGUACUUAGUUUCAAGACACAUUUGUGAAGUCAAUGACGUUUAGAUCAUUUCUCAAUUUGCAAAACCGUUGCUCAUCCAAAGGUUUGGUGAAUAUAUCCGCCAAUUGAUCAUUUGUACUAAUUCCAUCAAUCUUGAUAUCCCCCUUGUUUACAUGAUCCCUAAUAAAACGAUGUCAAAUAUCAAUAUGCUUGGUUCUAGAAUGUUGAACUGGAUUGUUGGCAAUCUUCACGGCACUUUCAUUAUCACAGAAGAGGGGAAUUUCCUUGAAAUCCAAUCCAAAAUCAAGAAAGUUUGUUUCAGCCAUAACAAUUGAGCACAACAACUCCCGAUCGAGAUAUAUUCCACUUCGGCGGUAGAAAGGGCCACAGAGUUUUGCUCCUUUGAAGACCACGAAACAAGGGAUCGAUCAAGCAGUUGACAACCACCAGAAGUACUUUUUCUAUCAACCUUGCAACCGGCAUAGUCCGAAUCCGAAUAUCCAACCAAUUCAAAUGAGCACCCUUUGGAUACCAAAGACCAGUAUUUGGAGAAUAUCUUAGAUAUCUCAUUAUGCGCUUAACGGUUGUCAAAUGACAUUCUUUAGGUGAGGCUUGAAACCUUACACACAUGCAUACACUAAACAUGAUAUCGGGCCUAGAUGCGGUAAGAGAAAGCAAACUACCAAUCAUAGAUCUAUAAAGCUUUAAGUCUACCGGUUUACCUCCCUCAUCGAGAUCAAGAUGUCCAUUAGUGGCCAUAGGAGUCUUGAUUGGUUUUGCAUCUUCCAUACCAAACUUCUUCAAUAGAUCUUUCACAUAUUUAGAUUGGCAAACAAAUGUGUAUUCCUUUAAUUGCUUGAUUUGAAGACCAAGGAAGAAGCUCAAUUCACCAAUCAUAGACAUUUCAAAUUUUCUAGACAUCAUCUCACCAAAUUCCUCACAAAAACUUUCAUUAGUAGACCCAAAAAUGAUAUCAUCAACAUAAAUUUGACAAAUAAAAAUAUCCUUGCCAAUUUUCUUAGUGAACAAUGUAGUGUCAACCUUUCCAAUUUUGAAGCCCUUAGAAAUAAGAAAGUCUCUAAGCCUCUCAUACCAAGCACGGGGAGAUUGCUUUAGACCAUAGAGAGCUUUAGAGAGUUUAUACACAUGAUUUGGCUUCUUAGGAUCCUCAAAAUCGGGAGGUUGCUCAACAUACACUAGUUCACUAAUUUUACCAUUUAAGAAAGCACUUUUAACAUCCAUCUGGUAUAGUUUUAUAUUAUGUGAGUAUGCAUAGACUAACAAAAUUCUUAUAGCUUCUAGUUUAGCAACGGGAGCAAAAGUUUCACCGAAAUUCAAACCUUCAACUUGAGUGUAGCCUUGAGCAACUAGUCUUGCUUUGUUUCUCACAACAAUACCAUCUUCAUUUUGCUUGUUGCAAAAGACCCAUUUUGUACCAAUAAUAUUAUAGUUCUUGGGCCUCUCAAUCAAUUUCCAAACUUGAUUCCGGGUGAAAUAAUUUAAUUCUUCAUGCAUAGCAUUCACCCAAUCCGGAUCUUGAAGUGCUUCAUCUACAUGGUUAGGUUCAAGAGAAGAAACAAAAGAGUAAUAUUGACAAAAAGAAGCAACACGAGAUCGAGUUUGAACACCCUUACUAAUGCCACCCACAAUUUGAUCAAUGGGGUGAUCUUUGGCAACAUAAUGAUGAAUUUUUUGUUGAACAACCGGCUCUUGUGUUGAUGUAGAAGGAGGAGUAGUGGAGGCCAAUUGCUCAUUGUCUUAAGGAAUGUCAUCAUUUCUUACUUCAUCAUUUUGUUGAUCUUGAUCAUUUAUAGUAGAAGUAGAUGGAUUCACUCUAAUAGAAAUUGAUGGACCAUCAUCCUCAUCUUCUUCUCUAGGCUUAAUAUCCCCAAUAGACAUAGUUUUCAUUGCAUUGCUCAAGCCUUCAUUUCUCACAUCAUCCAAGUUUUCUUUUUCAUCUUGAGAGCCAUUUGUCUCAUCAAAUUCAACAUCAUAUGCUUCCUCAAAAAAACCUUUUGAUUUGUUGUAUACUCUAUAAGCCUUGCUACAAGAUGAAUAUCCAAGAAGAAAUCCUUCAUCACAUUUACUUUGGAACUUGGAUAGCCGGGUACCCUUUCUUAGAAUAUAGCAUUUGCAACCAAAGACCCGAAAAUAGGAAAUAUUUGGUUUCCUUCCAAUAAGAAGCUCAUAAGGUGUCUUGUUGAAAAAUCUAUGAUAAUAGAGCCUAUUUGAUACAUGACGAGCGGUGUUGAUUGCUUCGGCCCAAAAAGAAUCCGAAACAUUAUAUUCCGAGAGCAUUGAUCUUGCCAUGUCAAUCAAAGUUCUAUUUUUCCUCUCAACUAGACCAUUUUGUUCCGGUCUAUAUUUAGUUGAGAAUUCAUGUUUGAUGCCCCUCUCAUCACAAAAUUCCUCAACUCUUGUGUUGUUAAAUUUACUACCAUUGUCACUUCUUACUUUCUUCAAUUUAAGAUCAAACUCAUUUUCAGCCCUUGUAACAAACUUCUUGAAAAUAUCACAAGUAUCGAUCUUGUCAUGAAGAAAGCAUACCCAUGUGUAUCUUGAAUAGUCAUCAACAAUCACAAGAUAAUAACAAUGUCCACCAAUGCUUCUAUAUGUAGUUGGACCAAAUAAAUCCAUGUGCAAUAAUUCCAAAGGUCUUGUGGUUGACAUAAUACCCUUAGAUCGAUGAGAAUUAGCCACUUGUUUUCCGGCUUGACAAGCACUACAUAAUUUGUCCUUCUGAAAUUUCACAUCUUUCAAGCUAACAACUAGAUCAUGUUUUAAUAACCGAUUUAAUUAUUUCAUUCCAACAUGAGCUAGCCUUCUAUGCCAUAACCAACCCAUAGAUGAUUUUGAGAAUAAGCAUGUUGUCAACAUGGCAUGACUAGAAGAGAAAUCCACAAGAUAUAAACUUUCAUGCAUAAAACCCUUGAAUAUACAAACUUUUUCAUCUCUACUAGUAACCUCAAAACCAUCGCUAGUGAAAAUGCAUUUGUAACCAAGAUCACAAAGUUGAGCGACCGAUAAUAAAUUGAAUUUAAGUGAAUUAACCAAUAGCAUAUUUGUGAGUGAAUGAUCAUUGAGAUAGUAAUUUUAUCCAAUCUUUUGACUUCACCCUUGCCAUUAUCACCAAAAGUGAUGUUAUCAUAUCUGGAUGCUUCAUCAUCAAUAGAGGAAACAUUUUUGCUUCACCGGUCAUAUGUUGAGAACAACCACUAUCAACCACCCAAUAUUUUCCUCUGGCCUUAUAAUCCACCUACAAAAGAAAAUUAAGUUCGUUUAGGUACCUAAACUUGUUUGGAUCCUUGGAUGCUAGUGACCAAGACCUUUGGCAGCCAAAUAGCAUUCUUUUUAGCACCAAAGGUAGGUAACUCAACAUAUUUUGCAACAACAUUUCCAUUUGUAUUUUUCUUAAGAAUAUAGCUAGAAUUAAAUGUUACGACUUGCUUCUUUCUACACUCAUUUACAACAUGACCAACACUUUUGCAUUUUUCACAAUAUUUGCCUUCAUUCUUAACAAAAGUGGUCUUCUUAGGAACAAAAGGUUUCUUCCCUUUCUUAUGAAUGUAGCCAAGACCUUCACAGUUCAAGGUAAAUUUUUGGCUUGACCAGAUAUGUUUGAAUUGAGCUCUACUAUCAUAACAUUUUUUCAAGUCUUUGACCAAACAAUCCACUUCCUUCUUUAACUUCUCGAUUUCUAUGAUAAGAGAAGAAUCAUAUGAAGAGCCAUCACUCAUGCAAGAUACGUCACUUGAGCUACAAUGAGUGUUAGAUGAACUAGGCAUGCAAGAUUUAUUACUAAGCAUAUCACAAUCAACAUUCAUGCUCAUUUUUCCUUUGGCUUCAUGCGCAAGAAGAGAAUUUUAAGCUUCCUCAAGCUUCUCAUGAAUUUCUUUUAUAUUCUCAUGAGAAAUCUUUACCUCCUCAUAGGAUUCUUGAAGUGAUUGGCAUUUCAUUUCUUUUCGCAUGUAGUUAUCAGUUUCACUGAGCAUGUUCACAAGAUCCUCAUAAGUAAGCUCACUAUCAUCAUCAUUAUCAUUAUCAUCUAGUGAUAUCUUUGUUUCGCCUUUUGCCAUAAGACAAAAAGGUGAAGAGAAGAGUGAUGGAGCUUUCUUGAUGGCGAUGCCAGCAAUUCCCUUUGAUGGCUUCUCAUCAUCAUCGUCAUCCGAAUCGAAGCUAGUAUCAGAAUCCGACUCAACAUAGUAGGCUUGAUCAUUCCUUUUCUUCUUAUAGAAUUUCUUCUUCUUCUUAUCAUCACUUUUCUUGCUCCUAUUCUUCUUGUUUGGAUAAUUUGCGGCAAUGUGUCCAAAUUCACCACACUCAAAACAUUUCUUGUCUUCAAAUGGAUUUUUCUUUGAUGAUUGACCCUUCUUCAAGUUUUUGUUCCUCAUGAUUCUUUUGAGCCUUCUCACAAAGAGAGCGAUUUCUUCCACGGAAUUAUCAUCAUUAUCACUUUCAUCAUUGUUCUUCUCCUUUAAAGAUUGAGCCUUGAGAGCAAUGCUUUUAUUUUCUUCUUCCUUUGCUACACCAUGUGCUUCAUUUUGUGAUUGCUUGAAGAUGUCAUAAGUGAGCACUUCUUCUAGCACUUGUGUAGGUGUCAUGAUCUUCAAGUUUGAUCUCACUAGCAAUGUCACAAUUGUAUCAUACUUUUUCAGGAGACACCUAAGGAACUUGUGAGAGAAAUCUUCAUCGGGAAUAUUGAAGCCAAGAUACUUGAGUUCAUUCCCUGUAUCAUUCCACCAGUUGAACAUCCAAAAAAAAUUUUCUNNNNNNNNNNNNNNNNNNNNNNNNNNNNNNNNNNNNNNNNNNNNNNNNNNNNNNNNNNNNNNNNNNNNNNNNNNNNNNNNNNNNNNNNNNNNNNNNNNNNNNNNNNNNNNNNNNNNNNNNNNNNNNNNNNNNNNNNNNNNNNNNNNNNNNNNNNNNNNNNNNNNNNNNNNNNNNNNNNNNNNNNNNNNNNNNNNNNNNNNNNNNNNNNNNNNNNNNNNNNNNNNNNNNNNNNNNNNNNNNNNNNNNNNNNNNNNNNNNNNNNNNNNNNNNNNNNNNNNNNNNNNNNNNNNNNNNNNNNNNNNNNNNNNNNNNNNNNNNNNNNNNNNNNNNNNNNNNNNNNNNNNNNNNNNNNNNNNNNNNNNNNNNNNNNNNNNNNNNNNNNNNNNNNNNNNNNNNNNNNNNNNNNNNNNNNNNNNNNNNNNNNNNNNNNNNNNNNNNNNNNNNNNNNNNNNNNNNNNNNNNNNNNNNNNNNNNNNNNNNNNNNNNNNNNNNNNNNNNNNNNNNNNNNNNNNNNNNNNNNNNNNNNNNNNNNNNNNNNNNNNNNNNNNNNNNNNNNNNNNNNNNNNNNNNNNNNNNNNNNNNNNNNNNNNNNNNNNNNNNNNNNNNNNNNNNNNNNNNNNNNNNNNNNNNNNNNNNNNNNNNNNNNNNNNNNNNNNNNNNNNNNNNNNNNNNNNNNNNNNNNNNNNNNNNNNNNNNNNNNNNNNNNNNNNNNNNNNNNNNNNNNNNNNNNNNNNNNNNNNNNNNNNNNNNNNNNNNNNNNNNNNNNNNNNNNNNNNNNNNNNNNNNNNNNNNNNNNNNNNNNNNNNNNNNNNNNNNNNNNNNNNNNNNNNNNNNNNNNNNNNNNNNNNNNNNNNNNNNNNNNNNNNNNNNNNNNNNNNNNNNNNNNNNNNNNNNNNNNNNNNNNNNNNNNNNNNNNNNNNNNNNNNNNNNNNNNNNNNNNNNNNNNNNNNNNNNNNNNNNNNNNNNNNNNNNNNNNNNNNNNNNNNNNNNNNNNNNNNNNNNNNNNNNNNNNNNNNNNNNNNNNNNNNNNNNNNNNNNNNNNNNNNNNNNNNNNNNNNNNNNNNNNNNNNNNNNNNNNNNNNNNNNNNNNNNNNNNNNNNNNNNNNNNNNNNNNNNNNNNNNNNNNNNNNNNNNNNNNNNNNNNNNNNNNNNNNNNNNNNNNNNNNNNNNNNNNNNNNNNNNNNNNNNNNNNNNNNNNNNNNNNNNNNNNNNNNNNNNNNNNNNNNNNNNNNNNNNNNNNNNNNNNNNNNNNNNNNNNNNNNNNNNNNNNNNNNNNNNNNNNNNNNNNNNNNNNNNNNNNNNNNNNNNNNNNNNNNNNNNNNNNNNNNNNNNNNNNNNNNNNNNNNNNNNNNNNNNNNNNNNNNNNNNNNNNNNNNNNNNNNNNNNNNNNNNNNNNNNNNNNNNNNNNNNNNNNNNNNNNNNNNNNNNNNNNNNNNNNNNNNNNNNNNNNNNNNNNNNNNNNNNNNNNNNNNNNNNNNNNNNNNNNNNNNNNNNNNNNNNNNNNNNNNNNNNNNNNNNNNNNNNNNNNNNNNNNNNNNNNNNNNNNNNNNNNNNNNNNNNNNNNNNNNNNNNNNNNNNNNNNNNNNNNNNNNNNNNNNNNNNNNNNNNNNNNNNNNNNNNNNNNNNNNNNNNNNNNNNNNNNNNNNNNNNNNNNNNNNNNNNNNNNNNNNNNNNNCUACUGGGACAAGGCCCGCCGGAUCCGAGUCUCCCAGGUCUCUUGGGUGUGCGCUGAUGCUUCAGGAGGGUGCGUACGUGUGUUCUGUUGGUUUGGGGGCGUUAUGAUGCCUUGAGUUGUGCGUGGAGCCUCCUGCCUCCUCUGUCUCAGACCCCCGAUUCUCCUUUUAUAGCGUAAGGAGAUCACCGGGGUUACAGGUGAGACUGAUUGUGGGGAGCAGUAAAGAGAUAAACAUGGCUAGGUAAAAAUACAACACGAAGGGGGAAGCAAGUUCCCAGGUCGCCGGCCUUCGGCUUCCACCGGCGUGUUUGCCGGAAGAAGGUGGCCGUCGUUACGUCCUGUCGAUGGCUUCCUCGGCGACUGUAGCCGCCGAGCGCGAUGAUGGCAUUCCGUCGUGACCCCCAUGUCCGCUGGGGGAGGCGGCGGAUCCCUCCAUCCUGCUGACGGCCCGCGGAUAGCGGACGUCGCAUCUCUGCCGCCGGGCGCGCGGGGCACGAGAGCGGGCGAGGCUUCCUCCUGCUCCGGACGGUGCAGGCCAUGAGUGCCCUGUGGCCAAUCGGAGGGGGUCGCAGCUACUGUAGCAAGUACUGCGCGGCCGCGCAUGGGUACUUGUGGUGGGUUGCGUGGGUGCGCGGAUAUCCUUCUCCCUGACAGCUCUGCGGCGCAUUUAUGGCGAGAUCGACAGGGGGACCCAUGGGAUCUGCGCCCGAGGCGGAUUCUGGUCUGGAGAGCCCGGGCUAGCCCAACCCCCUAAGCCUGGAGUCGGGCGAGGCAGAGACCCGUGGCGGGGGGUCGGAUGCUCCCGACCCCAGGCCCGCAGUCGGGCGGGACGGAGCUUGGUCCUCCGGGAGUCGGGGGAGCCCAACCCCGGGGCAUGAGGUCGGGCGAGGCGGAGCGUGGCUCUCGCCUCCCAUGUUGGGCCGACGGCAGUCGUUGUUCCCUUAGGUAGGCCUGGGCCUUUGUGUCUUGUUGUUUCCAUGGGCUUCGAAAGGUCAUUAAUAUUUUCCCCCGACACCCUCAUUCACAAUCCCCCAUAUCUUCUUGCCCAUUGCCUUAAGAUGAACCAUCAUUCUUAUCUUCCAAUAAUCAUAAUUGUUCCCAUCAAAGAAUGGUGGUUUCCCACAUAAACAUUCUUAUCAUUAGCCAUUUAUCCUACUCCGGGAUGGUUAAAUCCUUGAAAUAUGGAGACCACGGCUCUAAUACCACUUGUAGGAUCUAGGAUACCAACUAGACGGGGGUGAAUAGGCGGUUUCAACUAAAAUCACAGCACUAAAUAAAUUUAAUUAGUAACACAAGAUGAAAACUAUUUCUAGCUACUUUACAACUAUGUGAGGGUUUGCAACCUAGGGUGACAAGGAAUAAGUCAAUCUCUAAGAAUGUAAUUGCUCAAAGUAAAUUGCAAUAAUGAAAUUGAGCAAAGAAAUAACCGAACACAAGAGACGAAUUUUUCCCGUGGUAUUGUUGACUUGCCGGUCACCCCUAAUCCACGUUGAGGUGGAUUCAAUGCUUCAACCGCUCCUCUAUCAAGAUACCACUUGAUGUUUGAGCCAGCUUGAAACAAAGAACCUCUCCAAACCUCGAUUCCACUAGUGUUCCAAACAUGUUUCUGUCUAAGUUAGACUGACCGUCCGCCCAUAUAGGGCUGGACUGUCCGCCUUUAUGCAGUCAGCACUCUUUUAGAACAUGUUUUUCUUCUUAUUUCUUUCACUUUCUCAAACUAUGUUAGUCCAUAUGCAUGCAAUGCAAUUAUUUGAGAAAAGUGGCACUAUAGAACCGUCAAGUAAAUGAAAUUGACCCCAAUUGAUAGUAUGGCUAUCUAGCCUAUUAAUCUGGUCAAUUUACAUCCGCUAAGCACCUCUUGACCGGUAAAAUAGAAAACCCUAUCGUAUACCUUUGCCUUGAGCUUUCCAACGUACAAACCAUCCAAGUUAUCACCAUAGCAUCCUUUGACGCUCACUUCAACUUAACCGAUAUUCAUAUUCUUAAAGAAAUUGUUAGUCCACUAAGACCGUCAUUAAUUACCAAAACACAAGUAUGGGGCCUAGAUGCUUUCAUACUCAAUGCUGGUCCAAACCUCAAAUCGAUUGGUCAAAUGAGGCUGGCAUACACAAUAGGUAAUCUAUGACGAGAGGACACUCAGCCCAGCGUAACAUUUUCAUUGAAGUCUUCAUUAUAGCAUCCUGGGAAUUACGGAAGAUGCGCAAUGCAGUCAUUUUUGAGCAAGCAAGGCCCAGCAUCAGAAUAUGGGCAAUGAAGUUUAGGGAGCAAUGCCUUCUCCGAGUCUUGCGCUUUCGUGAAGACCGUAGAUUGCUAUUUAUACAAUGGCUAUACUCAAUUUUUGUAAUUUCUCCCUGAUCCCCCAUCUCUAUCAUCUGUUAUCAUCUGUGAGUAUGUCCAUUUUUUACUCUUUUUUAUAUAAAAUCGAAGUGUUGUGGGGAACUCCCCCACAGUUUGCCUUAAAAAAAGUACGAGAGGCAGCGUAUAAAAAAAAGUCAUGGAUCGUGAGAAUUUCCGAUUUCUUUAGAUGCAGUUUUAUUGAAAACCAAAAUUACAAAGAAAUGUUCAGCUUUUUCUGAAAAAAGGAGCAUAUCUUGUGGGUGGCAAAGAUGGCAAGAACAAUCCUCGGGUCUCAAAAGUCAAAAACUUGAGCAACUUAACAGAAGGUAUCGAAAACUAUGGUAAGGUACUCAUUCAGUUUCGUAGGCUUCGGAUUGACUGAACCCAAACCAAACAGUACAAGAUUGAUUGAAACAAUUAUCCGAUUGCAUGAAAAAGAUUUUAUAUUGUUUUAUGUCAUCGAACCAAGAGCACGGGCAUGAAAGGAAUAUGUAGAGUGGUAGGCGAAGAAACUCAGGGAGUGUUUGAUUAUUUAGUCUGGACUAAAGUUCCUGUCAUAUCGAAUAUUUAUAUGGAGUAUUAAAUAUAAACUAAUUACAAAACCAAUUGCACAGAUGGAGGCUAAUUUGUGAGAUGAAUCUAUUAAGCCUAAUUAAUCCAUAAUUUGACAAUGUGAUGCUAUAGUAAACAUGUGCUAAUCAUGAAUUAAUUAGGCUUAAUAAAUUCAUCUUGCAAAUUAGCUUCCAUCUAUAUAAUUAGUUUUAUAAUUAACUCAUGUUUAGUCCUCCUAAUUAGUCUCCAAAGAUUCAAUAUAACAUGGACUAGACUUUACCUCAAGGAUCAAACACCCCUCGGAACUCCAGUGCUGCAGCCAGGUUUUCCAGGUUCCAGGCUUAAUCUGUGACCUACCGGGCUAUUUUUGCUUAAGCGUGGUUUGCAAGUUGUUGGACUGGGCCAAUUGGAGAUUGCAGUCGCUGGAUGGGCUGGCCAAACGGCCAACAUGGACCCCGUUUAAGGCCCACGAAGGAAGCGAAAGCCUGUACGAAGAAAGGAGCAAAUAAGGAGGCCCAUGUGCAUUCCAAGCUCAUUGUUAGGAGGCCCAUUUCAGUUCUUUUAAAGCCCCCAUUUGAGUUGGUUUCUAAACUUGCAGAGCCCACACUCCACACAGCUGUUCAGCAGCAACCUAGUAUCCUCCUCCAAGAUGCUACGCGUGACCAGUCGCCACCACGGCAUCAAAGCGGUUUGCCACCGUACCGUACAGGCGUCCGGCGGAGCGCGGACACGACACACGAGCGUCGAUCCAAGGCCGUGCUGUCAAAUCAGGAUGGUUAGCUUAGCUAUCAAGCCGUCGCUGCGUGCAUGCUCCGUCAUGUGGAGGUGCUCCUGCUCCAGUACAGAUCGAGAUCUGGGCGCCCAGAUACGGCAGGAAAACCACCCGAAAUCGACAGCGAGACACGAGAAGCAAUAAUUUCCGAGGGCGCAGCGCAAUUAUAGGAUUCAUAUGGCCUGUUACAAUAAUCGAUCGUACGUGCAGCCCCGAGUGCAGGUACGUACGUACAGACGAUCCGUCCGGUUAGGUACUUGCCCCUGUGGUACUAGCGAUAUUCAAUAUUCCGUAGCCACAAUGCGUCCGUCGCGAACAACAUACGUACUGUACCCAACAACGCUUGCAGUUUACUAACUUUAGCUGUAUAAUUGUGAUGAGGAGAAGCUGGAACGACAUGCACGGCAUGGGCGAGAGGAAAGAGCCAAAAUGCCACGAACGUGCCCCUGUUUCUCGAGGGAGGGACAGGGCACGCUACUUUAGGGGGUGUUUGGGAAACCCCUGUUAAAGUUUAACACCUGUCACAUCGGAUGUUUGGAUGCUAAUUAGGAGUACUAAACAUAAGCUAAUUACAAAACUAAUUGCACAGAUGGAGUAUAAUUCGCGAGACGAAUCUAUUAAGCCUAAUUAGUCCAUGAUUUGACAAUGUGGUGCUACAGUAACCAUUUGCUAAUGAUGGAUUAAUUAGGCUUAAUAGAUUCGUCUCGCGAAUUAGCACAAGGUUCUGCAAUUAGUUUUAUAAUUAGCUCAUAUUUAGUCCUCCUAAUUAGCAUCCGAACAUCCGAUGUGACACUGUUAAAGUUUAGCACCUCAUAUCCAAACAGCCCCUUAAUCUUUCUUUGCUCUUGCUCGUACGUAUCGAUAUGGGAUAAUGGGAGAGUAGCACGGCCGAGGAGAUUGCUCCGAGAAGGCGAGAACCUCUCGAGAUUUCGAUGCGGUUGCAGACGCCGCUGUCCAAGUAUACAACGACAUGCACUGGCCGCUUUUACAAAGCGACACGAGUGUGCUCGAGGUACGGAGCUUAUGCCGAGCGUGUUGCCAGCUCUCGUCAUCAGAAAAAAGAGUAACACAAAAAUUAAUCUCAAAAAAAAGGAGUACCAGAAAUAACACAAGCUUCAGCUAGCAGAUUUUGAAGAACUGACACGAGUUUUAGCAAGCAGGACAGGAUCGAUUACUGCAUCUAAAAUCUGAAGCCCAUUUGCAACUCAACGCAGAUACCAUCUCUUUUUAUGCGAAAAAUGAUAGCUGGUGAUCAUCGCGGCCGUUCCGGCUAUCAAACUACAAUCUACAAGGAAGACAAGUUCUCCUGCAGUCCUGCUGUCACGGAGCAGAGGCACCGAUCUCCGUACGCGAUUAAAAGUUCAAAUACUUUCUUCUUCGUGAUGAAAAGUUACACAGUAGUAAUAUUUUACAUGCGUGAGCGGGAAAAAAAAAGAGCGCAACUGAGACGACCUUAAACUUGAGCCUCUAUUAAGCGUCGAUCAAAGCCAGCUUCGGGUACGGUUAACCCACAGGGCUAUAUACACAUGACGCAACGAGAACCCACACCCAUGACCCAUGGCAUGCUCAUCAAGCGCCGAGCUUGUAGCUGCCGAGGUCCUCCUUGAUCAGCUCAAGGUCCCUGGACGCCACGGCCACCGACAUCGCCCUGCGGUGGCGCCCCGCCGGCGGCCUCGCUGCCUGCUGCUCGGCACCGGCGCCGUCGGAACCGGCCUUCCCGCCGGCCUCGGCCGCCGCGUCGACGUCUAGGGUGGCGAGGUUCUCCGGGAGCACGAACACGCUCUGCGACGCCCGGCGCUGGUGCCGGCCCGGCCGCUGCGACGACAUCGGCCUUUGCUCGGGGGGUCGCGGGCAGACGGGGUGGGUACGGAGUGACGAGUGAGUGAGCAGAGGCUGGUCACUUGGGCUUCGGUGGUGUGUGUCUGGUUUGAGAAGAGAGCUGGAAGAGUCACGGCUUUAUAUAGGACGGGUCUUAUGCUCUGCUGUGCUGUGGCCAGCCGGCCUGCAUUACUUUUCAAUAUCUUUUCAAGUUAAGGAUCAUUUUUAACACCAGUUAAAUGGAUCUGUGCUGCAACGCGCAACGGCACAAUUUACGGCAUGCAUUGAUGUGAAAAAUGGACGGAAUGGCGCCGGUUUCACGCUUAUGUUAGGAUAAGAUCCGUGGGUAGAAUUUAUGUUGACUUCGGCGUCAUCUGUUUUACGUAAAACGAAACAUAAUAGCGUGAAAUUAUUUUUAAACAUAUGCUAAAAUAAAAUAGAAGUCAUUAUUUUUAGUUUCACCGAGUGAAGCUAUUUUGAAAGAAGCUCUUCCAAACGGAAUCUAAGUUGUGGAAGAGGUUACAGUGUUGUAAACAUAGCAAAGCUUAGAAGUAGAUAGAGUUGCGGUGAUGACACACACCAUUACCACCAACUCAAAUUAGAGAUAACGUUCCAGUCCACUCUAGUGAGAAACUGAUCGAGAAUCACUAGCAUGAAAGCUAAACCUACGGUUCACAAAAGUAGCCCGAAAAACAUGAAGAAUUAUCACAACGAAGAGAAAAAGGAGGAAUUUGGUGCGCAAAGAGAUAGGGGGCGUUUUCUUCCCGUGUCUUAUUUUUAGCACGUGUCACAUCGAAUGUUUAGAUACUAAUUAGGGAGUAGUAAACGUAGACUAUUUACCAAACCAAUUACACAAGUGGAAUCUAAACGGCGAGACGAAUCUAUUAAGCCUAAUUAAUCCCAUCAUCAGCUAAAUAUUUACUGUAGCAACACAUUGUCAAAUCAUGGACUAAUUAGGCUUAAUAGAUUCGUCUCGCCGUUUAGAUUCGUCUUAUGUAAUGGGUUUUGUAAAUAAUCUACGUUUAAUACUCCUAAUUAGUAUCUAAACAUUCGAUGUGACGGGUGCUAAAGUUUAGCAAGUGGAAGAAAACAGGCCUAUAUUGCUGCAGGAAUCGAACAAAUGCCAGUAUCUUUAAUUUCGUGCAUGGACUGACAGACGUGUGCAGGGGAGAUGAAGCAUGUCCCACCCCUCGGGUCUCUGCGAUGCGGGAACAUUUAAUAAAGAUUUUGGAUCGCCUGUGACAUUACACGCAUGCGGUUGGGGGACGCGAUCUAUCGCGAUCUAUCCUUAUCCUUUCGAGCCUCGUCUCGUUCCUCGCCAAUACUAAGCCCGUCUGGUUCUACAGAGUAAAAAUUAUCGGUACUAAUCAGAAUUAUUAAACAUAGAUUAGGGGGUGUUUGGUUCCACCUUGCUAAACUUUAGCAUCCGAAGAUUCAAUGUGAUAAGAAUUGAAUUUUAGCUCAUGUUAGUCUUUCUAAUUAGCAUCCGAAAAUUUAAUGUGACAAGAACUGAAUUUUAGUUUUAGUUUAAGGAUCAAACACCCCUAAAAACGAGAGGGAGAUUUUGAUCGCAUCUCGGUUCUCUCUCUUCUUACGCUUACCGUCCAUUUUAUUCGCUGUCCCUCGGUAAUCGGCAUGAAUCCUUUUGCUACACCUGAGUGACGCCUCUUUGCAUUCCAAACUUUGUGAAAGUUCGCACUGUGUCCUUUGCAUUCAUUGCAGAUUUCGUUGAGCUUCUGGAAAUCAUGGAGCUUACGGACCAUUACGCAGGGCGAAACGAAACUGCGACGCGGCGUUCAUUUCGGUUUCUGACAGUAAUCUGAUCUGACCGAUCGAGCAUGUGCGGUGCGGAGGCCUUGCAUGAUCUGCAGGACUCGCACACAAACUCAUCGGGAUCAGGAGAUGGAGCCUGCCAGCCGGUACACGUACCGGCGCACGCGUUCGGCGCUCGCCGAGUCGGUCCCGUGCGCGCCGAGCAAAGAGACGGACGAUGGUCACACCGCGGACGGCGGCGCGUGGGAGCACCGCGCGCCACAUGUGUGGGCACUGUGUUCCGUCCGUCCGCGAGCUUUAUUUCGGGGUCGGGGCGACCGGCACACAUGGCAAUCAUCGCGGCCAUCACAGGACAGCGGCGCCUGGUGGAAGCACCGGGACCGUGACCGACCGUUGCAGCCGUGCCGUGCGUGCGGGCGCGCGGGGCACCCCAUGCGAAAAGGAUCGAGCGGCCAUGUGCCCGGGGAGCCGCCCCACGUUGGCUGGUCCCGGGCCCGAGCCCGCGCGCACAUGGGCGGCACCGCCGCACCGGGCGGGCGGCAGCGCGCACGGGGGCGCACACACCUGUGAGUUGAGGAGGCCGUGAGCCCGUGACUAGCGCGCGAACGCGAUCGCCGCCGCGUGGUUGUCUGCGCGGGCUACGACGGCGGCGGGAAUGGAGGGAGCGCGCCGGCGCUGCUGCGGGCCGAGGUGUGUGGUGUGGUCGAUGCGUGGUUAAGCCCAGCAGCAGCAAAGGUUGUGGAACCGCCGGGAGAAGCGCUUCCAAAAUAAGCUGCAAAUGGAGGAGGUGGGGAGAAACGCGGUCAAAAAAAUUGCAAAAAAGUACGCUGUUUGGUUUCUAGUUUUAACUUAUUUUGGUCACUAGGAUCGUACCCUGCGUUGCUACGGAUAAAAAAAAUGCUAUCGUGAGCAUAGAUAGUUUAGAAUGGUACAUAAUGCAUAUAAUAAAAAUCAGUUUAGAAUGGUACAUAAUGUCACACAACAGUUUACAAUUUGAUUUUCUAAAUAGAGUUUGCGUGCUACACAUAAUUCAAGAACUACAAUGAUAUUUUCAGCAGGUUCACAGUUCUCGAAUAUCUCAACCGUACAGUCUUCCAGGCAGUAUCACGAUUCACCAUUAACGUAACCUAAAAUGCAACUAAAGUCCUGACUUUGCCGGUUCCCAUGCCAUACAUGGAUCUGCAAAACAAAGCAUAUGCAAAAAGGUCGUUGAAUUGACUUUUGGCGAUGACGAGCCUACUUUUGCUGAAGUAGUCACGAUUGCCAAAGAUGCAGCUGCAAGUGUCGCGGCCGUUGAAGCGCCGCCCGUGGAGGAGGCACCGUUAAACUUAGGGUCAGCAGCCCCCGGAUAGGCUGCUAACCCAGCAGGUGAUGAGGCCAUGGCUUCUGUGGUGGCGGAUGCUGUGAAGACACCGGAAGUAGCUGUUGACGCCUCGUUGCCUGAGGAUGUUACUGGUGGUGAGUACGCUAUCUGUUCUAGUAGUCGUGCGUACGUAGUCUUAACCUUGGUUCUUUCAUGGCUUGGCGAAAAAGUGAAGAACUUUCUUCCCGUGGCCCCCGUGGAGCCAGUGCCGAGUAUGCAGCCGGUGGUAGUCAAAAAAAGGCGUGUUCGUCUGCCACCGCGAUCAGCCCGGUAAGGACUUGUGUAGUCUCAUCUUUUGUUUGAUGAUUUUGGUACUCUGUAGCCGGAUGAUGAUCUUGUGACCUGAUUGAUCCAGGGAUGCCGAAGGCAUUAUUCCCGUCGAGGUGGAGGCGGAGGUUGAGGCUGUUCCGUCGACUACCAUUUCUGGGCCCAUAGUCGACUUGACUAUGGAGGAUGCACCUGAGAUCGAAGACGCAAGUCUCAUAGGUGCUAUUAUAUCUAUGCUGCAGGAGGUCAUCCGCUCGGUAAAGGACCCUACAGUCCCUGAGAGUUCUGGAGGUGUGCUGCCUACAACGGCUGAAGUUGUGUCGACUGGGAGUGCGACUAGUGCUGAUGCCUUGGCACUGGUUGUUGCGACAGGAAUAGGCGAAGUCAGCACAACAGGUAUGUUACUGGAGUAGAGACUCUUUUGAAGGGGAGCUCCCUUAUACCCAGUAGUUAACCAUGAUUUUUUCUUGUCAGUAUCUGUUGUGAGUAAAGAGCCGGAGCCUCAAGUCGCCAAGAGCACUGGGGGUUCGGUACUCGAGUUGCCACCGGAGCUGGAGAUCAAGAGAGCUAUCCAGAGUUUCAAGUGCGUAUAACACAUUUCCUUUGAGUAAUUAUAUUUUGACAAGUCUUGAUGCUUGUGUUGUGUUUUUGUAGGAUUUGUAUGAUAAGGCCCAGAGAAAUACUCGGGCUCUUCAAGAACACAGUGAAGCAGCACAGCGGGUAAUGCAACUGGAGCAAGAGUGUCGCUGCCUUACGGAUUCCUUGAGAGUUCAUGAGAAGGCCGCAGAAUCUUUUGCGAUUGAGAGGAGUGACCAUGAAGUCCUCCAGGAGCGACUGGAGAGUCACUAUAAAUCUUUGAAUCAGAGAUAUCAGGGUGAGUACUCGUGGUUGUUGAGUAUGUUUAAUCGUAGUCAUAGACUCUUCUCUUAUCUGUGUGUUGCUUGACACAGAGCUCAAAGCCAGGAAGGCCGUUGCGAGUAGCCAGCUGCUUGACUGGAGAAAUGCUCACGACCGGGUAGCCGAUGAGGCUGCUCUCCUUAGGGCAUCACUGGCUGCAACUUGGGCAGCUUACAAGCGCGAGAAGGAGAGAAAAGAUCAGAUAGGAGUGAUGCUGGCAUUGGCUAUGGUGUCCUGUAGAGGCCAUGCUAGAACUGUGGAGAAGCUGGAAGGUGAUCUCCAAGAGUUGACUAAUGUUGCUCAGGACGCAGUCAACGCUAUUGCUCCUCCCGAAGAUGAUGCUGAGCCUCGCUCGCUAGUCGAGAGACUAAGAGCUACCUCGGGUAGAGUCGCUGGACUGUGCAAGACUGUCUGCUAGCAAGUCCUUGCAGUGGUCAAGUCAUAUUACCUGAGGGCAAACUUGUCGGCGGCUGAAGAUGGAAUUGCCCGAAACUGCACGGAGGAUGCCUAUGCGAAGUAUCUUGAGGAGGCUGAGCCCAUUGCGGCAAGGAUGACCGAGUUCAUAUCUUUGGAAGAACCCUAGUUAUUUGAACUCGUGUUGUAUUUUUUGCCGAUCAUUUGUGGCUGUACUCGAACAGUUGUCUUGUAAAUCUUGACAUGAUCGAUGAUCUUUCCUGGAGAAUUGUCAGUUUGACCUCGUAGUCGGGAAAACGAAUCCAAGUAACCGAGUAGUUGUAGUAUUCGGUGUGGUCUUCAAUUAUUGGAGUUGCUGAUGAGGGUAUUGUAGCUAUUAUUGCCUUGUACUUGAGAGGGUGCACGGGUACACUUGUUCACUUUUGUCCGUUAUGCUCAGUGUGGUCACAUGCAUGGAGUUAAGUCGUCUGUUUGACCCUUGUCGGUGUCUUAGGUUGUUCGUCAUGAGCGAGCAGUAACUGCGAGUAGUUGGCAGUUGCAGCCCUUUGGCUAUAAAUGGCCCCCUGGAUACUCGAUCAGGAUCAUGCCGUUCAGUAUAGCGAUGGCUUGCUUCAUGUUGUUGUUGUUUGAUAGUGGAGAGCUUCCAAUGAGCGCCCCGGUGCUAGAAGAUUCCUCGUAGAUUAGAACCACCUUCCCUCCACAGACUCUUACGCUUGUAGGGAUAGCCGCGAUGCUAGAAGAAUCCUUGUAGGAGGGUUUGUCACGUGCCUCAUCUUGCAAUUCGCGAUCCAGCUCAGUUCGUGCUGGAACUCGUAAGUGAAUGAUGAUGAGGUCCACGGUCUUUAUCCGGCUCCUUGAUCAGAGGUGGAGGUGUGGCAUAUGGUAAGGACUUGUGCGCUGAAGAUGUCCAGAGAGCAGCUUCGAGGAGUGCACUUCAUCUUCGUGGUGCUUUUCUUCCGGAUUCUGCGUCGGGUAUUCAUCAUGUUGCGUCGAGGGAGCGGCGGUGAAGGAGUACCUGGUGUUCAGGUUGUCAGGGGGAGGGACCAGGGUACAACUGCCUAUUGUGCAGCUUCCUCGUGUGCAGGUCCUGCCUUUUGACACUGCUUGCACCUUGGUAGUCGAGCAGUCGCCAGGCUCGUGUAUCCUUGUGAUAUAGUAAAAGCCUGGGACUUCUGUUCUAAUUGCCAGUAGUUGCUUGCAGUCGUUGUUGUGCUAUUGUGUUGUAUUUUGUAUACCCUGGCUUCAUUGGGUAGUCGAUUGUAAUCCUGUGGAGUUUCGUUAAUGCAAAAAAUGCAAGUAUGAAGUGAGUUUGAGUACUCCUUGUCUGAUGGUUGCGACAAUCUUGUGCCUUUGAAGAACAAAUGACUAGCAUCGUAGUCGUGGCUUUGUGAAGCCGCUUAGACUUGUAGAGACGAGUCGGCGAGAGAAUGUUGAAAUUCGUAGAGCUGGAGAGCUUGAGUGGCUGUGAAUAGCCGAGGAGUUGUGAUAACUUGAAGACUUGAUAAAAACAAGUCAAGGGCGGUGCACUGGGGCUCGCAGAGCUGAAGAGCUCGAGUGGCUGUGAAUAGCCGACGAGUUGUGAUAACUCAAAAAGACUUGAUGAAUCAAGUCGAAAGCGGAGCGCUAGGGCUCGUAGAGCUGAAGAGCUCGAGUGGUUGUGAAUAACCAACGAGUUGUGAUAACUCAAAGACACUUGAUGAAUCAAGUCGAAAGCAGAGCGCUAGGGCUCGUAGAGCUGAAGAGCUUGAGUGGCUGUGGAUAGCCGAGCGGAGGCAAAGGUAGGUAGUGUUUCCAAAGAACUUUGUUGUCUAAUAAACUGUGGGUGAGGACCCGAGUAUAUAUCUUGUAGUCUGCUACGGGUAGUAGCGACACAGAUGCUCUAUAUUGUAAGAGUUUGGUACUUUUUCACCUAAGAGUUCCUGUAGUUGAUACGAUCCAGGCCCUGUGAUCUUGGAAAUGAUGUAGGGACCUUCCCAUGGCGAGUUGAGUUUGUGCAGCCCUGAUGUGUCUUGAAUGCGUUUGAAGACCAUGUCACCCACAUUAAAGGAACGUUCCUUGACAUUACGAUCGUGAUAACGUCGUAGCCCAUCGAGAUAUCUGGCUGACUGAACCAGUGCUGCACAUCUUGUUUCUUCCAGACUGUCUAGGUCUAGGCCCCUUGUUUCCUAUGAUACUCCCUCGUCAUAUUGCACAAUUGCGGGAGAUUGCCACAUGACGUCUAAAGGGAGGAUGGCCUCUGACCCAUAUACGAGGAAGUAGGGAGAGUGCCCAGUAGGCUUGCAUGGUUGAGUGCGUAGUCCCUAAAGAAUAUUGGGUAGUUCUUUGAGCUAUUUGCCUCCUUUUGUGUUGCCGAUGUCAUGCAGGCUUUUCUUGGGAGCUUCGAGUAACAUGCCGUUGGCACGCUCGACUUGGCUGUUGGCCCUUGGGCGAGUCGCCGUAUACCAGUAAUCGUUUGAUACCGAGUGAUAUUGCGAGACGAAGGCCAUGUAGAAGUGCUUCAUACUCGGCUUCAUUGUUUGAGAUUUCCCUAAAUAUUUUGAGAACGUAUUUGAGUUGUUCACCUUUUGGAGAAAUCAAGAGUACUCCUGCGUUGGCGCCUUCAAGCUUGAGAAAACCGUCGAAGUACAUAACCCAAUGUUCUGGCCUUUCAACUGGUGUUGGUACUUGGUUUUCCCUCCACUCCGCCAUGAAGUCGACCAGAGCUUGGGAUUUGAUAGCUAUUCUGGGUUUGAAGUCUAGAGACAGAGCUCCGAGUUCUACUGCCCACUUGGAGAUUCUACCCGUUGCAUCCCUGUUAUGAAGGAUUUCACCGAGCAGGAAGUCAGUGAUGACGGAUAUGGUGUGUUCUUGAAAGUAGUGUCGCAGCUUUCAUGAGGUAAGGAAGAUUGCGUAGAGUAGCUUCUGCACCGGUGGAUACCGAGUUUUGAAGUCCGAGAGUUUUUCACUAACGAAGUAGAUGGGUCUCUCAACUUUGUAGAUGUGGCCUGGUUCAGACCUUUCGACUACUACUGUUGUGCUGACAAUAUGAGUAGUAGCGGCUAUAUAUAGGAGCAAGUCCUCGUUUGGAGAUGGAGCCGUGAGGAUUGGUGGUUUUGACAGGAAGUCCUUGAGCUGUGUCAAGGCUUUAUCUGCCUCAUCUGUCCAUUGAAACUUGUCUUGUCGUCUGAGUAGCUUGAAGAAGGGUAAUCCGCGUUCUCCAAGUCUUGAGAUAAAUCGAUUGAGGGCAGCCAUGCAGCCUCUAAGCUUCUGCACAUCCUUGAUGCCGUUUGGAGCUUGCAUAUUUGUGAUGGCAGAGAUUUUUUCCGGGUUGGCCUCAAUGCCACGGUGGCUAAUGAUGAAUUCGAGUAAUUUUCCCGAGGGUAUAACGAAAACGCAUUUUGUAGGGUUGAGUUUCCACCGGAACGCUCGUAGGUUUGCAAAAGUUUCUUCCAAGUCUGCGACUAGAUUGUCUGGAUUUCUUGUUUUGACGACUACAUCGUCUACGUAAGCUUCUACGUUGCGGUGUAGUUGCUUCACGAAACACAUCUGGAUGGCACGUUGAUAGGUCGCACCAGCAUUUUUUAGCCCGAAAGACAUUGUUAUGUAGCAAAAUGCUCCAAACGGGGUGAUAAAAGCUGUUUUGGAUUGAUCUUCUUCUUUGAGGGCUAUUUGAUGAUAGCCUGAGUAGCAGUCGAGAAAGUAGAGCAAUGCACACCCAGCUGUGGAGUCGACUACUUGGUCGAUCCUAGGAAGUCCAAAGGGGUCCUUUGGGCAAUGCUUGUUGAGGUCUGUGUAGUCGACGCAUAUCCUCCACUAAUUGUUGUUCUUGCGAACGAGUAUAGGGUUGGCUAGCCAAUCAAGGUGGAAAACUUAUUUGAUAAACCCUGCUGCGAGUAGUUUGGCCAGCUCUUUUUUGAUUGCAUCUAUUCUGUCUUGGGCGAACCUUUGUAGUCAUUGUCUUUUUGGGUAGCUUUGGGAUCGACGUUUAAUGAAUGUCAAUCAGCUCCUUGGGCACACCAGGCAUGUCAGCUAGCUUCCAAGCGAAGAUGUCGUGGUUAGCCCGAACAAAACUAAUGAGCGCGCUUUCCUAUUUAGGGUCUAGCUCUGUUCCAAUCAGGGCUGUUUUGGAUGAGUCGCCAGUCUGGAGAUCGACGGGUUUGAAGUCCUUCUCGCUUGCUGGUUUCACCUUAGUCGAUCCCGACUUUUUUUUCUGGGAUCUCGAGUUCUGUGGGGCUGAGUUUCUUUGAUGCUGUGAAGACUUGUUGCAUGGGAUUGGGUGCUUGAGAAGUCACUGCGAUUUCGACAGCUUUCGUGUCGCACUCGUACGAUCACCUCAAGUCUCCACGUAGUGUCAACUCACCUUUACGUCCUGGCAUCUUGAGUACCAGGUACACGUAGUGUGGUAUAGCCAUAAACUUGGCCAGGGCUGGUCUUCCGAGUAUGGCGUGGUAAGAAGUUUCGAAAUCGGCGACCUCAAACCUGAUGUACUCGGUUCGGUAAUGUUCCUUGGUGCCAAAAGUGACUGGUAGGACAACUUGUCCUAGAGGUAUGGCAGCAUUUCCUGGGACAAUUCCGUAGAAGGGUGAGUCUAUUGGAGUAAGCAUGUCUGUGAUGUCGAGGCACAUUUUCCUUAGCGUCUUGGUGAAAAUGAUGUUGAGUCCGCUUCCGCCAUCGAUGAGUACUUUGGUAAGUCUUGAGCCUGCUGAGAAACUUGUCCAUUGGUCCUUUUUGCUGAAAGUUAUGGGUACCUUAGACAAUUUGAGGGUUGUAGGAGCUGCUGGCAUGAUAGCCAUAAUCUCUCUAAGUACUAGCUUAUUGGAACCCUUGGACGUGGUACCCGGGAUUCCACCAAAAAUGAUGUUGACCGUCUUAGAGGCAGUUUGGAACUCACCUUCACCUUCGUCAGCUUUGUCAACCUUGCCUUUAUCCUUAUCCUUGUUCUGACCAAUGUUCUCGGGAGGGGGUGGUGCGGGUAAUUCUUGCAUUACUCGGUGCAUGUUGUAGCAAUCGAUCGGCGAGUGUUUGCUGUUUGGAUGCCAUGGCAUUGUUUUUUUGAGUAACUCGGUGAAGGAGGGCCUGUCAUUGCGUUUGUGUGAUCCUUUCUUGCCUGAGUUGGACAUAGCCGCGAUAGUGUUUUCAGGUUUGCGCUUGCGGUUCUGAUUACCUAAAUAGUUGUUUCGAGUAUCAUUGUUGCGGUUUCUGUCUUGUUCAUGAUUGUUGUUAUUGUUGUCGCGACCGUGGUUGCGAUCAGAGCCGAAUCUCUCACGCUCCUUGUCUUCUUCAUCUUCACAUUGUUGCACCAUGAUUUUGAGAUCUUUGACAGUGGCUGGUCGACUUCUGCCAAAGUCUUGAUAUGUUCGACGAUCAUAGAGGCCAUUUUGAAAGCACUCGAUGACAUCCCCUUCGGAAAUGUCGACUAUUGUAACCUUCUUUUCAAAGAAACGGCGUAGGUAGUCGCGAAGUGUCUCGCUUUCUUUCUGUUUGACUUAGCUUAGGUCAAUUUUAUUGCCUCGGUGGGACAUGGAGCCCACGUAAUUAUUAGUGAAAGCCUUCAUCAAGUGUUCCUAGGAAUCUAUUGACUUGGGCUUGCAUGACUCGAGCCAUAUUAACGGCGCGGGUUCCAUGCAUCUGGGGAAGUGAAUGACCUUUGUGUCGUCAUUACCCCCAGCUGCUUCAACUGCUAGUGAGUAGCAUCGUAGCCAUUGGACUGGAUCUUGCUUGCCAUCAUACUUGGUGAUCCCCGUCGGCUUGAACUUCUCGAGUAGUUUAGUCUUCAUUACCCGUGUGGUGAAGACGGGGAAGUGAUCAUAGUCAUUGGCUUCGCGUUCGCAUUCGCAUUUGUGGCGACGGUUGUUAUUGAUUGCCUCUCUUAGGUCGCUGAAGAUUGAGGCUUCGCGAUCAGCUCUACGGUGGUGAGAGCUCUUUGCAGAAUUGGUGCAGCUAGCCUCCCCUGCAUCCCUGUUUUGCCUUGGGGCCUCGCGUUUAUCUCUAUUUUGCCUUUGGCUGUGUUGCCUCGGCUGGUUGACUACUUCGUUACUGUUUCUUGGAGCUUCGCGAUUGCCACUGUAGACUGUAACGUCUCUACUACCAUCCUGGUGGGCCGAGUUGCGAGGGAUAGAUGGGAUUGGUUAUUCCUUGUCGAGUAGUUUGUAAGCUUGUUCUGCGAGUUGUGCUAUUAGCUCAUUGCCCGUUUUCAUGAGUUGUGCUGUUAACUUGUUGUUUCGGUUAUGAGGUAUGAGAGUUGAUAUGAGAUUGAUCGAGGCAAUUGUUGCGAGUGGAGUGUUCUGCUCUCAAGCUUGCACUGUGUCGAAUGCUCUUUCGAGAUUCACGAUAGGAAUGUUUGUAGCUAGUAGUCGGCGACGAUCUGCUUGGGCAGCAUUGCGUGCCCUUCUUUGAUUUCUCUGUUCAGAGGUUUCAUCUUGCGGGGCGUUAGCUGAUGAUUCAUCUUGUGAGACGUCAUCGAGUUGUCCAAACCGUCGAGGAUUUUUUUGGUGACUGGUACCCGCGUCGUUGUUUGGUGACGUGAUGACGAAGAUUUCUCUGUCCGGGUAGUAGCUUCCAGAGCUUGAUGUUGCAAUCUCCGUAGUGCUUCCUUUUUUGUGGGUUGAAGUAAGCGGGAUACCCUCUUGAUACGGGAGGUUGUCUAUGUGAGCGACAAGGUGUGACUCGUAAUCUUGGCUAUGGAAUGAUGGCUCCAUCCCAGGCCAAUAAACGAAUCUGCCUUACGGAGUUGAAGUAUUACCAAGCCUUGAGCUGGGCCUGAUAAAAGGAUCUCUUUGACAAAGUCCGAGUCGUAGUCGCAGUCCUUAACUGUCUCUAGUCCGGAUUGGACUCAAGUAAGGAAUUCUUGGCGGACCAUGGCUACAUUGCGGAGUCCGAGCAGGUAUCGGCUUCGAGUUGAAGUCGACUUGCGAGAUGACUUGGACGUCAGCCUGUGCGUGCUAGUCUGAAUCGAGGUCAAGUCCGAGCCGUAGUUGAACUCAAUGUUGCUAACAUUGAAAUCUUGGAUUUUCUCGACGAGAUUCUCUGCUUCUUGAUGAAGAAAGUUUUCGUCGAGAUGCUUCUUUUCCUGGUUGCCGACGAUGCAGCAUUGAAAGGAUCCAGCGCCGUCAGUGAUGCAAUGCCAGGAACGAAGACGAAAGUUUCGCCCGCCUCAAAGGUGAACGCAGGCUUGAUGAUGACUGGUGCCAUCGAUCUCGCUCGGAAAAACUCAGUGACUCCACCUACCUAGCGCGCCAGCUGUCGGUGUUUUAGACCGGGAACCCGCCUAGGGAGUACCCAAGGUGGUCUUUUGUGUGGUGGGUGUUGUCGACAAUCAAGGAGCUGAUGGUGACGCAAGGAACACGAUUUAGACAAGUUCGGGCUGCUAGAUCACGUAAUACCCUGUGUCCUGUGUGUUGGUUGUAUUGAACUUGUGUCGAGUUGCACUUGUUGUUUUAAGGGGGUCCCUGCCCGCCCUUAUAUAGUCGGGGGAGCAGGGUUACAAGAAGGAUUAUGUAUGAGUCCUAAUCGAGUACAUUUACAGAGUCCUACUCUAACUCGGUAGAGUGGUUUCCUUUUGACCCGACUAGUCUUCGGGGAGUUCAUGAAGCCUACGCGCCCUGCAGAGUAGUCUUUAUGUCCGAGUAGGUUCUGGGUACGUUCCCUUGAGUGGGUCCGUACAAGUCUUCUGGUGGGCCCGAGGGUGUCUAGCCGACAGUCCUGACCUCCUGGGUUUGAUUACAGCUCUUGUGCUCCAUUUUUAGUAUUUCUCGGUCAAUGACAGAUAGAUGCAGGAAGUUGCUAAUAGGGUGAACAACAGUCCCCUUUACCAUGCACGCACAGCUGCAGACGCUUUCUAGGAGUGCAUAUUUAGUCAUUUCAGGGAAUAUGUUAGGAGGAGUAUGAUACCAUGGGCAAGCAACAAGGUUAACAUGGAUAAGAUGCAGCAUGAUGAAAUGCCUGCUACUUUGAGAUGACCUGCAUAACCCUGCAGAAAAGGUGAAGGACAAAAGGCAAUGUAAAAGUCAUUCUAUGUUGGGCAUCUCUAUUUUCUCAGAAAAAGAGAAAGAGGGAAAGCCGAGGUCACCAGCAGCAACAAUGGUGUUGGCACAUCAGCGUCCCCAUCCAUCUGUUGAUCAGGAAACUCCCUGCAUCAGCAGAAAAAACAAAUGAAUAAUGGACUCGGCAUUGCUCGACAACGUGAACCAAUAAUGUGCACGAACCUAUUUUCGAACCAAUAACAUGGACUGGGCUUCACAAUAUAUACUCACUCACGAACACUGAAGAGGAAUGUGUUUCUCGAUUAAUCAACAGAGAUCGAAUGGAACAAGAAUGUAGCAAAAUUAAUUAGCUUUUCACUAUGAUAUGGACCUCUAAUUUUAGAUGGGAAUCGCUCUUCCCCGCCACGCUCGGUGGGAGCGUGUUGAUGGCAGUGGCCUCCGUGACACAGCCCGUCGAGCACUAUCUCGCUCGUGCCGCCCCAGAGCUCGUCAAUGGCGGCGACCCGGCCACGACCGUCGAGAAAAUAAUUGGAGGUGAGGCCGUUCCUAUGAUAGUGCUUGGUGGUUGGCGUCAGCGGGCGGAGUUAAUAAAGCUUCAGUAUGUAUUAGAUUGAACUGGAAACCUGGAGCAGAUACACAAAAGAGCAUGAACUUAUUUCUAUUGAUGCAAGGUAGAAUGGGAUCUUGCCUUAAAGGUCAUAGGGGUCCAUCCCUUCUUGCUUUUCCUAAAAGCUGCUACUAAUACAAAUAGUAAACAAGCUAAUCAUCAUAUUAAGUAAGAAUAUUUGUGCAAAUCUAGCAGAGUUACUGAUAAUCUGCUCUUGAUAAGCUCGGUACUCUGGGGUAGUUGCCUGAAUUAUAAUCAACCAUUGAGAGCCUUAGACAAAGGAAAACAAUAUGAAUUAAAGAUAAUAUGAAACAACAUAACUUGCACAAACCUGCUUAAGCACAACAACCAAGCCAGUAAUGGUACAGUCAUGAGGCCUGCCUUGCAGACCUGGAAACACAGCAGCGUUGAUCUUGUCCUUAAAAUCAUACAUAACCUGCAUAGUGAUAUACCUUAGUCCUUCCUUUUUCUUAUGUACUACAACCACAAAGAUUAAACCAUCUGCAGGGCUACCAAGGAAAAUAAGCAACAAAGGACACAUUCAUGCUUGUAUGCUACCUCUAAAUAAAAACAGUAAGGAGAUAAAAGUAAAAUCCAGAUCCAUGUACCUGGUAACCAUGAGAAAGAUGUCCACCGUGAGGAAGAUCCAAAGCCAUGAUCCUUUCAUGUGGCUUUAAUAGGGCAGUUGGCCGGUGAACCCGAUAGAGGUUGCACAUUCACUGCAGAGGCAAACAUUGGUUAUUACAAGCUGACCAAGCGGAAGCCUCCAAAGCACGUUUCCGACCCAAGGAUUCAGCCAUAUCAAUAUAUCUGCAACCAAGAGAAACCAGAACAACAACCAAUGCAGGUUGUCCUGGAUUCACGUAGACAACAAUUCGAUUUCUCUUGCAAACAUGCGUGUUUCCACUGAAACAAUCCCAACAAUGACAACUGAUAGAACAUGGCCUUACUCAUUCCUACUGUAGUAUCUUGCAUCGGUGUACCCCUUGCUGUACUUGUUGGUCAUGAAAGAACCCACCGCUUGCAUCACUGACACCGACGUGAAAUUCUCCGACGGGAUGAGCUCCAACCUCUACAUCAAACAUUUUGACACAGACACAAUUCAAUGAGAACAAAGAAUAUAAUAUAAUCCAACAUUGCAACAAUUGCAUAUGACUGAAGAAGUAGGUCUAGAAAACAUGACUGAAGGAAAUAGACACCACAGCGAAUAACCCUCACUGGGAUAGCAGCUUCACCCAUGGCGCUACAGGCUGCUGUUGCUCCGGCUCCUUCCUCCUCUUCGAACUCUCAGCCACCGCAGCAACUGGCUUAUUUGCUCCUUGAUUUGCACCAAAGCGUCAAAACCCCAUGAACUCGAUUCCAAACCCAUCGCACCAAACCCUAGCACCCGAAACGCUCGCAAAGACUGCACCUUUCUACGUUGCUACCCCCACCGCGUCCUCCACCAAACCGGCGCUGCUCGUCGGGGCCGCAGCCGUAGAAUCCUCCUCGGUCCUCCCGGGCGCGGACGCCGUCGACGACGCCGGGGCCUCCGCUUGGUUAGGGUCACGGUUCAGAUCGGUUAGCUGGUAGGUCAAAUCGGGAGGCGGCGACGCGGGAUUCUUCGAUCCGCGGUGGGCCGGUGCUUUCACCUUGGGCCUCUUUGGGGGAGGCACGGAUGAGGAGGACGGCGAUGGGGACGGGCGCUUCCUGGCGGCCGCGGCGGUGGAGCUCCAGCAAGUCUCCACCGUGGUGUGCGCCGGAGGCGAGAGUUUCCUCUACUGCGGCGCGCAGGCGUGAGAGGCGUUGCCCCGCAUGAGGAGGAAGAGCGGCAGGCCUGAUGUGGAGGAUGACGAGCUACUCCAUGGACGGAGCGGAGAGGUGAAUGUGGAGAGGAUGGAGGACAGAGGUGCGAGUGGCGUACAUCGGGAGGAGGAGGACCCGUGUUAGGGUUUCGGUGGAGAAGGGGAGGCGGCAAGGGUGGAGCUGCGGGGUGGUGGGGAAGGAGGCAGGAGCGGAGGGAUCGCAGGAGGAGGAAGCGGACGGCGGAGGGUAGGAGGAGGGAUCGGAGGGCUGAUGAUCGAUUUUCGGCGGACGAAACCACGUAGGAGCGAACAGUGGAGGAGAGAUCCGCGGAGCGGACGACGCAAAUCAUCUAGAGCAAGGGCCACAGAGGGGAGCGGAAGGAGACGUAUGAAAAAAAAAGUCCCCUUUUCACUUUUUUAAGUAGUAGAGAUAAGCUAAAUUUAAACUGUUCCAAACGGGACUAAAGGCAUCUCUCUCUACAGAAUUGGGACUUUCGAGACUUUUACUUUGACAAAUAUCGAUCCUAACUUCUUACGUUAUUUUUUGGUUCAAGAAGUGGAAUAUUUAGAUCCGCUACCACUUUAAACCCUUAAUUAACUGAAUUAUAAAUAACAUGAUUAUUUUCCCAAAAUUUAUAUUAUGAUUUCCGCGAAAGGUCACUGACUUUUUUGUUUUUUUGCCCUUUUUGCGAAAAAUUCUCACAAAUACGUCCCUGGCGGAACUGUUGGAGGUAUGCCCUAGAGGCAAUCAUAGAGAUGAUGAUAUUCCAUUUGUAUCCAUGAUUUGUAUAUUGUGUUCAUUGAAUAUCCAUUAAAGGCUACUUGAAUUGAUUUGCAAUUAUGUGAAUUGUAUGUGAAACUCUUUACUUGUAUGGUUAUUCUAAAGUUGUCCCUAGUCGGAGUUCAUGUGAGGACACACAUGAAUAUUAGACUAGCACAUGUAUUAGUUGAUGACUAUGUUUCACAAGUCAUCGACAUGGAGAUGUUGAACUAAUAAUGUGGACACAUGUGGAGACAUGUGCUAGGACUGACCCAACACGAGAAAUAGUUCUCUCUUUAAACAACAUAUACGCUUUGUCCUUAGACCUGAGAUUGUCGCAUGUAUUCUAGAUGUGGAUCGACCUACUUAGGGGCUAUCAAACACUACACCGUAACAGGGUAGUUAUAAAGGUAGCUUUCGGGUUUGUCAAGAAGCAUGCUAUGAGACAUGGUCAAUCAAGAUGGGAUUUGCCCCUCUCUGAUUGAGAGUGAUAUCUCUGGGCCCCUCGAGUGAUCGGAUCCGAAAAUGCAUGGCCAUGCUACGUACGGUUAAGAGUUAACCUACAAAGGGAUUCUGAAUCACAGGAUCGAGAAAGAGCGGUCGGCUUGAAGCUAGACCAAAUAUCAUGAGGCAAAGGGAAUAGCAUGUAUAUUAUGUUGUGAUGGUUCGUCUGAUAUGAUCUUCGUGUGCGUAUAGGAGUUGGCACGUCUUGCUAGAGGCCGCUACCGACUAUUGGGCCGAGUAGGAGUACUCGGGCCAUGUCUAUACGUAUCCGAACCCAUAGGGUCACACACUUAAGGGGCUGGAAGCCCAAUUCGGAUCUGAUCCGAGUUGGAUUAGGUUUAGAAGUACUAAUAGGCCUCGGACCCAGAGGCCUGUCAGGAACCUCUAUAAAUAGAGGGGUGGGGGCGCCCUAGGGUUUACACCUUUUUGGCGAAACACAUCUGCCGCGCCUCCCACACCCUCGCCUGUUGCAACUCUCGGAUCUAGCAGUCCGGCUUGCGACGCUUCCUCCCUGCACGUGUGGAUACCUUGGAGGUGUUGCGCCUGCGGCACUUGGACGAGCCGCCAACAAGCCGCCGACGAGCCACGACGAGCCGACGACGAGCCGCGGCACCGGGGGCGAUGUUGCUGCACGUGGACGAGCUGCUGAGGAGCUGCUGGCGUUGAUGUGAUCGACUACGUACGACUACGUUGAUCGACUACGUACGACUACGUGAUCGUCUUCACUGCAUCGACGCAUAUCUACAUCUUCCGCACCAGUAGUGCGUCGAGUGGUAAUCCCGUGAUCCUCAUACGGCAGUUCUUCCUGGUUUUACGCGGUAGAAAUUUUGAUUUACGCUAGCGUAGCCUACCUCGUAUCCCAACAGGAACCCUUUCAAAAUCUGGACCCUUAGUUUGGUGCCAUCCACGCUGGCGCAAGCUUACAUGUCUUGGCGCCAGUCAUCCUAGCGCCAAGGUCCAUGCGCAGCUGCUGACGCGGAUGUCGAUGUGGCGGGGGCUUGGCGCCAGCCAUCCUGGCGCCAAGCUUGACGUCGUGGAUCUUCAUGCCAAGCUUGGCGCCGAGCAGUUACCCUAUACCGGCGGUGUUUCGAAUGAAAUAAGUAUAAUUAUUCCAAGAAGCAUGCAACAAAUCACAUUGUGGUUCAGUUGGCUAGGACAAUCGANNNNNNNNNNNNNNNNNNNNNNNNNNNNNNNNNNNNNNNNNNNNNNNNNNNNNNNNNNNNNNNNNNNNNNNNNNNNNNNNNNNNNNNNNNNNNNNNNNNNNNNNNNNNNNNNNNNNNNNNNNNNNNNNNNNNNNNNNNNNNNNNNNNNNNNNNNNNNNNNNNNNNNNNNNNNNNNNNNNNNNNNNNNNNNNNNNNNNNNNNNNNNNNNNNNNNNNNNNNNNNNNNNNNNNNNNNNNNNNNNNNNNNNNNNNNNNNNNNNNNNNNNNNNNNNNNNNNNNNNNNNNNNNNNNNNNNNNNNNNNNNNNNNNNNNNNNNNNNNNNNNNNNNNNNNNNNNNNNNNNNNNNNNNNNNNNNNNNNNNNNNNNNNNNNNNNNNNNNNNNNNNNNNNNNNNNNNNNNNNNNNNNNNNNNNNNNNNNNNNNNNNNNNNNNNNNNNNNNNNNNNNNNNNNNNNNNNNNNNNNNNNNNNNNNNNNNNNNNNNNNNNNNNNNNNNNNNNNNNNNNNNNNNNNNNNNNNNNNNNNNNNNNNNNNNNNNNNNNNNNNNNNNNNNNNNNNNNNNNNNNNNNNNNNNNNNNNNNNNNNNNNNNNNNNNNNNNNNNNNNNNNNNNNNNNNNNNNNNNNNNNNNNNNNNNNNNNNNNNNNNNNNNNNNNNNNNNNNNNNNNNNNNNNNNNNNNNNNNNNNNNNNNNNNNNNNNNNNNNNNNNNNNNNNNNNNNNNNNNNNNNNNNNNNNNNNNNNNNNNNNNNNNNNNNNNNNNNNNNNNNNNNNNNNNNNNNNNNNNNNNNNNNNNNNNNNNNNNNNNNNNNNNNNNNNNNNNNNNNNNNNNNNNNNNNNNNNNNNNNNNNNNNNNNNNNNNNNNNNNNNNNNNNNNNNNNNNNNNNNNNNNNNNNNNNNNNNNNNNNNNNNNNNNNNNNNNNNNNNNNNNNNNNNNNNNNNNNNNNNNNNNNNNNNNNNNNNNNNNNNNNNNNNNNNNNNNNNNNNNNNNNNNNNNNNNNNNNNNNNNNNNNNNNNNNNNNNNNNNNNNNNNNNNNNNNNNNNNNNNNNNNNNNNNNNNNNNNNNNNNNNNNNUCCUAGCCCAGCUGAACCACAAUGUGGUUUUGUCGCAUGCUUCUUCGAAUAAUUAUACUUAUUUCAUUCGAAACGUCGCCGAUAUAGGGUAACUGCUCGGUGCCAAGCUUGGCGCCAAGAUCCACGAUGGCUGGCGCCAUGCCCCCGCUAUGUCAACAUCCGCGUCAGCAGCUGCGUAUGGACCUUGGCUCCAGGAUGGCUGGCGUCGAGACGUGUAAGCUUGGCGCCAGCGUGGAUGGCGCCAAGCUAAAGGUUCAGAUUUUGAAAUGGUUCCACCAGGAGUGUAUUUGUGAGAAUCUUUUCUAAAAAGGAAAAAAAAGUCGGAAAAUGUCAUAGAUGGGAGCGAAGCCAGCCCAAAAAGGAUCAGCUGAAACAACGACAAAUAGUGACUUAGUGAACGAAUUUCUGAUUUCCAUCGAGUCAGCUGACCCACACAACAAGGCGGGCUCCGUCCCUAUAUGAUGACACUACGAUGGACCUUCUAUUCCGGUAGAUAAUUAAGGGCCUGUUUGGCAGAGCUCCAGCUCUGAAAAAACAGCUUCAGAUCCAUAGAUCCAGCUAGCUCCACUAUAGAGCUGGUCCACCGUGGAUCUAAGAUCUCAAAAAGCGUUUGGUACAGCUUCACUCUUGUCUUUGUCUCACUGGCAAUUUGGACCCAUGCAUUAGAAUAAAAAAAAGAAAACCUCAUCGCCGUGAGUGUGACCCGUGCCGGCGGACCCACCGCCCUCCUCCUCGCCUUCGGCCACCACCACGGGCCGCGACACCCGCCGCGGCCACGAUGACGCCUCCCGCAUAAGAUCUCCGGCGGGCGGGACGGUGCUUCGGCGGCAGGGGCGGGCAAGGGCAAGCAGGGGCGGGCGGGGCUCCAGCGGGCAGAGCGAGCGAGGCGGGCGAGGUGAGCAGAGGUGAGUAGGGGCGGCGCUCCGGCGGCAGGGGCAGGCGGGGCGCCGGCUGGCGGAGCGAGCGGGACGGGCAGGGGGAGCAGAGGCGAGCAGGGGUGGCGCUCCGGUGGCAGGGGCAGGCGGGGCUCCGGCGGGCGGAGCGAGCGGGGCGGGCGGGGUGAGCAGGGGCGGAGCUCCGACGGUAGGGGCAAGCAAGGGCGGGCGACGCUCGGGCGUGCAGGGGCAAACGGCGGCGUAGCAAAGGAAGAGGAAGGACAUUAGCGUUUUGCACGGAGAAGAAGAAAAAGAAAUAGAACGAACCGGUCAUUUUCCACUAAUGAGUGGCAGUGGUGGAUAAUUUUCUUCAACUCCACCAAAUUUGAUUUCGUGGAGCACCCCCUGAGGAGCUCCACCAAAUCCAUGGAUCUGGGGGUAGAUCCACCAUUUUCGUGAAGCAGAUCUGCGGUGGAGUUGCUGGAGCUAAAACCGUUUAGCUGGAAAAAUUGGGAGCGGAGCUGUUUUUGGAGAUCUCUAACCUGAGUUGAGAGCUGCUCUAUCUGGACUACAUUCCAACAUUUUUGAGAAUCAUAUAGUCUAAGUCGUGUACUCUACUCCUACCUAGUUUUACCCAGACACUUCUACACUAUGUUACAUAGAUGAUGCAGAUGAUUACUAGAAAUCAGACCGUUGGCCAGCUGAGAGAGCUUACACACAUAAGACUUAGGUUACAUGAUAGAUGCUUCAACUUCUNNNNNNNNNNNNNNNNNNNNNNNNNNNNNNNNNNNNNNNNNNNNNNNNNNNNNNNNNNNNNNNNNNNNNNNNNNNNNNNNNNNNNNNNNNNNNNNNNNNNACAGGCCCUAAAUCCAUAAAACUAAACACCUUAUUUAUUUGUCUAGUCGUCCUCACGAAGCAUCUCAAAUUUUCGAGACGAACUUCUCAAUUCAUCUUCUAAUUAACGGGAGUGUAGGGCCUGUUUGGCAGAGCUCCACGCAGCUCCAGAUCCUUAAAAACAGCUCCGCUCCUAUUUUUUCCAGCCAAACGGUGCAGCUUCAUUAAAUCCAGAUCCGCAAAAAAAUUGGAUCCAGCUCCCAGAUCCACCAAUUCCACGGAGCACCCAAGGGGGUGCUCUCAAAACGCUGGUUUUGUAACCCCUCAUGGAGUUGGUGGAAAUUACCCACCAAUACCAUCGAUUACACACAUCUCGUACCGGUUCGCCCUCUAUUAUUUUCUCCGUGCCGCCCCUCUAUUUUUUCAUCCGAAGCUUUCUUCCUUCCUCCUUCCCCGCCGCAUCCAGCGCCGACCGCCGCCUCCAGCGUUCAUCUCCGUCGGUGACCGGACCGCCGCCGGGAAUGAGGAGAUCAGCUCCUCCUCCACCUCCUCCGCCCCCUUCAUCUUCCAAUCCGGCCCCUAGGGUUGGACUUUCCCGUCCCGGCCCCGUCACUGGCGCGCCCGGUGGCGUCACUGGCGCGCCCGGCGGCGGGAGCCUGGCCGCCGCGGGCCUGGGCGGCGCGCCCGGCGGCGGGACCCUGGCCGUCGCGGGCCUGGGCGGCGCCAGCCUGGCCGCGGCUGGCCUGGGCGGCGCGGCCGGCCUGGACGGUGCAAGCCGGGCCGCGGGUGGCCUGGGCGACGCGGAUGGCUUGGUACGAUUUUGGCAUUCUCGCAUAACUUGUCCGAUUUCUGUACUUUGUUGCAUUAUUGUCAUAGAUGAGUUGGUUGCAAGAUAAUUUAGAAAUGCAAUGGUGAACAAUGUAAGGAGUGAUCUUUAGAGCCUGAUUGCAGAAUCCAUACCCAGCUACACAUGGGUUUGUGACCUGCAACUCUCCAGGGAUUAAAAUUAUAAUCAAUGUUUCUGUAGAUUUUAAAUGGUAGCGUCGUGUUGAGAAAUCACAUUUACAAAAUAGCACGCCAAGCAUAUGGAGUACCUUGUACAUAGUACCAAAGUCGUUUGAUCCAAUCUUGUUUUUCUCUGAAAAAUUCUGUGUAGCGUUCUUCAACUCAGUCAAACUGAACUUUGUUAAGCCUGUCAUAGAAUCAAGGCACAACUUAUGUCGCUUAGAUUUAUCCGAGUAUGAAAGUGUAUUAUUAGAACCAAUAGUUCUUAGUACAAUGUAGUAAGAAUAACAAUUUGAAUGAGUUUCAACUGCCAAGUGCUAAAAUUGAUAAACAUAAAAUACCAUUAUGUUGGUAUUUGAAUUAUUUCUGUUCAAAACCAGCAUUUUUCAUGAAUGGUGACGAAAUUAAACUUCAAGCACGCUGAUGCAAAAGCUCAAUGGAGGAAUAAACAGAUACCAAUAAUUACAUAAUUGUUCAGUUUCUUAUCUAUAACCACUAUCAAUCUCACUGAAUACUUGCAGUUUGAACUAAAUGAAAGCUACACUUAAAUUAUUUGCUUCUUAUAAAACAAUGUAUCUGCCUUGCUCCUUGUCUCCCUUGUAUUUUGCUGGUAGUUCAACACUUCAACAGACGCGUAAGAGCAUAUCAUAAGGACUUGAGUUCAGAGGUGUUGGAAAACUAUGAUAGUGUCCAUGAUUAGAAGAGGUACUAUGAUAACACUGACAGUAGACAUUUAUGGAGUCCAUGCAACAGCAGGAAGCUUUCAACCUAUCUAUGUCUGUCGCAGCUGCCAAUUAUUGCGAUUCAUGAAUGUGACGUACACUUGUUGGUAGGACAGUGCACUUGUUGAGGAAGUCUAAGCUUAACCGAACACAUACAUUCUUAUCUGCUAGUGCUUUUCCAGUGCUACAAAUUGUAAUGUAGGGCAAUUAAUUUUUUUAUUCUUUUGAAUGCAAACAUUCUCUACUUUAAUUCAGUUGGCUUGGUGCCACUUGUAGUUCUCCAAUUAGUAUUUGACAUUAUAUUUCUUUAUCUCUAGUAUUAUGAUUUGUUUAUCCAUUGAUUUAUGGUUUCUGAUCUAUCAUCUUGUAGCAACCAUGCUUGAUGGGAAACCAAUCAUAUCCUUACCACCGAAAACCGUUUCACUUAAGAUUAAUCUACUGUUUUGUGAUAGUUCUGAACCAAAAAUCAUAUCCAUUGAUUACUCAUAUCCUUAACGAUGCAACCGGUUUUCAUAUGCUGAACUUCUGAAAUUGUGACUAGGAGUGUGUAUUGCAGUAUUACUACACAUUACCAUCACCCCAAAAGAACUCCAUUUUAAUCUACUGUUUGUGAUAGUUGACUUUGGGCUAAUUAAUCUGGAAUCUUGGCCGGUCGGUUGCGGCCAGAGGCAGGUAGUAGUGGUGUGGUGCAGCAGUGAGAUCUCAUCUGAUUUUACUAGUAACUUGACAUGCGGUAAAAUGAGGUGUUUAUAAAAUAUAUGCUAAUGUUAGUUAUCGUUCAGGAUUACUCAUAUCCUUACCAGAUUAUUUUGCACCAGGAGCCAAUUGGGAUUAUUGGAUUAUUGGAAAUAUAUACUAAUUGGAUAAUUGGCAAAUGGCAUGUAGGACGCAGUGAUCGGCGAUGAGUUCCUGAUGGCAUCGCAGGCAUCUUCUACGCCGGUUGCGCAAGCUAGGAGGCGUGCUGCAUCAGCUAACAAAAGGGCAAGGGAUGAUGAGGUAUAUUUUUCUUCCAUUGUAGUGGAGCUGUUGUAUAAUAGAGUUGGAAUUUGAACAAUAUUUUGGGGAAAUCAUUAAUAGGGUGAUCAUAUGGAUUGGAAUGAUGGCUAUACCACCAUUGUUUGCAAGUUGUUUGCUGAACAAGUUAGAAAAGGAAAUCGACCAAACACUCAUUUGAACAAUGUGGGAUAUUCCGAGGUGAAAGAAAGGUUUUUUUCAGAGUACCGGUAUCAUGUUGAAAAAAAGUCAACUUAAGAACAAGUGGGAUAAGUUGAGGGGUGAUUUGUCUGCAUGGAAAAAAUUAAUGAGAAAGCAAACUGGUACUGGUUGGAACUGGGAGAAGGGAACUAUCAAUAUGGACGCCGAGUGGUGGAAAAAAACAAAAAAAGUGAGCACUUCUCGCAUGGUAUUUUGUUCAUAUAUAGAUUAUAUUAGUCUUGUAUAAUUUCAAUUUAAUACCUUUGUCAAACACUUUUAGGACAUUCCUGGCGUGGGGAAAUUUAAGAAUAGGCCUCUCCAAAACGAAGAUGAGUUGAAGGUGAUGUUUGGAAAUAUCAUUAAUGAAGAGCAAGAUCAUUGGAAUCCUAUGAGUUCCAACCCCAUCAUACCCCCAAGCCAAGAAGCACCCAAUCCUAUGAGUUCCAACUUCAUUGAUGCCGAGGAUGGGUGGUAACAAUGAUUUAGACAAUGGCGAUGAGGUACAGGAGGUUUCUCCUUCCGUUGCCAAUGCUAAGAAAAAAGUACAUGUGAUCCUUGAUAAACCUAACAAGAAAUCUAAGGCAAGCACAACAUUAGUUAUACAAGAACACAUCUCCAAGAUAUCAAAUAAUGCUUCCUCUUUUGUGGCAAGCAGGCAAGCUGGGAUCACUAUUGAACAAGUAAUGGACCAUGUUGCUGCAUGUGGGGCUGCGUGUGGCAGUGAUGAGCAUUUUGUGGCAACUGAGCUUUUUGUUAAGAAAGAGCAAAGGGAAAUGUUCAUGACUAUUCCCACCAAUGAGGCUAGGUUUAGUUGGCUUAAGAGGAAGUACGAUAUGAUGUUUGCAAAGUGAUGGCCGAGUGAUUUGCCAUCUUUUUUUAGACAUGUCAUUUUCAUUCAUCUAUGUCAUAUGGACAAAUUUGUGAUGCUUAAUUUGUUGUCAUUUUUAAUUCAUCCAUCUUGUGUGGAUAAUUUGUGAUGGUCAAUUUGUUGUCAUUUUUUAUUCAUCUUACGUUGUUAUUUGGACAUGUUAUUUUUAUUCUUGCAGUUGUCUAGUGAUGAUUCUAGUGAUGAGAAUGAGGAAUUUUUCAAAACUAUCCUAGGAGGUGCUAUGCUUGCUCAAAUAUAUGUUGAUAUGUUCCUUACUAAAAACCCUACAAGGACAUCUACCACCAGUGGAAUGGGUUUUAUUUUGGAGACUUUGCACACUCCAGGCGAAUGCCAUAGCCAGUUGCGUAUGAGCACAGAAAUCUUCUUUGAUCUUCAUGGCUUAUUGGUACAGAGGUAUGGGCUAAAACCAUCGUUGCACAUGUCUACCGAAGAGAGCCUAGGAAUUUUCUUAUUUAUCUGUGCGGGAAAUGAGUCUAAUAGAAAAUGUCAAAAUCGAUUCAAGCACUCUGGUGAAACUAUUAGUCAAAAAUUUGAGAAUGUUCUAAACUGUUUGAUGGCCAUGGCAAAGGAUUUCAUUAGGCCAAAAGAUCCAAAUUUUCAUAAUGUUCAUAGGAGAAUAAGGGAUGAUAGGCGAGCAUAUCCACAUUUCAAAGAUUGCAUUGGAGCACUUGAUGGCACCCAUAUUCGUGUUUCCCUUCCACCGGAUGAUCAAGUGAGGUAUAUCGGGAAGACAGGGAUAGCCACCCAAAAUAUUUUAGCAGUCUGUGAUUUCGACAUGCGGUUCACAUAUGUGUCAACGGGCCAACCAGGAGCUAUGCAUGACACAAGUGUGUUAUACAAUGCAUUGAGUGUGGACGAGAAAUUCUUUCCACAUCCACCGCAAGGUAAAAUUUAUUGGAAUAGUUAUUUUACCAUUAUACGUGACUACAAAUAAAUUUAUUUUUUAUCAUCAUUUGUAGGUAAAUACUACGUUGUCGAUGCGGGGUAUCCCAAUCGUCCAGGUUAUCUAGCUCCAUAUAAGGGUGAGAGGUAUCAUAUGCCUGAGUGGCAUAGAGGUAUGGAACCAAAAACCCCAAAGGAAAAAUUCAAUCGCAUCCAUUCUUCUAUUCGAAAUGUGAUUGAGCGAUCUUUUGGCGUAUUGAAAAUGAAGUGGCAAAUUUUAUACAAAAUGCCGAACUACCCGAUGCGGAAACAAAAAAUGGUAGUUAUUGCUUGUAUGGUCCUUCACAAUUUCAUUCGUGAGCAUAAUAGUGAGGAUUCAGACUUUGCUCGGUUUGAUCGUGAUCCUAAUUUUGUCCCUACAAUACCGCAACGGUACAAUCCAUUUGUAGUUCCAUCGGAUGGAUCUACUUCAGAAGGCAGUGUCACUACAAUGGAUAUUUUUCGCGAUGAGCUGGCCACCAAUCUUGCUCUUGCUUGGAGGUAGAAUGUAAUGAAGUAGUGAAUUAUCAAAUUUAUUUUCUAUGUAUGGACAAUUAUUUAUGUAUGAACAAUUAAUUUAUGUAUGAACAAUUAAUCAACUUCUUGGGAAAAUGACUACUCGUCAGUGUAGACGAAUGAAACUAGAUGCAUGCGUAUAUAAAAAAAAACAUGUCAAUACAUGAUUGCGCUGCUUGCAAUUCCUCUGACAUUUUUUUCCUUAUUUUAACUUUUGCUAAUGAAUCUGGAAAAUGAAAGUUUCGUCUCAUAGUAGUUGGAGACCUGUAUGUUCUUCCUCCGGCCAUUUUCCUUUUUUCAGAAAAAAAUGAGAAGAAAAAAAUGGAAAAAACCAAGGGUAUUAGUGGACAAUCCAACCAAAAACUAUGUUUCUGGAUUUGGAGCUGUUGUCUCAGCCAAACACUUUUGCUCAGCUCCACGGUGAGAACAUAGAUCCACGCUGGAGCUGCUCUGCAGUGGAGCUACUGUUUUUUUGGAUCUGGAGCUGCGUGGAGCUCUGCCAAACAGGCCCGUAAUAACGUGUAAAAAAUUAGGAGGAGGCGUGUAAUAGUUGCAUAUUAUCGAUAACCUCAAAUUAAGAUAGGCAUUUGCUGAAAACAAAUUUGUGUGUGACUCUAGCCUAGUGGUUAGAGCACCUGAGUAGUAUCCAGUAGGCUCAGGUUCGACUUCUCGUAGCAUUAAACGGGUCAAAAAUAAAAAUUAUAUAAAAAAAUAGGUACUUGGUAAAAAACAAAUUUAGGUCGAACAUAUUAGCAAACGACAUAAUGUGUAGUCACCUUAAAGAAAAAAAUCCUAGCGUGCGCUGUGUUGCCUUAUCUAUUUUUCGGGCUGGGCUGGACUUCGGCUGGGGAAAAAAAUUCAGUUCAUUUCGGACUGAGAAUUCGUACCCAUGACCGUCCCAUAGGUAUUGUCGGGCUGAUUUUUUUAACCGAGCUACCUACUCUUUUUUAGUUGAAAAUAAAUCAAAUAAAUUAUUUGGGUGGGCUUGGACCAACCUGAAUUUUUUCAAACUUGAUUUUCACUUACCAUGCCUAGUCCCAUAAUCAUCGUGGGCGGGUCAAAUCGCAGCGAGAUCGGGUCGAGCCCGCGGGGCCGGGCAAAAGAAUUCUCAAUAUACCUUAUCGUACCCCCUCAUUUUUCAUUUCAAGUGGAAUUCAUAUUUAUAUUUGCGUUCCACGCAAAAUCCACAACGAUGCAAAAAUUGAAAAAUUUGAAGAUAAGAAAUAUCGAAUUCGCAGAAACAUCGAGGGUCGAGGUGUACUUUUUCACGAGAGAAAGGGGCAAAAAUACAAUAACACCCAUGAGGCCAGUAGGCCAUGGAUCAUGAUCUCUCGCCCCCUCCAAUCUCUCUUCUCAUUGGCUGGUUUCCCUCACCCACGGAUCGCCGAGUCCCAUCCGACGGCUCACAUAAACUGAGCCCGUACCUCCAGCGGUCCAGAUCGCAGCACCGCCCUCCUCCACAAACACCGAAAACACAAACAACGCACACAACACAAGCACACACGGCGCAAGCAAAAACCGAAGAAAUCGAAACGCGAAAAAGGGUGACGCCAGGAGAGAGAGGGAGACAGAGAGGAGAGAGAAAGAGAGGGAGGAAGAGGGGAGAGCGCGCGCGCUUCGAUCGGCGAUGGAUGUCGGAGCGAAGGUGCCGAAGAAGGGCGCGGCCGGGCGUCGCGGCGGCGGCGGCCCCAAGAAGAAGCCGGUCUCCCGCUCCGUGAAGGCCGGCCUCCAGUUCCCCGUCGGCCGUAUCGGCCGCUACCUCAAGCAGGGCCGCUACUCUCAGCGCAUCGGCACCGGCGCCCCCGUCUACCUCGCCGCCGUCCUCGAGUACCUCGCCGCCGAGGUCAGUGGGACCCCACCCAUUCCCCCCUACCCGCCCCGUUGAAGACGCGGAAUCCCUGAUUCGUCUCGUUUCGUCCCUUCCUUUUUAGGUCCUCGAGCUCGCGGGGAACGCGGCGCGGGACAACAAGAAGAACCGGAUCAUCCCGCGGCACGUGCUGCUGGCGAUCCGCAACGACGAGGAGCUCGGGAAGCUGCUGGCCGGCGUCACCAUCGCGCACGGCGGGGUGCUGCCCAACAUCAACCCCGUGCUCCUCCCCAAGAAGACCGCCUCUGCCGCCGCCAAGGAAGGCAAGGAAGGUAAGGAGAAGAAGUCGCCCAAGAAGGCCGCCACCAAGUCGCCCAAGAAGGCGGCCGCCGCGUAGGCCCCGAGCGGAUGGUGGUGCCCUGUCUCUCGCUCUCUCCCUGUCCGCUCUGAACUGAAAUGCUCCUUCCUAGCUGUCGUCGUCGUCAUGAUCUUUGCUGCUUGUCGUGGUUGUUUGUGUGUAACUGAGUGCCUUUCGCUCAAUCAGCAUGCACUGUGUAGGUUGACACUGGUCUAGGGUCCGAUCUGAAGAACACUUGUUUAGGUUCGAAGGAGUGUGUGUGAACUCUGAAGGGCAGUGGAGGGGUGGGAACUGUGAAUCAUUAGGUGCUGUUUGUAAUAAGAUUGUGAAGAUGUGUAAAAUUAUGGGCCUUCAUUCUGUGCUUGAUUGUCUGGAUGUGGUUUUGGGACCAUGAUUAUGUUUAUCUGGUUCCGUUUGUGCUAAUUGGUGACUGUUCUUAUGUUUAUGUGGUUGCGUCUGAUUAAUUGGUCAUAGAAACUGUAGGGUGUUAUUUUGUUUGCAGAGAGUGCUGUUUCUUACCAGCUCUGUUAAAGUUUGAACUUAUAAAGGUUAUGGUUUGUUUUGUACCCUAAAUAAGUAGGCUACGGUUUGGUUUCGUUGUAUGUCAACGCAAGGUGAUGGUUGCAAAAUGCUGUCUGAUGUUAACAUCAAUUGAAUAGUGGCUGUCGACAUUUCUGUUAGCUGAUCAAUGAUACUAAGACCCAAUUUAAGGGAUGGCUGAAAAAGAUUAUGUGGGGUUAUGGUCAAACGGAUAGGGGUUUGCCUUCUAUUGACAUUUCUGCUAGUUGAUCAAUGAUGAAUUCAGAUACAUCGUGGGCUUUGUACACCCCUAUUGCCGUUGAUGGAAUAUGAUAUCCAACAAAGUUCAUUCCAAAUCUUGACUCUGAAAUAUGGUAUCUGGGUAUUAUGCUUGUAGAUCUUCCUGUUUUGAACUGUGAUUCCUUUGGUAGAUUAUAGCAAUGUAUUUAAGAAUUGUUACUUGAUAAUGUUCUGCAAUUUGUUGCAGAGGCAUAUAAGAAGUGUGAAAUUGAAUUUAUGUUUUGUUUUGUGCAACACGUGGUUUCUGCAUUUUCCAGUAUGUAAAAGUGGGCAGACUGAAUUACUGCAAUAAGAUUAAGCAUAUCAACAAGCCAUGUUUUUAUGUUCAGUCCAGGAAUACGGAAUUUUAGGGUUUUCAGCUCAGUUUCAUUUUUCUAUUGGUAGUGUGUUGGCUUCCAAGUUCCAAAUUUGUGUACUUCCAUAUAUACUUGCAUGAUUAGUUAGCUUUCAAGAUGGUAUUCACUUACUUGAUGGGGCAAUGCUUGAAUGCCAUGUUUUUUUUGUUGUCAUCUGAAUUGUCGGUUAUUGUGAUUUUGUUUUGUAUGCUAUCUCUUCUUAAUGUUUGCAUUCGGUAAUAAUAUUUUCCUCGAGUAUUGUAAUAGUUUGGUUGUCAUUUAAUUGCUGGAGUUGCAUGUCCGAAUUAUAAAUCCCGUGUUAUGGUUUUUCUUUGACUAAUUGAUAAUUGAAUUUGGGCGCAGUGGAUGGCAUGACAUGGUUAUCUAUAUGUGUAACUUUUUUUUUAAUUUCUGUAAUUGAUAGUUUUUACAUUGCAUUGAAAAUGUUAUCCUUAAGUUUGAUGAUCCUGGUUUGGUGUUUCUUACUAGAUUUGAAUUUUAUAUUUAUAUCAUUUUCAUUGAUGAUAGUUGGUCACUUGGUUGGAUCUUUAGGAUAAGAAAAAAAAAGAAGUUGGGUAAACUGCAUUUAGAACAAGUGAAACACUGGAACCUGUUUCCCCUAGCUCACAAUUAUAUGUUUCUAUGGGAAACUCUUAUCUUCCUUCGUUUGACAAAGCUCAGAUUAACAGUAGAAAACCCAAAAUAAGUGUAGUCAGACUGCAUUUUGGUAAAUCAUGUUCUAACAGUGUAAGUUGUAACAGAUUAAAAUCCGAAUGACUAAUGCACAUGACUAAUGCACACAUAAGAAACGUAGAAAGCCAUUUAAACCCCUUUGAUGCAAUACUGUGGCAGUAAAUAUGCUACGUUUUGUUAUACUAUGUAUUUAUGUAGACAUGUUGUUGAUCAUUAUAGUUAUGUCGAAAUGCAUUGCAAUUUUAGUUUGUGAUAGUUAUGUUAAUAUAUCAUGAGUGGAUAGUGCGUUGUUAACAGUUUGUGAAUUGGAAUUCUGGAAUGAUUUUUGUCAGCAUUCACAUCAUUAUAUAUAAGUGGUCGCUAAUUUGAUAUUGCCUAUCUUGCUGUUCUGCAUUUGUGAUUGGUCUUAUUUAAGCCACUGAUUCAGAAUUCAGAUGCAUUAUCUGGUCUGGGAGUUGCAAAUGGAACUGUCAUUUUCCUUAACCGCCACCUUUAAUUCUGUACAAUCUCCAAUAUCGUGCAUUUGUAUGGUUUGGUCCUGUUUGUUUGGGAUUAUAAUCUACCUAGAUUAUAUAAGUUGUUUGUUUGGGAUUAUAAUCUACCUAGAUUAUAUAAGUUGGAUUAUGGGUCAUGGUAAAAUAUUAUUUUAGAACCACAAAUAAUCUUAGCCUUGGGUAGCUUUGGUCCCCUAGUGGUCCCAGUUUAUAUAAUCUUGGAGGGAAACAAACUUCCUCCAAACUUGGAGGGAAACAAAGAGGAUCUGCCUCUUGAUCUUGGAGGGAAACAAGAAACAAAAAGGAUCUGCUUUUAAGAGUUUUCUAAAAAGUUCUUCCCCAAAACUAUGUUUUGGGACUCUUUCAAAAAGUUUUUCCUCCAAAAAUAUAUCAACCCAUAGUAGAUCGCUGUAGAUCGCUAAUAACCUGUCUUCAAUAUUUUAAAAUAUUUUAAAACAGGUUACAUAAUCGUAAUUGGCCUAGCUUGGCGCCUUCCUGCCCUCUUCUCGUCCCCGUAUCAUUCUUUCUUCUUCUUCCUCUGGUCGAAGAAGAACUUGUUGAUCCGCACAUGCCUUCAAUCCUGAAGGCCUCCCCUGCACCUAUGCUUGAUCAUGCUAGCGCACGCGCCUCCAAUCCUUCCCCGCACCUGUGCUUGACCUCUUUCUUCUUCUUCCUCUAGCUGAAGAAGAACUCGUUGAUCCGCACGUGCCUUCAAUCCUCCCCCACACCUAUGCUUGACCAUGCCAGCCCACGUGCCUCCAAUCCUUCCCCGCACCUGUGCUUGACCAUGUUGGUCUGCAGCUCUGCUUCGUGCUUUGCCUGCACUUGAUUGGAGGAGCUUCAAUGGUUGGAUUGCCCGUACUUGAUUGGAGGAGCUUCAAUGGUUGGAUGGAAAUUCAUCAAAAUUCCCGUGAAAAGAGGUGAAAAGAGAUGAGUAGAAGCUCGUCAGGGUUCACAGCUAGAGCUCGCGCAGCUCAUAAAAAAGAAGCUCGUGCCGUAGUUGGAGGAGCUCGCCCGUGCCCGUGGCGGAGCACGUGAGCCCCUGGCCGCCCGCUCACCAUCCCCGCUGGCCCUUCUCGCCCCCGCCGCCCUUGGCCACCUGUGAAGCUCGCCACAUCUAGCCAUGGCUGCGCUGCUCGUGGAGCUCGCCCUAGGUUCAUAGCCAGAGCUCGCGUAGCUCAUAAAAAAGAAGUUUGUGCCGUAGUUGGAGGAGCUCGCCCGUGCCCGUGGUGGAGCACGUGAGCCCCUGGCCGCCCGCUCACCAUCCCCGCCGGCCCUUCUCGCCCCCGCCACCCUUGGCCACCUGUGGAGCUCGCCACAUCUGGCCAUGGCUGCGCUGCUCGUGGAGCUCGCCCUAUCCUGCCUUCAACUCGCGCCGCGCUGGCCUCUCCUUGUGUCGUAUGAGGGAUGGAGCCAAUCGGCUCGUAACGGGGGACCGAGGGGAUGCCCCGUUCGCUCAUUCCGGUGGUACAGAGUCAUUCUCGCGGGAAGGGGGCGAUUGGGGGAGGAAAGACGUCGCGCAAAUAUGCGCGGUGUCAGGUUCUAUUUUGGCGUCGCAAAUAAAUUGGGAAAAUUUUAGGGAGCCGUUGGAGUCUUUUUUUUUCCUCCCUGAAUAAGGUAUUAGAGGUAGGAUACAGAUUCCUUUGGAAUUGCUCUUAUAAAGUCAUGUACUAGUUGCUUGAAAAACGCAUGACGGUGACUGCGCGCCUUGCUUCGCCAUUGCCGUGAUGUGAUUUGCUCUUAAUUGUUAGACCGGCGAGGUUAAUUGGCUGUUUGCUCCAUUUACUAACCACUUCUGUGACCACGGGAUGUAUGUUUAUGCACCAUUUUUGCAGUUAUUACUUGAAUAUGACAUGGAACAGAGGAAAUAAAAUGUACUUAGCUUGGAGUAUGGUUAUAAUUUCAGUAUCUCUUGGUAGCGGUACUCUCCAAUUAGUUUACGGGGGAAUGAGCUUGUGUGAACGGUAGGGAGUAUUUUUCUAGUGAAGGAAGCAUUUUCUGGUGCCUCGGCCACCAUCGCCACCCAUUGAGGGCAGGAGCAUCGAACAUGCCAAACCGAUCAAGACUGUACUCUGCAUUUCAAUCUCGCUUUGGCCAAUUUACAAAUGGAAAUGUACCGUACCUGCGUACCAGACCAGCGGCAGCACGUAAUGCACGGACGACACUCGGUGCUGCUUCACGAUUCAACGGUGAAAUUUUGGUGAGGAAGAGGGAUGUAGGAGUAGCCGUUGUUUCGAGAGGGGUAAAAAGAAAGAAAAGAAAGAGAAUAUAGCCGUUGACCGCUUAAAUAAAACUUUCCUUGUAGAAAACGAUUAGUGCGGCAACAUAUGAAAAUGUCACCUCCUAUAUAUUGCUCACGCCCAAUCGAUCUCUCCCGCACGCCGAAUCCAGCCUCUCCCUCUUGCUUACGCCCAACUUCUCGCCGCACUUCGAUCGAUCGAGGAAUACGCAGACGUGGAAGUGCAUCGGCGGCCGCGGCCUGCAGGCGAAGGCGAUGCCCAUCUUGCUCGCCGUUCUUUUCUGGUGCCUGGCGUUGCCUUGUAAGUUCACAUGCAUGUGAUCUUUGUGUCUUUCGGUCAAAAAUUUCGUUGAAUUUUUGCUGAAAAUACGUUGUUUUCUGAGAUGGACAGAUGUUUCAAAAGGUUAUCCCGAGCUAUUCAUCGAGGCCGGAGAUGCGACAAGCUACCCACCAUCUAGUGUUACCAACACGACUUCAGAUGCCAUCGCGGUCAAUGACACGCCAUCAGUAGACGAGAGCAAGAUCUUGCUGAAAUUCUGCUUCGAGUUCAGUUGCAAUACGGACGCCUGCUACUGCUGCGAGGACCAGCCAAAGAUUCAUCAUUGUUUCCGCACGAGGGACCAAUGCCUGAGAGCUUGCCCACCGUGCAGCCCGGUGUGCCCACCGGAGGCAUUGCCUCGUAUGGCGAUUGAACGUGCAGUGAUGAAUGUUACCUUAUAAAAUUGGUGCUCUAGGAUUCGUGCUGAAUUGCUUGUUUGAUCGCUGUGUUCGGGCCUGGCUCACGAGCAUCUUCCCUCGCAGGAAUUUUCCUGUCCCUUUUUGGAUUCCUUAUGGGUUCUGAAUUUCUGCAUGUUGGUGGUUUUCCAAAACGAAGUGUCUUAUUGAAGUACUUUGGUUUUUAGUGGAAGUAGAUGAAAUUAGUGGUCCAUGAACUGAGCAUAGAAUUAGGUUAUUGUAGUGGAACUUACCCGUAUGGAUUCAACUCUCCGACUCAUCACAAAUAUAAUGCUUGCAUGUAUAACUAAUUAUUCUUUCAAUGGUAGAUAACAUGCGUGUCAGCGAUCUCGUAUGUGGUGAUUUCGUUAAUCUCAGAAUCUGAACAAGAGUCAAUUCUUUAGAGAAUUUUAACAUACGGUUCUGUGUUUAAAAGGCUAUGCUAUGCAUUGGUCCUAUAAAAAAAAUGGAACAUGAAUUUGGCAUGCUACAUUUAAAUAUAGGACAAUAUACACAAGUAGUAUAUCAUCACAUGUCUGAUUUUCUUAUCAACCAAGUCAUGUGACAUGAUUCCAUCCCUUUUUCUUUUGUAGUGAAAGUGCCCAAGAACAUUGCCACACAUUCUUCUCCAUGGAGAACCUACAAUAAUCCGCUAAAAUGCUCACAUAUGAGUAAAUCGUAAGGAACGUGAUUUGAAUCAUUGCGUAUGGAUUCGUACCGUACAUCUACACACUACACUAAGAGGUAGUUCCUAGUGUUGAAAAUCAUUUAAAUCUUUCUUUUAAAUAUGCUUCUAGACAAAAGAUAUUUAUUUAUAACAUAGGGCAUAGUUGUAUAAGCUAUAAGUAUAUGACCUUGUCUAUAAGAGUAUAGUUUCUUCAGUGCAUGAAACCAAUUACAUCACACACAUCGCUAGAAUCGGUAUUUCAUAUCUGAAGUGGGCUAACCUUAUCAUAUAAGAGCAUAGUUGUUUCAAUGCAAGAAACCAAGUAAAACACAUUGCUAGAAUCAAUGUUCCAUAUUUGAAGUGGCACUUCUUUGCUUCUAUCGUGAUACACUAAUCAUCUUCUUCUCAAGGUCCCUUCUUCACAAAGAAAUAUUAAAAAAAUAGUACCUAAUGAUUUAGUUUCCACCAUUUUUUAAAAAAGGCAGAGAAGUACGGUUAAAUGCCAUAAGGCUUCCCCCUCAUAUUAAAGAUAAUAGGUCAUGCUCUUGACCGGCUCGUUGUUGGGAUCCUUAGCCAUCUAAAAAUCUUAGUUUCGUGAUGGAAUGAUAAAGUAUACAAUAAGUGUCAUCCUUAUGUAAAUAUUCUUUUACUAUCAAGUAUUAUAAUGACAUAUAUUUAUCAAUAUAGUAUAAAUGCUAGAAUGUUUGUGCACCCAUACGUAAAAUCAUGCGUCUUGUAUCGAAGGUAUAACCACCUAUGAUACUGAUAUUAGGCAACGUGGAACGCUACGCUAGCGCAAAUGAAAAAUUAACCAUGCUUGCACAAGAUCAUUUGCGAGUCGAGGAUCAUGGAUCUUAUACCUUCCUGUCACGCAGCGCAACAGAAGACUUGAAGAAGCGCGAGUAGUCGAUGUAUAGUCGAUGUCAAGGAGGUAGUCGUACAGCUUGACAUAGUGCGCAAACGAGCAGUACCUCUACGAAAGUCCACAUGUUCAGAGAGAAGAACGGCACGACAGAAUGUGCUACACUCAACAAUACGCUACAUCGUAGAAACUCGCAGCAGUCACACAGGGCAACCACGCACAACAACCUGGUAGCUAGCACGUCCAGGCGUGGUGGCGGGUGGCGGCCAAAACCUCACGGUGGCUAAAUUCUAAUUAGAGUUAAUUAGCUCUCUGGCCGCUGAUUAGGAUUUAUAACCCAUCUAAUGGGCCAUCCUCAUGGGCUAGCUAGCGGGUCGAACCUGAUGCUCACGGGCAAGUUCAACAGUCUCCCGCUUCCACUUAGCCAAUCAUCUCCCGCUUGCACUUAGCCAAUCAGGGCGGCUAUUUGCUGCAGUGUCCUGGACUCAAUCCAAUUGAUCCUUUUUUAGUUCUCUCUCCUUAAGUGUGUGACUCCAUAGGUUCAUGCAACCAACAGUCAUGAACUAGAAACUGUUUCUAGUCAAUAGUCAGCAUUGGCCUCUAGCAAAGCGUACUAACUCCCGAUGGUCCACAAAGAUCAUAUCUUGCAUAACUUUGAUAUGCGCCAAUAGUAUGUCCUUCCACCACACGAAACCUAGCUAAGUACAAGGCAAGUGAAGUGCUACUCUUAUCAACUUAGCCAUAUCUGCUCCAUGUAGAACUUAUUUUACCGAGUAACCUUUAGUCAUGGUAUGACCAUGCACUUUCAGUUCCUACACAUCGAGAGGGUCAAGAGGUAUCUCUCCCUAAUGCAGGAGGGGCAGAUUCCAUCUUGACUCGACGGACCCUGUGAUUUGUUUCAGAACAGACGCGAAAGCUACCUUUAUAACAACCCAGUUAUGGGGUAGCGUUUGGCACCCCAAAAUAUGCUCUUCCGCAAUCCGGGACUCUACGCCGAUCUCAGGUCUAAGGAUUUUAGUAUAUGUGUCAUUACAAGACUCACCGAUAGCACAAAUGUAUUCGCAGUGUCUCGCAGUGGGUCUAUCCAACAAUAUGUUCAUAACACAUGUUCACAUCAUCAGUACGAUAUCCUAUAUCGCUAACAUCAUCAGUACGAUAUCCUAUAUCGCUAUGAUCUGUGAAACCUGAUCAUCUCUUGACAUACGUGACCCAUGGGCAACGGGAGGUACAAGCUCAGGGCUGUCACGAUUCACGUCGCAGAAGACAACACCUCUUGCAAAGGUCGACCCAGCAAAGGUAGCCGCCGUAAGGGACGACGACCUUAUGACUUUGUGAGCUUCCCACCAGCCGCGGAUGUCACGGAACGUGGCCUUGCCGUCACGGACGCUCGCGUGCUUCACUUCCCACUCCACCAGCGGAGCCUGAAGAGCUAGCGCUCCCCUUCGAGAGAGGCGCGUCCACGUCGCCGCUGUCGAGCUUGCUCAGAUUAAGACGGAGCUCCGCCACAACGAAUCCUCCUGAAUCGUCCUCACCGGUGAGCAAGAGGCCGAUGCCGCUUUUGUUCAUCAUGGACGUUUUUGGUUGCCUGGAGGAGUCUAGCUCGCACCAGCCAGCCUGACUCCCUAGAACCAGACCCAUUGCAUGUAAGAGAAUGGUGUUUGGUUGCCUGCUCGCACGGGCCAGGCUCUCCCGAGAAGCUCUUUAGUUGCUCGGACGAGGACGGGUUGUAUGAGAUGAAAAUAUAUAAAUAAUCACGUAAUGGCAUUUAUUAUGGAGAAACUAUUAUCUUAAAGCUUUUAGUUUAUCUUAUUACUUCUUAAUAUUAAUCGAAAUAUGUUAAUAUCAUUUAAUAUGUGCUAAUAAUGUAUUAAUAACAUCAUUAGAUGGCUAAUUACCUGCACCACGCGAGCCUGGUCCAGCAGAAACGGCCGAUUUCCUCGCACCGGUAGAGCCUGGCUGCGGAGGGAAUCUCGCACGCGCGGAGCUUGACCGAGCAGAUACGCGAACCAAACAAACAACAAAUCUUGCACCAGCAGAACUAGCUGAAGGCUGAUGCAGGCAACCAAACGCCCCAUGCGUCGCUGGCGACUUCUCCUCCAGGAGCCCUCCGCCGCGGCCGCGAUCUCCUUCUGGAUCGAGUAGUGGCGCGGGAGCAGCGAGAGCCCGGUAGAGGAAGAAGUCGAUCGCGUAGCACGUCAGGCCCUCGAAGUUGCCCUCCAGGCGGAAGAUUGCGGCGUCCCCGUGGGCCGCCACGACGGUGUCGAAGCAGGAGAGCUCGCGCCCCUCCGGGCGGUGGUGCACGCAGAGGCGGGACGUGCCAGGCAGCGAGGAGAGGAGGAGGAGACGCGACGGGGUCACCGUUGCUGGCGCGGGCCAUCGCGGACGCGGAGGUUAUCCUGUUCCUGUCGUCGCGGUGGACGGAGACGUGGUACGGUCCCUGCGGAAGAUCUGAUGGUCCAUGACCACCCAGCGAGGAAUGGACGGCCCUCGGUCCGAUCGGACUUCCAUGGGAGCUGCGGCCAGCCCCCGAAAUCCCGGAUGCACGGAACGGCACGGCCACCCGGCGCGGAGGAGUGAUUUGUGGGCUUUGCCAAGAUAGAAUGAUAGAUGGCCCAAUUUUGUGCGAACAACAAGCGAAGGUCAGUAGUCUACUUCCAACAAUUUGCUAGUAGAAACAGAGAGUACUGCCAUUCUGAAAGAGUCUGGCACUCCUGUCAUUUUGCUGUAUAGAUAAUAUACAAAACAAAAACUGAGCAUUGGAUGCACUGCAAUUAGAGCUGCUUUGGCAAAUAAUGGUUGCAAAAGGUGCUGGUCCCUGCUGGAUACCACCAACCAUUUUAGGCAUGUGGUCGAGCUUCUUGUGCGUGCUGUCCGGGCCUGCAUGGCUGCAUGUGGUUGGUUAGCAAUUUCAUACUCUGGAGUUACCCAUCAGCGCAGUUUUAGAAUCCUGGUCAUAGGGGCCUCAACACGCUUGAAAUGCCAUCAAGUUACCCUUUUUCCUGUAGUGCUUGCACCGUCCGGCUCCGCCCAUCCCUUGGGCCACUUUCGCGUGCUGUAACUGCACCGAGAAGCCGCUGACGAGUGGGAGUUUCCGAAGGAAGGGGCUGCAUGGAGGCUGCGUGACCCCACGGAUGAUGAUGUUGGGAGGCUGAAACCUGAAAACACAGAAAGCACACCACCGGUCUGCUUUCCGUUUAUCCCUUUCUUUCACGCAAAAACAUUGUUACCACUUGUACCAUCAAAUCCACCACAAAGGGCGACUGCUAGGUACACAAGCUGAAUUGAUGAUCGUCGGUUCUUCGGAAAAGGAAACUUUUGGAUUACACAUCAAGUUUGAAAAUACUUGUAUGUUUGGUUCAGAAAAGACAUUAUCUUUCAUAAUACUUAUGCUUUCUAACUUCAAACAAAACCAUACACACCAAAUGAUUCAUAAAUAAUGCGCGCCACAGAUCCAGCGGCCAGCAAUCGCGCUCGCCGCCCCUAGCUAAUACUACCUCCGAUUCAUUAUAUUUAACGUUUCAGACGGUGAUUUGCCUGCAAGUAGCCAACGGGAACGUCAAAGAAUCGGAUGUAGUAUUCUACUAGGAGCAUAUAUACCCUAGGCAAUGCAUCUAUCGAGUACUAUUUCUUGAUUGAAAACUGGAAUGGUCUCCCCUCACACUAAAAAAACUUUGGCGUCGCCAUUAGCGCAGAAUACCAUCCGGUGUCAGGCUUAAGCUCACCGGUCGGUGGCUAAGCGCCUCGGGUUAAGCAUCGCAAAGCGCCGCAAGUAACCCAGACGGGCAGACCCAGCCCUGUCUUCCAAUCCAAGUGACCUGACCCGACCCGACCUGACCCCAUCAUAACACACGCUCGCUCGCUCAUGCGCCCGGCCCCGUCGAAUCAAAACCACCACCGUGUGCUCGUUUUACCCCUCACGGAAAAUUUCCCGUCUCCCCGUCUCGUCUCGCUUCGCCCCCAACCUCCCCUGCGCAGCCCCCAGAUCCGGCACCGCCCGCUCCUCGAUCCCCGCGCCCCACGCCCGUAGGUGAGCCCACCGAUCCGCCCUCGCCCCGCCCCGCCGUCCGUCGCCGGCCGCCAUUCCCUCGGGUCGCUCACCGGCGCGGCGUUCCUCGUUUGCCCUCUGCGUGCAGGUCGGGGGUUGCGUUGCGCCCCGGGCAGGAGGAGGAGCGCCAUGGCGGCGCCGCCGGCGAGGGCCCGGGCCGACUACGACUACCUUAUUAAGCUGCUCCUCAUUGGGGAUAGCGGUGGGUGCCACUAGAUCUCUCCCUCUAUAUAUCUCAGUAGAUGGAUGAAUUUGUGCGUACGCGCGCUCGCGUUCGUGGGAUCGGGGGUUGGGUUUGGCUUACACGCCAUGUGGAUCUCGCUCCUGCUGCCCGUGGCCGUUUUCGUGCGAUUGAUCCGUGUUCAGUUUGUAGUGGAGAGCGGAAGAGAUGUUGCUUGCUGGUUCCUGCUUUCUGCCUAACUCACCGUUCCUUCAUCUAGUAGCCGCUUUGCUGCAUUAGUCUCAGAUGCGAAAUUGAGGGGCAGUGAUGGGAAGGAUGGAUUGUGCCUUUCUGUGACUUUUUUUCUUUCUUGUAUGAACUUCAUUUGUGAUAUUGAUGUGAGUUUUUCCUUCAUUGACGAACAUUCACCUGUGCAAAUUGUUUGGUUCAUGGAAGAUGCACACUGGAAAUAGUCCAAUUUGUGGAAAUGUGCUCCUAAAGUCUCUUGCACUGCAGAUUAAGUUGGUAGACUUGUUCAAUGGUUGACGUUUUGAGUUGAUACUUCCUGGUUAAGCAAUUGUUUCUUUUACCCAUUCUUGCAUUGAGCGGACAGACUAGAAAAUCUUACUUCAGAAUAUGUUCAAUAUAGGUGAUUUAUAUAAUAAAAUAUCAUUUGUAUGUGAUGCUGUGUGCUGCUCUGUGUUCUUUGAUAAUUUACUUGUUAGCGCAUACUAUUUAACCAUUAUGUCUAUGGAAUUUGCUGUCAGUGAAUACAGAGAGUUUCAUGCUUUUGAGGGUGGAUAACGUGUGAAAAUGGCAGCCGCUGGAUGUUAGUUGGAGCAGUGAAACUAAUUUAUCGGCACUAGAAAAAAAUUACAAAACCUAUUGCAGGACUUAAACCACAAAAUAUGCCUCAACAAAACUAGGUGCAUUGUUGUGUUCUCUAUCUGAGCCAUUUUAUCCAUAUUUCACUCUUUACCUGAUUCAGCAUUACUGAUGAUCAACUAAGUGGUUCUUGCUACACAAGGAUGAUGGCUAUCCAUCCUGUAGUCUGUGUUCUAUGCAUUGGUUUAGAGCAUUUCUAGUAUUUGCUUGAGGUCCAUUGGUUCCUGGGAUAACCUUGGAAUUACUCCGAUUGCUGAGUCUUGCUCUAGUAGCUAUGUUGUUAUAACAUGUAUAGAUCUGGACAGUUAUCAUACGAAGGUAUGUUUUUGACUGAAAAGUUACUGUGCAGCUAGUGUCAUGUCCUUUGGUUAAGUUUUCUGUUAUCUCAAUUGCCUGACAAACACUUUUCUUACUUGUUUCUAGGUGUCGGCAAGAGUUGCCUCCUAUUGCGGUUCUCCGAUGGUUCCUUCACUACAAGCUUUAUUACCACAAUUGGGUAAGUCUCUAUGGUGACAUGAUUUUUUUUUCUUCGAAAAGCUUACGGACCUGAAGAUUGUUCAAGUGUUCAUCAUCUCUUCCCGCAAAGAUGGGAUUGUGGCAUUUGUUAUGUACUUAAAUCUGAUUUCAAUGCUUGUUUUAUGUAGUAUUGAUUUUAAGAUAAGAACAAUAGAGUUGGAUGGCAAGCGCAUCAAGCUACAGAUUUGGGACACAGCAGGCCAAGAACGCUUCCGGACCAUUACCACUGGUAUAGUGUUUUAUUUCAUUUCUGAUCAUCUACUUCGUUGAAGUUAUAUGAUAACAUUUUGAUCCAGCAAACAUUAUUUUAUCUCAGCAUACUACCGAGGAGCUAUGGGCAUCCUGCUGGUUUAUGACGUCACUGAUGAGUCUUCUUUUAACAGUACGCUCUUACCCAACACACUCUAUUCCCUAAUGCUUCCAUUUUGAACAAAUUUACCCAUUUGUUGAUAAUUGUCUCACCUAACAUACAGACAUCCGAAACUGGAUUCGGAACAUUGAGCAACACGCCUCUGAUAAUGUCAACAAAAUAUUGGUUGGCAAUAAGGCAGAUAUGGAUGAGAGCAAAAGGGUAGAGAUCCCUGAAGUCAUCUUUUCCUUUUGAUUGUUCUAGUAUUCUAUAAAAUUUCACUGAUUUCAGCCUGUAUCAUUUGUUUGAAAUCACUGAUUACAUGCUUAACUUUACUGUAACUGUUACAUCAGGCUGUACCUACUGCAAAAGGACAAGCGCUUGCUGAUGAGUACGGGAUCAAGUUCUUUGAAACUGUAAGUUUCUGCCUGAAUCGAACCUUUUCAGUGACUGUUGUUUUGGUCUCACAGAGUAUUGUGUUUUGCAGAGUGCCAAGACAAACCUUAACGUGGAGCAAGUGUUUUUCUCCAUUGCACGUGACAUCAAGCAGAGGCUUGCCGAGACAGAUUCCAAGCCUGAGGUACAGAUAAUUGCAUCUGGUUAUGUUUGAAAUUUCAUCUCAACCAAUGAUCUGAGCAAUCUAUCCUUGCACUGUAGGACAAGGCAAUCAAGAUUAACAAGCCGGAUGCCACCGAGACACCAGUUGGCCAGAAAUCUGCUUGCUGCGGCUCAUAAGCGAAGCACAAUGUCUGUGGUCGUUGGUUAUUUGACUUUAUUUAUUUCCCGCUUGGCUGUUAUAGGAAGAAUUUGAAGAAGCCACUUUGAUAUACUGAUGUGGUUGUACUUGUGUUUGCUUCCCCUCUUUGAAGCAACCACCUCUUGCUGUUGACGUAGCUAUUGCUAUUGCCGGGAGCUAUUGCACUCUGGAUUUCGGUCCAUUGAAAAACCUCCCCCCUCCCUACAGUGUGUAAUGAAUGAAAUCCAUGUCGUUGGGUUUGCAUUUUAUCGAUCAAUGCAUGGAAUAAGGUGUUGCUCUGCGUGCAUUGUUGCGUUGUAUUUUUCCUUGCAAUUUAUUUUCUUGGGAAAGCACCUUUGAUGUACUUUUGUUGCUGUCAGGUGUAUUCCCUCUUUAAAAGCACGGGGUUUGACCUAUCGUGGUCACAUACUUUGUCCUUAGAUGUCUUAAGUUGUUCAUAUGGCUAUAUGAAAUUGACAUCAUAUCAAGUGUUCUUUAAAAACUGAUCUCAUGGAAUGUUGUCGAAUAGAAUCUAGUUACCAAAUUUAUAUAGUAUAGUUAACAAAUUUCUUAGAUUAAGCGUUGGUCAAAGGUUCUUGGAUUGUGUACCAGCCUUAGGCUAGUUUCAGUGCAGUUACCAAUGCAGUUACCAAGUGCAUUACCAAGAUUUUACACUGCUUGAUGAGUGUAACCCCACAUUUGAUGAAACUCUCCCUAUCAUAAUAAUCAUGACAAGUAAAUAAAAUUACUGGUGUGGUAUAUAUUUUAAUGUUCACGAAACUCCUAUAAAAACCGUCCAUUGAGACCGGCUACAAAACACCUCUCUCCUCAUAAUGAUCAUGACAAGUAAGCAAAAAUUGGUGAUGUGGUAUAGAUUUUAAUAUUCAUGAAACUAUUAUGAAACGGUCCAUUGAGACUGACCUUACGAGAGACAAAAGAGGAAUGAGGAAUUUAUACCAGUGAUAUUCGUGUUCGAUGAUGAUACUUAUUGCGUGGAGUAUAUAUUUGGAAAUGAAACCAAAUACACUUUGAAUUUGAACUAUACGAAAAAAUUGAAACGAACACAACUUAUACAUCUGAUGAAGGCAACAUCUCAAAGAGAGCAAUCCAAUAUCAACUUUUUCUGCACGCCCUGCAUUGUGUCGCCGAGCCUAGCGUUCUUCCGGCACUUGGCGCAGUUCUCGGAUGUUGCCAGCUUCAAGUCCAAGCAAAUGCCACUGGCACAACCGUUGCUGAUGUCUUCAUCACCCUCCACCGACGCCCCGUCCCCGGAACGGAGGGUUCCGGCGGCCACCGCCGUGGUCCUGUGUCUGUGUGUCACGAACAAGAAUGUGACGCCGAAUGCUCUAAAGGAGGAAGGGGAAGGAAACGGGAUCAAGGCUGCGGUAACAACUCAAGGAGCUGGGCGUCCUCGACGGGAUUCGAAGCCCAACAAGUACUUGGCUGGGCCGUAGUGGCUAAAGUAGUUUAGGCCCAUGAACGGGAGUCGUUGUGACCAUUCUGGCACGGGGUGUAAUGGUUAAAGGAGGAGGCGUGCACUAGGGGAGAACUGAUUAGGAUCACGUCGGUUGUGGCGGCGGCGGCGAGCUUAGGCUCGAGACUCCGACGAGAUCCUUAUCCUUGUAUCGUGAAUCCUGAACAAAUUCCACUAUAGUGUGUGUUCGUGUCCACCGGUAUAAGUUGUGUCUCACAUUUGGUAUUCAGAGUUGAUCGAUUCUGGAUCCAACGCACUCUCAUCUCACUCGCUUCCAAGUUCAUGUCGGAGCCAUGGUGGUACCGACGGAUUCCAUGGCAACGGUGUCGGCGAAGCUGGAGGAGUUGGGAAAAAAAGGUGGAUGAGACCAAUCGCAAGAUCGAGGAGAUGCAGCAGUCCAUUGAUCUUCUUACUCAAGAGCAAGGUGCAGUGAAGGAAUGGAAACCUAAGUUGGAGAACAAGGUCACGGAGUUGCAGAAUUCUAUGUACGAUCUCAAGCAGAAGGUAGAUCUGUUCGUCCACGAGCUCCCAAGAAGAAGCCAGAUGAAGGGAUCAAGGUUGAGGCGCCUUCCCCCACCCAUCUAGGGGUGAUUGGAGAUGCAGAGGCGUCUGGGCAAUACUACCACCGCGUCGAAACUCAGCACCGGAGUGUUGGUGCUGGGGUUGUCACAACCCUGGUGCCACCUCCGGUCAAAGGUGCAAAUCGAGACCUCAAUGUUACACAUGUUCCUUUUCAUGGGUUUGAUUCUGUUGGAUGUGUUAGUUAUCUUCCUGCUCCUAGCUUUAGUCAUGGCAUACCCCAGCUUGAAUUUCCUCGGUUUGGUGGAACUAAUCCCAAGAUCUGGAUUAGGAGGUGUGAGAAUUUUUUUGAUGUCUAUGAAACUCCUAAAUCUCAUUGGGUUAAGUUAGCUACCAUGAAUUUGGGGGCUCUGCUGAUUUUUGGAUGCAAUCCAUAGAAAUAGAUCUUAAGAAGUGUACUUGGGAGAAUCUCUGCCAAGUUGUGUUAGGAAGGUUUGAGAGGGAUCAGCACAACCAUGUUAUUAGGCAAUUAUUUCAUAUCAAACAGUCAGGGUCAGUAGCAGAAUACAUAGAGCUUUUUGAUAAGCUUGUUCACCAACUGCUGGCUCAUGACCCUUAUUUCAAUCCCUCUGUUGUUACUAGUAAAUUUGUAGAUGGUUUAAAGAUUGAAAUUAAGGCAAUAGUACUUGUUCAUAGGCCAAAAGAUUUGGAUAUUGCUAGCUCUUUGGCAAUUUUGCAGGAGGAAGUGCUAGAGGGAGGUCCUAGCAAAUAAAGAAGGAGAAUAGAAGUACCCAAUUCUAUCAAGUCAGUGCAGAGGACUGGCAGUGUGUCUUCUGUAGCAAGGCAAAAUGAACAAUUUCCAACUGAAGAUAGGAGAUCUCCUAACCAUUAGGUGAUAGAGUGUCAGCUCUGAUGGCUUAUAGGAAGGCCAAGGGACUCUACUACAAGUGUGGAGCAAAAUAGGAUCCUCAGCAUACUUGUCCUGAGAAUGUUCCCCUCCAUAUUGUAGAAGAGUUUUGGCAAAUGAUUGCAAAGAAGGAGGAACCUGUACAUCAAUCCUUGGGUGAAUCUGAUUCUGAUUCAUGAGAAGAUUUAAUGGCAAUUUUUGCACAAGCUGUAAAUGAAACUUAUUCUGGGAAGACAAUGAAGCUCCAAUGCUUUAUUCAACAAUAUAAGACUGUUGUAUUGGUGGACUCUAGCAACUCUCAUAAUUUCAUUAGUGAGCAGUUUGCUGCACUUUUACCAAACUGGAGACCACUGAAGAAACCUAUUGAUGUCAACAUGGCAGAUGGAGGUAUUCUGCAAUGUACACAUAAAGUGGUGAAUUGCAAUUGGCUUGUUCAAGGGAUUCAAUUCUUGACAACUUUUAAGAUACUUCCCUUGAAAUGCUAUGAUGCUAUAUUGGGGAUGGAUUGGCUGGAAACUUUUAGUCCUAUGAAGGUACAUUAGGCUCAAAAAUGGCUGUCUUUCCACUACAAGGAGAAGAAAGUCAGGAUACAGGGAACACAAGAUAACACACCUUGUCUUUAUAUCACUGGAGAUCAGUUAUUUGCUAUACAAAAGCAAGAUGAUAUUUGGUGUGUUCUGCAAGUAAUUCUGUUGAACAACAUCCUAGCAAUGAAGGCAAGAGUUAGUGGACAACUAUGUAGAACUCUUUGCUGAACCAAAAGGACUGCCUCCAAAUAGAAAUAUUACUCAUUCAAUUCCCUUGCUGCCUGGAGCCCAACCUUUCAAAUUGAGGCCAUAUAGAUAUACCCCAGCUCAGAAAGAUGAAAUAGAGCAACAAGUGGCCAAGCUUUUACAAGAUCACAUGAUUCAGGCCAGUAUAAGUCCUUUUGCCUCCCUGUAUUGCUAGUCAAAAAGAAAAUAGGAGAAUGGAGGUUGUGUGUAGAUUUCAGAAGGUUGAAUGCCUACACUAUCAAGAACAAAUUUCCACUACCAAUCAUUGAAGAGUUGUUUGAGGAGUUGUAUGGAGCAAAAUGGUUUACAACCUUGGACCUUAGGUCUGAUUUUCAUCAGAUAUUGGUUAAUGAAGAAGAUCAGUACAAAACUAUUUUUCAAACACAUUUCGGCCAUUUUGAGUAUAAGCUUAUGCCAUAUGGGUUAACAGGAGCACCAUCUACAUUCCAAGCUAUUAUGAACCACAUAUUGGCACCUCUGCUCAGGAAGUGUGUGGUAGUCUUCAUUGAUGAUAUACUUAUAUACAGUAAGAGCUAUGAAGAGCACGUGCAACAUGUAAGAUGGUCUUUGACUUGUUGAAAGAACAUCAAUUUAAAGUCAGGUUGUCUAAAUGUAGUUUUGCCCAACAACAGCUCAAAUAUCUGGACCACAUUAUAAGUGCUGAAGGUGUGGAAACAAAUCCUGGAAAAGUCAGUGAUGUCCAGAAUUGGCCCGUUCCAACUUCAGUGAAGGAAUUGAGGGGGUUCCUUGGCUUGGCUGCGUAUUAUAGAAGAUUUGUCAAAAAUUUUGGCAUGUUAGCUAAACCUCUAACAGAACUGUUGAAGAAAGAGAAAAUAUUUGUGUGGAUAUCUAUAGCUGAACAGGACUUUCAAACUUUGAAAUCUGCACUCACUUCAUCUCCAGUCUUAGCUCUUCCUGAUUUUAACAAGACUUUUGUGGUGGAAACUGAUGCAUCAGACAAAGGAAUUGGAGCAGUAUUGCAGCAAAGAGGGCAUCCAAUAGCUUAUGUUAGCAUAGCACUGGGUCCCAAAAGCCAAGGCCUUUCUACUUAUGAAAAAGAGAGUUUGGCAAUCUUGGUGGCUAUAGAUCACCGAAGGAGCUAUUUACAACCUGCUAAAUUCAUCAUUCAGACUGAUCAGAAAAGCUUAAUUCACCUGGAUGACCACUGCUGAAUUCAUCAUUCAGACUAAUCAGAAAAGCUUAAUUCACCUGGAUGACCAGAGGCUAAAUUCCUAAUGGCAGCAGAAGGCUUUAAACAAGUUGCUCGGUCUACAAUACAAGAUCUCCUACAAGAAGGGCUCCACAAACAAUGCUGCUGAUGCACUGUCCAGAGUUACACAUGAUGAAACUUCAAAAGUCUUGGCUUUAUCAAAGGCACAACCAGUUUGGUUGGAUGACUUGCAGUCUAGUUAUGCUGAUAAUGAACAAGCUCAAAAGCUAUUAACACAACUUUUACUCAAUCCUGAUCAAGGCAAGUACAAACUAUCACAAGGCAUUAUCAAGUACAAGAACAGGAUAUGGUUGGGUCAUAGCCUAGAAAUACAACAAGUUAUGAAGGUUCUGCAUUCAAGUCCAAUGGGUGGUCAUUCAGAAAUCUUGGUCACAUAUAUAAGGAUCAAAAGAUUCUUCUAUUGGCCUCAAAUGAAGGACCACAUACAUGAGUGGGUUGAGUCUUAUUCUGUUUGUCAACGAGCAAAAGUCGAAAGGGUGCCUUAUCCAGGUCUUCUUCAACCUUUGGAAGUACCUGAUCAUGCUUGGCAAGUAGUGACUCUAGACUUCAUUGAAGGCUUGCCAACUUCAUCUAAUUACAACUGCAUACUGGUAGUAGUUGACAAGUUCUCAAAAUACUCUCACUUCAUAAGUUAGUCCACCCUUUUACUACUCUCAAAGUGGCUAAAGCAUAUACGGAUGAUGUCUAUAAACUACAUGGCAUGCCACAAGCCAUGGUGUCUAACAGAGAUAAAAUAUUUACUAGUCAACUUUGGCAAGAAUUAUUUAAGUUGUCUAAAACUGAACUCAGAAUGAGUUCUGCAUAUCAUCCUCAAAGUGAUGGGCAAACUGAGAGGGUAAAUCAAAGUGUGGAAGCUUAUCUCCAUUAUUUUGUACAUUCUUGUCCUUCCAAAUGGUCACAGUGGUUAUCAUUGGCUGAAUUCUGGUACAACAUCAAUUUCCACUCAGCUUUGAACAAAUCACCAUUUGAAGUGUUGUAUGGGCAUGCUCCUAGAUACUUUGGAAUAGAAGGAAUAGAAGGAGUGGAACAUUGUGCUAUACCAGACUUGGAGGGCUGGCUAAAGGAAAUACAAACAAUGACAGAACUAUUACAGCAACAGUUGUUGAGAGCACAACAGCGGAUGAAACGUCAAGCGGACAAGCACAGAACUGAAAGAUCCUUUGCUGUUGGAGAGAAGGUUUGGCUUAAGUUACAACCUUAUGUUCAGACUUCUGUUGGCUCACGAGCUAGUCAUAAGCUCUCGUUCAAAUAUUUUGGUCCUUAUCUGAUUGAGAACAAGAUUGGAUUGGUUGCUUACAAGUUGAAGUUGCCUUCUGGAAGCAAAAUUCACCCUGUGUUCCAUGUUUCACUCCUUAAGAAGGUCAAAGGUAACAUACCCACUGGCAGCCCGUCUCUACCUCCAGAUGAUGUAUCUAUGCAGGUACCAAAAAUGAUGCUCGACUGGUGUCUCAGGAACAUUGGAAGAAGAGCUAUCUAGCAGGGUCUGGUCAAGUGGCACGAUUGGCCCGCGGAACUGGCAACUUGGGAAGAAGAAGAUCACAUCUUACCUCAGCUGGAAUCUGCAAUGGCUCGCAGACAAGCCGUUAUUCAAGAAGAGGGGGAUGUCACGAACAAGAAUGUGACACCGAAUUCUGUGAAGGAGGAAGGGGAAGAAAGCAGGAUCAAGGCUGCGGAAACAACUCAAGGAACUGGGCGUCCUCAACGAGAUCCGAAGCCCAACAAGUACUUGGCUAGGCCGUAUUGGCUAAAGUAGUUUAGGCCCAUGAACGGGAGUCGUUGUGACCAUUCUAGCACGACGUGUAAUGGUUAAAGGAGGACGCGUGCACCAGAGAAGAACUGAUUAGGAUCACGUCGGUUGUGGCGGCGGUGGCGAGCUUAUGCUCGAGACUCUGGCGAGAUUCUUAUCCUUGUAUGGUGAAUCCUGAACAAAUUCCACUAUAGUAUGUGUUCGUAUCCACCGGUAUAAGUUGUGUCUCACACUGUGCCGCCGCAUGUGGCCACCCAACGCCUGCCCGACCGCGGACUUGAGCCCGCACACUGAGCAGCCGCCUGCCGUGCACUCGCCCUCGUCGUGCUCAGGGGCGGAUCUAGGCCUCGGGUUGCCCGGGCUACAGCCCGGGGCGAGGCCCAAGAACAAUAGGAAAGUCCUUCAUAAAAAUAGCAUAAAAAGACUUUUUUGGCCCAUUAGCCCACCCCGAAGACAACUUGGCCCAGGUGGCCAGGCCAUCACCCAGUCACCCUAGCGCUAGCCGCCUCCUGUCCGCCCACCCCCGAGUCCCCGACUCAGCCGCCUCCAGGCCGCCUCCCGUCUGCCCGACCCGUUCGCAGGGAUUGAAGGCCGCCGGCCGCUUCCCAGGCGCCGCGUCGGCGGGUCCCCCGGCCCCAGCUUGCCGUUGGGCGUCGGCCGCGCGCCGCACCCCUGGCCCCCCACGGCCCCGCGCUGCCGCGCCCCCGCCGGCAGGGAGCCAGCGGCCAGCGCCCGCCGGCCGCCCGCGCGCCGCUAGGGGCGCGCCGCCCGGCCGCCACCCAGGGCCCCCGCCGGCUGCCGCCUCGCCUGCCGCGGGUGGCGCGCGGCGCGCCCACGCCCGACGGCCCCACGCCCCAGGCCACGCCUGGCAGGCUGCCGGACCUUGCUGAAGUCUCGGUAUGCUAUUUUUUUUGAAAUUGCUCGACGACUGCUAGUCUAUUUAUGCUAUUUCUAUGUAAAGUAAUGAAUAUGUCAUUUCAUUGAUUUGAGCAGGAAGUAUUUGAGUCUUAGUUUGUAAUUGCAACAUUUCGUAAUCAUAACUUAGAAUAGAGAAAUACUAUGCUAAAAAGAGUAGCGCCGAAAGUGUAGAGAGUCGGGUUGAGCAAAAAAGAUUACGGAUUGAACUUGAUAUGAGAGAUAUAGUUGCUGAAUUGUUUGAGUCUAUUGGUUGAAUUGUGCUGUUUGAAAAAUAUGUUAUAUCUAAUAGUGUAUGGCUAGUAAGAUUUUAAGCUUUAUAUUAGUUAGUUCGGGGCGGAGCUCGUUUCUGGAUCCGCCACUGGUCGUGCUCGUGCGCCUCCGGCGACGCCCGGCGCGUCCCCACCGUGUUGUAGGGCUUGGGGCGCCUGUGGCUGGCGCGGUGCUCGCCCAGCGCCUGGAACGUCGGGAACCGCCGCUCGCACGUCUUGCAUGCGAACACGUGUCGGCGCGUGGCAAGGCCUGACGUCCUCGCGCUGCUGCCGCCGCCGAGCGGUUGCCGCCGAGCGGUUGCCGCCGCCCCGCUGCUGCUGCUGCGAGAGGAGCACGAGGAUGCUGGCCGUGUCCACAGCGAUCUCCAUCGAUAUGCUGUCCUAGCUUGCUGCUCCGAGCUGCUCGAUGAUGUGCAAGUGCUACGUGCAACGCAACGGUGUCCAGGAGGCUUCCGGCUUGCACGAUCAUAUAUAGCGUGAUGACGACUAGCUUUACUUCAGCAUUAGCAGUAGGAAAUUGACCGGCGAGUGUAAAAAGUUUCUAGAUCUCGCGGUAUGCUAUUCUACGCUGGUGUUUGAAGGGAUUAAUUGGGCUCGAUAAUAAGUCCAGUCUCGGUGGAAGUUUCACAAAGAGUUCCAUGAGCAUUAAUUUUCAUGACACAUCACUAAUUUUGCUAACUUUGCAAGGUAUUUAUGAAGAGAGAUAAGGAUGAGUUUCAUCAUAUGUGAGAGGAGUUUUAUCCCCAUGAAACUUAACAGGCACAUUUACCUAAUUCACAGUCUUGAUAACUGUUUAACGAAACUGUGCACUAAGACUGGCCGAAGGAACGCACAUGUAGGCUCAGUGCACCAAUGCAAAGCUGCCUUAAUUCAAGCUCCAUCGGAAAAAGAAGGGCGUCACGGCGGCCAGGUUGUUGCGCGCGGGCGUCGUCGGCAGCCAUCUGAUCGCCGAGGUUUCGGGUCCUUGCGGCGCGGCGGGCGCGACUGAAAGUAAUAGGAUUGCGUGGAACUAGUAGAUUGAUUAGGGAUACGGGGAUACAGUACAUAUAUAUAGGCGCCUGCAUAGGGGCAGGCGCCUAACCCUAAUCACCUAGGGCCGGCGCCCAGAGAUGGGCCGGCCUGGGCCUGCUAUACAUGGCCCACUCACGCAAUAAACACAGCACACACAUGUUACAGUCUAACACCCCCCCGCAGUCUGAGCGUCGGUAGCCUGGACGUUCAGACUGGACCGGAACUCCGUGAAGACCGAAGAAGGCAGGCCCUUGGUGAAGAUGUCGGCGUACUGAGAUGUCGUCGGAACAUGCAAGACGCGGACUUCACCGGUGGCGACGCGCUCCCGGACGAAAUGGAGAUCAAUCUCCACAUGUUUGGUGCGCUGGUGCUGAAUGGGGUUGGAGGACAUGUACAUAGUGCUGAUGUUAUCACAGUAAACCAGAGCUGUGCGGCGCAAAGGGACACGGAGCUCAUGGAGAAGCUGGCGCAACCAGGUGACCUCAGCGACGGCGUUGGCGACGGCACGGUAUUCUGCCUCGGCACUGGAACGGGAUACUGCAUUCUGACGCUUGGAAGACCAGGACACCAAGUUGUCGCCCAAGAAGACCGCAUAACCUGAUGUGGAUUUGCGGGUGUCCGGACAGCCUGCCCAGUCCGCAUCAGAGUACACCACAAACUCGGUCUGCACGGACGGGCGCAGCAGGAGGCCCAAGUGAAGCGUGCCGCGUACAUAGCGCAGAAUACGCUUCAGGGCCGCGAGAUGUGAAUCGCGCGGCGCGUGCAUGUGGAGACAAACCUGCUGGACAGCAUAGGAGAUAUCCGGGCGGGUGAAUGUCAGGUACUGAAGGGCACCGGCCAAACUCCUGUAGUCGGAUGCAGCUGCAGCCGAGAGCAGGUUGCCGUCACUGUCAGAUAGCUUGGGGUUGGUAUCAACAGGCGUCUGACAGGACUUGCAAUCGGUCAUACCUGCACGAUCCAAUAUCUCCACCAUGAACUGACGCUGGGAGAGUAGCAGACCCUUACCAGAGCGCUGAACAUGCAUCCCAAGGAAGUGAUGUAGCUGGCCGAGGUCCUUCAUCGAAAACUCCUGGCGCAAGUCCUGAAUGAUACGGGCCAGGAGGAGCGACGAGGAGGCGGUCAGAACAAUAUCAUCCACGUAGAGGAGAAGGUAGGCAGUGUCAUGGCCACGGUGAAACACGAAGAGGGAGGUGUCCGUACGGGCCUCGACAAAUCCGAGCUGCUGCAAAUAUGUGGAGAAGCGGCUGUACCAUGCCCGAGGCGCCUGCUUGAGGCCGUAGAGAGAGCGGUUCAGCUUGCAUACAUACCCAGGAUGAGCGGAGUCCUCGAAACCAGUCGGCUGGGCACAAUAGACCGUCUCAGACAGGGUGCCGUGCAGGAAAGCAUUCUUGACAUCAAGCUGGUGUAUAGGCCACUGACAAGAGAGAGCCAACGAGAGCACUGUGCGGACGGUGGCGGGUUUCACAACCGGGCUGAAAGUCUCGGAGAAGUCAACCCCAGGGCGCUGUGUGAAGCCGCGAAGGACCCAGCGUGCCUUGUAACGCUCCAGAGAGCCGUCAGCAUGGAACUUGUGCUUGAAAAUCCACUUUCCGGUCACAAUGUUGCUGCCUGAGGGCCGAGGAACGAGGUCCCAAGUGUUGUUGGAGAGGAGAGCGUCGAAUUCUUCAUGCAUCGCCUGGCGCCAAUUAGGAUCAGCGAGGGCCCCACGAUAGGACCGAGGCACCGGAGAGAGAGACGACGAGUGGAACAAGGUGGGCUGCCAAAAGCCCAUCUUGCCACGGGUCGUCAUGGAGUGUGUGUUGAUGACGGGGCGAACCGGGACGGCGCCCGGAGGCAGAGAGGCUGCAGGUGGCUGCUGCGGUGACGACGAUGGUGGAGGCCGGUGCCGACGGGAAUAGACCAGCAAUGGUCCAGAGGCGUCGACCGACUCCUGAGGUGCCGAGACGGGAGCAGACGGCCCAGGCGAGGGGCUGCCCAACCGGGUGACAGGGGCGGCAGCGCCCAGCCGAUGGCCGGGAGACGUCGUCGGGGCUGGCCGGUCGCCGAGGGGUGCUGCAGGGGCAACCGGCCAGGUGCUGGACGACGGCAGGGGGGCGCCUAGAGCGUCUGAAGGUGAGGCGGGGGCGCCGUUGGCGCCUAGGGACGGUGCUGGUGGCGCCGAGGGAGCACCCGGUGGUGCUGGAAUGCCGGCCGCAUGCGGUAGUGUGGCGACGUCGACGCCAACAGGGGGACCUUCAGGAAGCAAAGGAGGCGCCAUGCUGUAUGGAACCACCUCGGGGAGCUCCAAAAAAUUAAACUCAUUAGUGUAGACUGGUGAGGACUGCUGGAAGGGAAAUUGCGUUUCGUCAAACACCACGUGAUGAGAGAUUAUCACGCGGUUGGUGGAACGGUCAAGGCAGCGGUAUCCCUUAUGAUGAGCAGAGUAACCAAGGAAAACACAGAGAGUGGAGCGAGGAGCUAGCUUGUGGGGUGCCGUGGCGGAGAGGUUCGGAUAGCAGGCGGAACCGAAAACCCGUAGGUGACCGUAGUCAGGUGGAGUGCCGAAGAGGGCCUGGUGCGGUGUGGAACCCUGUAGGGUUUUGGUCGGCAUGAGGUUAAGGAUAUGGGUGGCGGUGUGUAGGCCCUCCACCCAAUAUGCUGGCGGCAUGCUGGCUUGGAAGAGGAGGGAGCGAACAACAUUGUUGAUGCUCCGGAUCAUGCGCUCGGCAUGACCGUUCUGUGGCGAGGUGUGGGGGCAGGACAUUCGCAGGUGCAUCCCCUUGGAGAGGAAGAAGGUGCGGGAGCUGGAGUUAUCGAACUCGCGACCGUUGUCGCACUGCACGGCUUUCACUGUGGCGCCAAACUGAGUAUGCACAAGCGAAAAGAAGUUGGUGAGAGUCGCAAAAGUGUCAGACUUAAGGCGCAGGGGAAAAGUCCACAAAUAGUGCGAACAAUCAUCAAGUACCACCAGAUAGUAUUUGUAGCCGGAAAUACUAGGAACAGGGGACGUCCAUAGGUCACAGUGGAGUAAAUCAAAUUUGUGAAGAGCACGAGAUGAUGAUAUCUGAAAUGGAAGGCGCACAUGACGACCGAGCUGACAAGCAUGACAAGUGGUAUUGGCAGCUUUAUUACAAAGGAACAGCAGAAGCAACUCUAGAUUAAACAUCAGAGCCGGGGUGCCCGAGGCGAUGAUGCCACACGUCGGAGGAGGAGGUGGCUGCCAAAGCGUGAGCGGCGGGGAAUCGAAGCGGGUAGAGGGGACCGGAGCUAUUGCACCUGACGAUCACUCUCUGGGAUGACAGAUCCUUCACAGAACAGCCAGCGGGAUCAAAUUCGAUGGAACAAUUAUUGUCAGAAGUAAACUGGCGAACAGAGACCAAGUUUUUAAUAAGUUUAGGAGAAACUAAAACGUUAUUAAGAGACAAUGAUCCUGGAAAACAAGCGGAACCAGUGGCUGUGACAGGAAUUAAGGAACCAUCACCGACAAUAAUGGAGGAGGGAGAGGGAUACCGCGAAGGGGAAAAGUGGGAGAGGGUACCAGGGUCGGAUGUCAUGUGGGAGGAAGCACCGGAGUCGAGGUACCAGUCAGUCGCCUGUGGUUGGUUGAGCGUCAUGGUGCUGAACGUAGAGGCGAGAGACUGCUGGUCCCAGGAGGAGGGCAAGGCCGAAGAGGCGCCGUAGAACCCGGGCGGCGCCUGCUGCUGCGCCGGGGAAACUGGGGCGGCCCAGGCCUGCUGUUGAGCAAGCCACGCCUGUUGCUGCUGGGCGAGGGCGGCCUGCUGGUGAUGGGCGAGGUAGGCCUGGGGCAGAGGUGGGCCGCCUAGGGAGGCGGGGUGGGGUGCAACGGUCCAGACCGCAAGGGCCCAGGACCGGGAUACAUCUGAAUGGUCCCAGUCCAUGGGUUCCAAAAGGACGGCCACGUGCCAGGGGGGCGUCGCCUGCGCCAGGAGGACCAGGGGUUUUGACGCCCUGGCCGGAGCUGGCGCCUUUGCCCUGGCCGCCCCUGCCGGAGCGUCCUUGGCCGCCGCGUUGGCGACGAUCGCGGCCGCCGCGGCUCCCCCCGCCCCCGUUGCCGGCGCGAGUGGUGUUGGGGGGCGCGGGAGGCCGGGGCUGAGAAGGGCCAGCAGUGGCCCCGAGAAGGGCCUGCGGUGGCUCGGACGGCGAGGACGGCAUGGUCAUCUCCUCGAGAAGAAGGUCGUCGCGAGCCUCCAGGAAGGAGCGCAGGGGGCGGCUGCGACGGAUGUCACGACCGACGGCGUGGAACUGGUCGUUGAGGCCGCCGACGAGGGUGAGGACGAGGAGCUUGUCGUCGACAGGUGCCCCGAGGUCGCUGAGGCCGUCGGCCAUACCCUUCAGGCGCUUGCAGUACUCCGUGAUGCUGAGGUCGCCUUGCUUGAAGUUGCGGAACUUGGCGUCGAGGAGGAUGAUGCGCGUCUCCUUGUUGCCAAGGAACUGCGCCUCAAUAGCGAGCCAAGUGGUGCGGGCCGUGGCCCCGCGGUCGCCACGGGCCAUGACGAUGUCGGCGAGGUCCGUGGCGAUGCUGCCGUAGAGCCACGAACGGACGACGCAGUCCAUGCGAAGCCAAUCUGCGUAGGGAACAGCCGGAGGGUCGCGGAGGAUGUGAUCCUGCAGCGAGUACUUGCCGACGGCGAGAAGGAACUGUUCACGCCAACGGGAGUAGUUACCGUCGGAGUCGAGGACAACAAGGACGAGGCUGCGAACAUUCUGGACAGCGGCAGCCUGGGCAUGGAGCUGAAGAAGGGUUGCGGCUUCAUGCAUCAGUAGAGCGCGGCGGGCGUCCGAGUUAUCGUCGGCGUCGUCGUGGACGACUGAGUCGUCGUCGGAAGCCGGGUUGGCCUCCUGGCGGGCCGCGGCGGCAAGUGCCAGGGCCUCGCGGAUGCGAGCCUCGGCGUCGUCGCGGUCCCGGGCGGCAGAGGCGGCCGCGGCCUCGGCGGCUGCGGCGCGGGCCAGGGCAGCGUUGCGCAUGGCCUGACGCUGGGCGCGAGAGGCGUCCAGGCAUGCGGCGUCGGCAGCGACCUCCUGGGGCGCGGCAUCGACGGCAGCCACGGCAGUGGCGGGAGAGGCGGGCAAGGAGCCGGCCAUGGAUCGCGCGGAGGCACGGGGUGCGGGGAGCGCGCAGGGGAGGCGCGGGAUCGCGCAGGCAGCGCCGAGAGGCGCGCUAGAAAGCGGAAGAAAAUGAAUCGGGGGUGACCCGGACUCAUGAUACCAUGAAAGUAAUAGGAUUGCGUGGAACUAGUAGAUUGAUUAGGGAUACGGGGAUACAAUACAUAUAUAUAGGCGCCUGCAUAGGGGCAGGCGCCUAACCCUAAUCACCUAGGGCCGGCGCCCAGAGAUGUGCCGGCCUGGGCCUGCUAUACAUGGCCCACUCACGCAAUAAACACAGCACACACAUGUUACAGUCUAACAGCGACGCAUGGAGCGAGCCGCGGUCGUGGUAGCUUGGCGUCAGGUGGUUGAAGUUGAACCGGACGGAGUGGCUCAGCCUCAGCGUUUCACACCUUUGAGGUUGGUGGUUGAAAGUUGAAACUGGACUUUUGCCGGAGUGUGGCUCGCUAGCGAUCGAGCUGGACCCUGACCUGAAUUCGUUCGUGUCUCGGAAAGUCAGAGCUCAGAUUCAGCACGCGUAAGAACACAAAGCAAGCUCGACAGGAACGUACCCGUUCAAGUUCAGCAGCCUAGUCAGCGUUUUUCUCGAUCGGCUGAAUCGGAUCGGGUUGGUGUGGUUAAAAGUUCCCCGGUCUGGACGGCUAAACAUAGUAUUUGACCAACUGUGCAGGGAACACUGAUGGAACAAUGUCCACCAACCAUUGUGGGUUUUCUUUGAUCCGAGCAUGACCAAUUGAGAGGUGUGGUGCUAGCAAUAUUAAUGCGCACACUUCUUUGAACCAGGCAGGUUCUAGGCGCAUUUACGCUCACGCUCGUAUGUUACGGAUCAGACUCCACGACACGCAUCCACAUCUAGAUCCUGGUCUGAGCAAGCAGGUCGCGUUCAGCUGCUUGAAACGGAUCCAUGCCGAUUCUGACCAGGAUCCAGUCGGACCAAGUUACCAACCCCGACUACACGUACGUGACUGGUAGUGGUAGCCUCCUGCGCGGCGCAUUUCUCAUCGCAGCAGCCUAAACGAGCUUUGCGCGUUUGGGAAAGCGGCCGUCGACACGCAUCAAGCGUGGCUUUCAGUUCUGAAUCCGAGUGAACUGAAGCUGUGCACGAGUGCCUAACCGCUGGAUGCCACUUACUCUAGGAACUAAUUAAUCCCCCCCUCAACGGCUGCGAAUAUGCCCGAUUGCCGAUUGUGGUAAAUCACGGCACGGGUGAACGAGAUCCGUCAGGCUGGCGGCGAAGGCGAGCCAGGUAGACCGUGUGAAAGCGCGGCCGCCGGCCGGUCAGCCGCACAAUGCUUUUCUUCAACCCGGCGUUUUUUCUAAUUGGGUUCGGGUUGGUCGCUUUAAUUAAUGCUCCGGUGUUAAAAUUCACUACUACAAAAUGAGUUAUAAGAGUAGCUUUAGUGUGAAAUCAAUUUUGGAUUAGAAAACCAUCGUAGCGCUUCCCCCUCUCCUGCAUUUUCUCCCUCCUCUCUUGCGCAAUCUCACCUCCCCUCUAUCUCUCCGCCACAUCGCCUCCCCCUCUUGGCGCGUUGUCCCCUCUUUCUCCCCUAUCUCCCUGUCCUCUCUCCGUCGUCCUCUCCCUCCUGGCCGGUGAGUCCCAUGAUGCCCCUCCCCUUCCCCUCCGCUCACCUCUCAUUAGGGCAGUGAGGAUCGACGGUGGGGUAAGGGUCGGAGGCAGCGCUUGGGUGGGGUCAAGCGGUGGGCCACAGACGUGGCGAGCCACGUGGGUACGACAGGAGGAAACAUUGCAGCACGUGGGGUUACGACGGGACAUUGCGGCACGCGGGGCUACGACGAGCGAAGUGGGCGUGACAUGUCUACAGUGGCGCAAGGCCGAGAUGCAGUGACGGCUCGGUGGGUGGAGCGUCCGAAUCCAGCGAGUAAGAAGCCUCUCGUCCUCCUUGGUGCACCACCCCCUCUCUCUCUCAUCUUCCUAUUGGGAAGAAUACGGCGGAGUUUGAGGAAUCAUUAGGAUUCUCUCUUUUUACUAUGACGAUGACAUGUGCUAGUGUAGCGAGCAUGGUUUCUGUUGUUUUAGAGCGUCAGCUUGUAAGGAGGUUUGGUGGGUUUCAGACUUUGUGUAGCAAGCAUACUCUCUCUUUCUCUUUUCUUUUGUGAUGGCUGCAUAUGUAUCGGCUGGUUGAAAAAGGAUCGAUCUUAUAUUUAAUAAAACUUCCUUCAUUAGAAAACGCUGAGGCUCAUGUGUUAAACCUGAUAUAUAGGAAACUGAAUAUGAAUCAAAAUUUUAACAUUAUGUUUGUCAUCCGAGCGCCAAUGUAAGCUGCUCGUUGUUAUAACCACCCAGCAUUUUAAAGAUGUCUUUCUUAGUUGGACUCGUGGGUAUAUCAACUUUCCAUUUAACUCUCUGACAAAGUUGGCAAAAAGAUUCCUCUCUAUAUUGAGUUGCUUAUUCCGACAGACUAUCUAUUUUCCACUCUCCAAAUCCCAAUAGGUAGUUUCCUCUCUAGAAAUGUACACUCUCCAUCCACUUCAACGGUCUCUCUAUUUCACACUACAACAGACUCUUCAUCUUGCACUCUCCAUUUUGCACAUCUGGCAAGCCAAACUCGCUUGCAAGGUUUGAAGAGUGUGGGGGAGCAUUUGGCAAGCCGGAUGUGAUGACCAUUCGGAUAGCAACUUUGUUGGACCGCGUUUUUCUCAUAGACUUGCCAAAUUUUAGUUUGAAGAGAGGGAGAUGGCAAUGCUGUUGGAGUUCCUCUUGUUUCUACUGUUAUGCUU